GUGACCAUAAUGUGGUGGCUUCUCUCCCUUAGGUGGUUUGCCAACUGGGGUUGGUGGCUUGUGUUCUGGGAGUGGCUUCUCCCCCUUGGGAGGUUUUUCCAAUGGGGUUGGUUUGUGUUCAGGAGGUGGCUUCUCCACUGGAGGCUUGUGUUCAGGAGGUGGCUUCUCCACCGGAGGCUUGUGUUCAGGAGGUGGCUUCUCCACCGGAGGCUUAUGCUCUGGUGGUGGCUUCUCCACCGGAGGCUUAUGCUCUGGUGGUGGCUUCUCGAAUGGGGGAUGCUUAGGGUAAUCAGCAAGUGAGGGGGCGGUGAGAACCACCAGGCCAAGCAAGACCACUAGCAAGUAUGUAGGAGACAUCUUUGGGUUUAGACUCAGAUGGUGCAAAACUAGGAGAAUUGUCUUUUAUAGCGGAUCGCACCCAAUAAUGAAAUGACACGUGUCUUUAUGACCCAUGUGUAAUGGGGUCGAUUUGGGUCCUACAGUGUUGAAAACUUCGACAUCCACUUUUGGCCUUUUGCUUUCUCUACAGCCGCCUUGCUUUUUCCCUCUUUCCUUUUGUUUUCCUCCUGCCCCAUUCUAUCAACUAAACACAAUUAUGUAGUUGUUUAAUUCUUAAAUGAGAUAUUAUCCGUCAAUCGUAUCAUAUUUUAUCAACAGAGAACGGAGUGCAAUGUGGCAAUCCAAAGAAAGAAGAUCCAUAAUGCAGCUGUAAUUUUAUCGUUUACUUUUAUCUCUUGGACCACUGCAUUUUUGUUAAGAGGUGCAAUAAUACACGUCUUUAUCUGCCAUUCAAUGUUUACAGUAAAGAGAGGGCACAAAACUCUUCACUGCUCUGCAUGUGUCCCAAAAAUGCAAUUGGACAAAUUAUGAUUUGCAUGCUAAAAAGAGGCAAAUGAGGUUAAUUCGCACCAUAAUUAUUUUGUUUUCUGGACCCCGGGGCCCUUUGGUUGGUUUGGGGGUCAGAAAAUGAACAUCAUAGGGGGUUUUUCCCUUAUGUGCAUUUGUAUCUGAUGGCUUUAACUCGCCUUGUUACUACAAAGAAAUUGUCACAUAUAGGAACUUAUUCCAGGCUGAGUAUCUCCGCAUAGACCCUAUAAAAGAAGACAAGUCAUAAUGAACAUCUAACCUUUGUUCAAUUUGAUUCAAUGCCCCAUUGUGUCCACCUCACAAAUCUGAAUUAUUAUAUCCAUUGAAUACAUAAAUUAAUGAAGAAAAUAUGAAACCCAAGAUACAUCUCUGCACAACCUCAACCCUGGUUGCUAUGUUUCCCUUCUAUUCACAUGAGGAUAUUGAUUACGGAAUAGGGAAACCUAGCAAGGGUUUACUCGGCUCUGGUUUGAUGCUAAUUGCCAAACUUGCAACAAGCCCUGAGUUUGAAGCUCACAGAAGAUGUUAUACAGGCAGGGAAAAACCUUCAGAGUUCGCUGCCAAAGAUAAUUAUUAAGGAGAUAUCACCAAGAGAAUUCCAAGGAGUCUGAAUCAAAGACAAAUUGGUCGUUCGUGGAGGUUCUUACUUUCUUUUGGGUAUAACUCACUGAGGGCACUGUCUUUUUUAUUUUCAUUUCACAUUUAGAGUUCUGUUCUGGAAACAUAUAAAAGGAGCAUCAGUUUGUUCUUGGGUAACCCAUAGUCGUGAGUGGGUCCAUUUGCAUGCUACUUAGUUGAAAAGUUGGACCAUUUGCUCCGACGCCUACCUCCUGGAUUCCAUGCUCGGAUAAAACAAGAAUAAAAAAAUAUUUAUAAUUUACAAAUGGGGGAAAGAAAAAAAUGUCAACAACAAACUAGGAAAAAAGAGUAGUAAAAUUCAUGUCACAUGCUAGUGAGAGAAGGGGUUGUUACACUCACUCGAAGUUCUUUUCAAAAUAUCGCAUGGUAUUUUAUUUUAUGUGUGAGCGCAGUUGUGAAUGGAACGUGCAAAAGUCCAAAUUGGUGACCUUUAAUAAAUAUUUAAAACAAAAAACGAAAAAAAGGAGGGAAAAGGGAUCAGAAAAGAUAAAACAAUGUGUACAAAAGCUCAAUUAGUUUGCAAAUUACUGUUUGGAUUUUGAUAGUAUUUUAUUUGAUGUAAAAGAGAAUUUAAGAUAUUUCCGAAACAAAAGCAUUAGUUUGCUCCAUGUCAAUUUCGGCAUUUCUCAUAUGUUUCACACAUACACAGAAGAGCAUCGUUUUUUAAAGCAUGCAUUUAUGUUGGAUUAAUUUGGAUUUUGUGGGAACUGGGGCAAGGAUCACAUGGAAGAGAGGUUGACUUUUUUCAGUACUUCAAUGGUUGAGACAGGUGAAGGCCUGAUUGAUACUGAAGCCUGAAAUUGCGACUCCGUCAUUUGUCAAAACAUAUGACAGCUUCCAUGCUCUCGUUUGGUUGCAUUGUUCUGUGGUCAUGCAUACAUGCCACUUAGUGAUCAGUCUGUAACUGUCAAUCAUUGGGCUUUGACUGAACAACAUCAGCCAUGUAUAAAUACUUGCAAAUCAAACGGUCUUCUUCCUCCCAUAAGGAAUUUCGGUUUAAUUAUGAAGCAUGCAUUUGGCUGACCAUCAUAAACCACUUCUUUAAAUUGAUGAAUGAUAGUUUUUCAUUCAUUCUUUCAUUCGUUCAUAUACAGAGUAUAUAUAGAGGGUAAUCAUCAUUCUAAGAAUGGGAAAGAAUGAUACAAGGAAAUAAUGAUAUAAAGAAAUAACAACUAAUAUUCUAAUAUCUCAACUUUCCUAAUAUCUAAACAUUCCUAAUAUCUCAACACUAAAUGAUAUAAAGAAAGAAUGAUAUAAGGAAAGCAUUCCUAAUAUCUCAACACUCCUCCUCAAGUUGGUGCAUAGAUGUCAAACAUGUCCAACUUGUCUAAAAAUUUUGAGAACAGUUGACUUGAGACAUCUUUGGUGAGGAUAUCGGUCAAUUGAUCUUCUGAUCGAAUCUUAGGCAAUUCCACAAUCUUAUCAUCCAACUUUUCCUUAAUGAAAAAUCUAUCCAUCUCGACAUGCUUUGUACGAUCAUGUUGUACUAGAUUAUGAGCAAUGUCACAUGCUGCUUUAUUGUCACAAAACAAUCGGAUUGGUUGCCUAGAUAGGUAACCUAAAUCCUAUAAGAGGAGUCUUAGCCAUAAUGCCUCACAAAGUCCUAAAGUCAUACCUCUAAAUUCCGCUUCUGCACUUGAACGAGCGACGACAUUUUGCUUCUUACUUUUCCAUGUCACAAGAUUACCACCUACAAAGGUAAAGUAACCAGAUGUAGAUCGCCUAUCAUCCACUGCACCGACCCAAACAGCAUUAUACUUCUAUACUCUGAUGAUCAACAUUUUUAGCGAACAAAAUUCCCUUCCUAGGAGCAUUCUUCAAAUACCUCAAAAUACGCAUGACUACAUUCAUAUGUUGCUCUCCAGGAUUAUGCAUGUAUUGACUCACUACACUCAAUGUAUAAGCAAGAUCUAGUCUUGUAUGAGCUAAGUACAUUAAUCUCCCCACAAGUCUCUGGUAUCUUCCCUUAUCGAUUGAUACUUGAUUAGGCUCAACACACAAUUUCAGACCUUCUUCUAUUGGUGUAUUAAUAGGUUGACAUCCCGACAUUCCAGUUUCCUGUAGAAGAUCUAAGGCAUACUUUCUUUGAGACAGAAAAAUUCCUUCACUUGAUCGAGAAACUUCAAUCCCAAGAAAGUAUUUCAGACGACCAAGAUCUUUCAUUUCAAAUUCUCUAGAUAGAUACUUUUGCAAAGCUUUUCUUUCUUCAGGAUCAUUUCCUGUAACUACAUGUCAUCCACAUAUAUCAUAAGUGUCGUAAUCUUACCAUGUUGCUUUUUCAAGAACAAAGUGUGAUUUGAAUUACUUUGAUGAUAGCCAAAAGCUCUCAUUGAUUUUGUGAACCUUCCAAACCAUGCUCUCGGGGAUUGCUUCAACCCAUACAAUGACUUCUUCAAUUCGCACACCUUCUGACAUUGCUUUUCUGACACCAUGCAUCCUGGUGGAAGAUCCAUAUAUACUUCUUCAGAUAAAUCGCCAUGCAGAAAGACAUUUUUUACAUCGAACUAUUGUAAUGGCCAAUCUAGGUUUGCAGCUAAAGACAAUAAUACUCGAACUGUGUUGAUCUUAGCUACAGGUGCAAAUGUCUCUGUGUAGUCAAUUCCAUAAGUUUGAAUGUACCCACUAGUCUUGCUUUAAAUCGUUCAAUACUACCAUCUGCCUUGUACUUCACAGUAUAGAUCCAACGACACCCAACUAGCUUCUUUCCUGGUGGACAUUCUACGAGUUCCCAUGUUUCAUUUUUCUGCAAUGAUUUCAUCUCUUCAUUCAUGGUUGCUUUCCACUUUGGAUCAGCUAAAGCUUCCUGCACACUAUUAGGAAUAGCUACAGUAGAUAAUUGAUUUACAAAUGACUUAUUUGAUUCAGACAAACCAUGGUGUGGACCCGCAUUUUUCACGUGCGCCUCUACUCGAUCGGCGAGACUCGCUUUCUAUUUGUGAAAAAUUAAUUUUAGAAAAGUUGGAGUCGCCACCUAUUUUAUUUUUAUUUUGAAGGGAAAAUAAAACAAGAAAGAAAAACCCUAAAAAGUGACUCCAUAGUUUUGGAAAAAGCAUGUCUUUGGGAAACCUGAGUCUAGGUCCGGGGAUCAUGUUACUUAUUGGGAAGGUACCUCUAGGAGGUAGCACCCCUCUAAGCCUUAUGAAGGUCUCUACUAACUAAAUUAAGGGAAGUGUGGCAAUAAAUCGAUUGAUCAUAGAUACCUAAGUAGACUAGGUGAUUUUAAAGUGUGGCAUGUCAAACACAAUCAAAUUGCAAUAAAGGAGAGUUAGGGCGCGUACCUGAACCGCUUCUCAAGCGCUAUCAUAAAACAUCAAUGGUUAAUUUAAAUAAUAUAUCAUCCAGCAUGUAUUUUAUUAGAAAUAAUCAAACAAUGAAACAUGUAUAUCAGAACACUCAAGCAUUAUUAGACAUAAGCAUUAUUUCACUAUUCACAGAAUUCAGAAAGUAGGUGAUAGAGGACAUACCUGGAUAGCAUAGAUAAUUUGUAAUGUGCUUCCUCAAGUUGUAAGGGGUUAGAUAACAAAUAAUAAAAUAUAGAAAUCCUAGCAUGCUCGUUAUCUAAUUAGCAUAGCAAAAGUGAUCACAGUAUACAGAAUCAUCAAUUAUCACAUACAUCUUGUAUAUAAUUCCUAAAAAAAAUAGAUAGACAUGAUUUCAACAAGUGUCAAAUGUGGCAACAAAAAUAAAUUUUGAAAAGAUUUUCUUAUGUAGGGGUUUCACCAAUUCCCCAAAUUAAUAUACACGAAUUUAGCUUAGAAUUAUCCCAUUUAUUUGGGACUACAAGCUUUGAUUCGUGUUUUUGUUCAAAACCAAAAAUUUUUGUUGAAAAUCAAGAAGGAUGCGAACCGAACAAGAUAUGGUUGCAUAUUAUUUUUAAAUAAAUAAAUAAAUAAAUAAAGGAGAUUUUGAUCCUGAGGACUUUAAUGAGUUUUUUUUUUUAAAAUAGAUUUUUAAAAUGAUUUUUUUGAGAAAAGUAUUUUAUUUUAAAAUAAAAGGGAUUAAUUUGGGAAAAAAAUAAAAUAUAAGAAAUAAAAUACCAAACAAAACAAAAAUGAAACCUCAAAGUAAAAUUUUUUUAGUAAUUAACAAAAAUGAUAAUGGUGAUGGUAGAGGGCAAUCUUCAUGAUUUUCCAAUGGCCUCAGAAAGAAAAUCAAAUUAAAUGAAGGAUCACUAACAGGCAAGACAUUCUAAAUUAGACAAACUAACAAAGUAUCAAUUCAUGAACUAACCGCUAGGAUUUUGAAAGCAUAUAAGCUAAGAUAAGGGUGAUCAGGAACUAAUAUUAAUGAUUUUGAAAUAAAAACUAAAAAAAAGGAUCAAUUCGGGUAAGGAACUAAAAUUAUAAAAGUACCUAAACUAAUUAUGACGAGUUUGACUAAAUUAAACUAAAAACAUGAACUUUCAAACAUAGAAUUAAUUUUACUAAUGAACCAAAGCAAACUAAAAAUAUGUACUUUCAAGCAUAGAAUUAAUUUUAUUGAUGAACUAAACUAUAACAAAUAUCUAAACUAAAUAUAAUGAAUCAAAUUAAAUUAAAGCAACUUAAAAACGCAAACUUUCAAACAUAGAAUCAAUUUUAUCAAUGAAUUAAAACUAUAAAUGUAUUUGAACUAAAUAGAUGAAUCAAACUAAAUCAGAGCAAAAUUAAAAAAAAAAAAGAACUUUCUAACAUGAAAUCAAUUUUAUCAACAAAUAAAUGAAUGAAUAACAAGUAAUUAAAAGAAUAGCUACUACAUGAAUAACUGAAUGAAUAAAAUUCAAAUGUUUUCAAUCUGAAGCAAUCAAUCAAAAUUAAAUAGGGAUCAAAUCAAAAUAAUCGAAAUCGGAAAAACAAUAUGCAAUCUUUCUAAAGGUUUAACCAGACAAUUGAAUUAAAAUUAUGAAUAGAAUAAAUUAAUAAACCAAAUCGAAACCUAAAUUGUACCUAAAAAGAUUAAUUAAUUAAACUAAGAAAUCAAAAUCAAUAACAAAACUAAACUAAGGAGUAAAUUAAGACAAGACUAAUUAAAUUAAACUCACAAACACGUUUUAACUAUCAUAUGGAUUAAAACAAAAUUAGCAUGGACUUAUGAAUUACGAACAAAAAUAAUCAAAACUAUUUUAAAAAACUCACCUCUAUUAUAAGAAAAAAUCUGCCUUUGAUGCGUUGAGGUGGCUCCCCUCUCUGUGUGGAUCUCUCUGCUCCCCAGAAAAAAAAUGUCUCUUCCUCCGUUCUCUUUUGUUUCAGCAAAAUAAUAUAUCCCCUGCUGUGGAUCUCUCUACUCCCAGAAAAUAAUAUAUUCUCUCCGUGUCCUAAAGUGGACCUAGGGUGCCUAAGUGGACCUAGGGUGCCUAAAUGGGCCUAGGGUGCCUAAAUGGGCCAAGUGUAUCUAAAUAGGCUUAGGGUGCCUAAGUGGGCCUAAGUCUAAGUGAGCCUAAGUCUAAAUCAAGACUACCAAGGAUCAUAAUAAGGGGUUAGGCAAUCCCUUAACCAAAGUCUCCAAGGUGGCUAAAAAAAAGUAAGUAGUAUGAGUAGCUAUGGGUCACCAAGGAACUACUGUGGAGCAUUGAAAACGAAUUUAAAGACAUGUGCCAAAGGGACAAAAUUGAGGGUCUACAGAUGGUUAGACACAUAGUUGCUCAUGGGAUAUUUGACUUUGGUAAACAAUUCAGAUUCAUAUGUGGGUUUAGGAAUACCUUUAUUAUGACGGUGUGGUAAUCGUUUCAUGAAUGGAUCAGGUUGCAAAUUAAGAACACCCUCAGCAAACAACGAUUGGUUUGGUAUUUCAGUGAAGACAUCUUCGAACCCAAAUUGUUGACCACUCAUAUCCAACUCACCCGCUUCCUGGUUCACUAGUUCAGAUUGUCCAAAUUCAUCAUUCUCAUAGAUAUGAUAAUCAUAAUCGAGAGUCUGAAUUUCCUUAUGGUACUCCCCCUGAAGUUCAGACUUAGAUGAAAAAUACAUCGAAUAUUCAUGAAACAGCNNNNNNNNNNNNNNNNNNNNNNNNNNNNNNNNNNNNNNNNNNNNNNNNNNNNNNNNNNNNNNNNNNNNNNNNNNNNNNNNNNNNNNNNNNNNNNNNNNNNNNNNNNNNNNNNNNNNNNNNNNNNNNNNNNNNNNNNNNNNNNNNNNNNNNNNNNNNNNNNNNNNNNNNNNNNNNNNNNNNNNNNNNNNNNNNNNNNNNNNNNNNNNNNNNNNNNNNNNNNNNNNNNNNNNNNNNNNNNNNNNNNNNNNNNNNNNNNNNNNNNNNNNNNNNNNNNNNNNNNNNNNNNNNNNNNNNNNNNNNNNNNNNNNNNNNNNNNNNNNNNNNNNNNNNNNNNNNNNNNNNNNNNNNNNNNNNNNNNNNNNNNNNNNNNNNNNNNNNNNNNNNNNNNNNNNNNNNNNNNNNNNNNNNNNNNNNNNNNNNNNNNNNNNNNNNNNNNNNNNNNNNNNNNNNNNNNNNNNNNNNNNNNNNNNNNNNNNNNNNNNNNNNNNNNNNNNNNNNNNNNNNNNNNNNNNNNNNNNNNNNNNNNNNNNNNNNNNNNNNNNNNNNNNNNNNNNNNNNNNNNNNNNNNNNNNNNNNNNNNNNNNNNNNNNNNNNNNNNNNNNNNNNNNNNNNNNNNNNNNNNNNNNNNNNNNNNNNNNNNNNNNNNNNNNNNNNNNNNNNNNNNNNNNNNNNNNNNNNNNNNNNNNNNNNNNNNNNNNNNNNNNNNNNNNNNNNNNNNNNNNNNNNNNNNNNNNNNNNNNNNNNNNNNNNNNNNNNNNNNNNNNNNNNNNNNNNNNNNNNNNNNNNNNNNNNNNNNNNNNNNNNNNNNNNNNNNNNNNNNNNNNNNNNNNNNNNNNNNNNNNNNNNNNNNNNNNNNNNNNNNNNNNNNNNNNNNNNNNNNNNNNNNNNNNNNNNNNNNNNNNNNNNNNNNNNNNNNNNNNNNNNNNNNNNNNNNNNNNNNNNNNNNNNNNNNNNNNNNNNNNNNNNNNNNNNNNNNNNNNNNNNNNNNNNNNNNNNNNNNNNNNNNNNNNNNNNNNNNNNNNNNNNNNNNNNNNNNNNNNNNNNNNNNNNNNNNNNNNNNNNNNNNNNNNNNNNNNNNNNNNNNNNNNNNNNNNNNNNNNNNNNNNNNNNNNNNNNNNNNNNNNNNNNNNNNNNNNNNNNNNNNNNNNNNNNNNNNNNNNNNNNNNNNNNNNNNNNNNNNNNNNNNNNNNNNNNNNNNNNNNNNNNNNNNNNNNNNNNNNNNNNNNNNNNNNNNNNNNNNNNNNNNNNNNNNNNNNNNNNNNNNNNNNNNNNNNNNNNNNNNNNNNNNNNNNNNNNNNNNNNNNNNNNNNNNNNNNNNNNNNNNNNNNNNNNNNNNNNNNNNNNNNNNNNNNNNNNNNNNNNNNNNNNNNNNNNNNNNNNNNNNNNNNNNNNNNNNNNNNNNNNNNNNNNNNNNNNNNNNNNNNNNNNNNNNNNNNNNNNNNNNNNNNNNNNNNNNNNNNNNNNNNNNNNNNNNNNNNNNNNNNNNNNNNNNNNNNNNNNNNNNNNNNNNNNNNNNNAACCAAAGGAAGCAUGUUCCAGACGUCGAUGCCACAACCAAAUUUCAGACUUUUUCUUCUCCUCCUUAGAUCCAUCUGCCAUCAAGGCUUGUUGCAACUUAUUUGAAUCCUUUGAUUGCAAGUCCAAGUAUAGAGUUUCCCCCGCUUAAUACGACAACCAAUCGUCUGUCUUGUUUGAAUGUCCUUAAUCACACAAAAUUCAGGCCAAAAAAUGACAAUACAAGAUAAGGCUGCAGUGAUUUGAGAAACUAACAAAAGAUUGUAAUCUAAAGAUGGAACAACUAAAACAGAAUCCAAAUUCAAAGUAUCAGUAAGAGUUAAGGAUCCUUCCCCAAUGACUGGGGUUGUGUUACCAUUGGCUGUGGAAACAAUUUUUUGUGAGGAAGGUCUAAGGGGUGAAACCUGUCUAGAAUCAAAAGUCAUAUGAUCUGUAGCACCAGAAUCAAUUAUCCAUGCACUAUUAAUAACAGGUGUAAAAGUAUUUAAAAACUUACCACAAUGAUCUGUAGCGGCUACUAAUGCAGAGACUUUCUCAACAACAUUAGUCUUUGUUUUUAUUUCGGUAACAGUUGCAAUCAAGGUUUUCUUGGAAUUCUUCUUCCGUUGAUCACGAUUAUUAUCAUUAAUAACAAAGUGUUGAUAGCCUAAACAUGAUCUAAAGGUCCAUGGUGCAAACCCUCGGUUCCUCAUUGUUUUCCUGGUCAUACCAAGAGUUGUUGCUUUGAAAUUGUGGGAUAUCCAGACUGGUGGGAUCAGUUUUAUUGCAGUGAGUGCAUUUGAAUGUUGACUUAUCAAUAUUAGGGCUUGUCUUCGGAUGGUUGAUUGCUGUUGGACUACCAUAGCGACAAAAUAUCCAGGAUUUCAAUUCCAGGGCUCUGAUACCAUCUUCAAAUUGAUGAAUGAUAGUUUUUCAUUCAUUCUUUCAUGUACAGAGUAUAUAUAGAGGGUAAUCACCAUUCUAAGAAUGGGAAAGAAUGAUACGAGGAAAUAAUGAUAUAAGGAAAUAAUAACUAAUAUCCUAAUAUCUCAACUUUCCUAAUAUCUCAAUAUUCCUAAUAUCUCAACUUUCCUAAUAUCUAAACAUUCAUAAUAUCUCAACACUAAAUGAUACAAGGAAAGAAUGAUAUAAGGAAAACAUUCCUAAUAUCUCAACACCACUUCAUGAUAUAUAUAGUUUCUUACCCUUAAUCAAUGGUUUCUAAGUGAAUUUAUAUAGAAAGAAAUCCAAACUGUAGACAGCAGUAUUGGUAACACUCAAUAUUCUGUAUAUAAUAGAAUAAAUAGCGUCACAGUGAUCGUCGCCUACAAGCAAGGUACAAAUACCACAAAGAGUGACCCACAUAGACAUUCCCCAACAAGAUGUAGUAGUGACUGACACAUAGCCACAAUUAACACGUAGAAAAGGAUAAGACCGGUGCACAGUAGCUCUUAUUUUACAUACUACUUAUGCCAACCAAAGUCACUCAGUUGGGAUGGGAGGGAGAUGGAGGUUUGUGCGGUGGCUUGUGGGGCGGAGUUGAUGGCUUCUUUCCAGGAGCUUCUGGCUUUUUCAUCGGAGCUGAAGGAGGCUCAAUCUUAUGAGGCGGCUUGUACGAGUCUUCUUUGCUCUCGAAAGGAGGGUGGCCAGGGUUGUGACCAUAAUGUGGUGGUUUCUCUCCCUUGGGAGGUUUACCAAUUGGGGUUGGUGGCUUGUGUUCUGGGAGUGGUUUCUCUCCCUUGGGAGGUUUAGUGGGUGACUUGUGUUCUGGAGGUGGCUUCUCCACCGAAGGCUUGUGCUCCGGUGGUGGCUUUUUGGUUGGAGGGGGCUUGGGGUAAUCAGCAAGAGAUGGGGUGGUGAGAACCACCAGUCCAAGGAACAACACUAGCAAGUAUGUGGGAGACAUUUUUGAGUUUGGGCUGAUCAGAUGAUGCAAAACUAAAGCAUUACGUGACCUUUUAUAGCAAGUAGCUCCCAAUACCUACUUGACACGUGUUACUGUGACCCAUAAAUAUUAUGGGGUCUAUUUGUGCCCUACCGGGUUGAAAACUUGGACAAUUGGGCAAGGACCCGCCUGACUAUGGAGGACUACUGAGGUGUGAUCACAGCUUUAGGAUUUUUCUUCCUCUGCAGCCGUCUUGCCGUUGGCAUGAUUUUCUUAAUCUCAAAUAAAGGCAUAGUUAUAGAGUUGUUUAAUCUCUAAAUGGGAUUUUAUAUAUCUUCAGAUAGCCAUUAAUACAUUUGAUGAAGAAAGAAAGACAAGUGCAUACAACAUGUAUACGACUAGCUUUCAUGGAGUUCAUUUAUGAUCAGUUUUCCUGUACAUGUAAACCAAGAUCAUAUAUGUUUUUGUUCCACAACAAUUUUGGAAUCUUGUUUAUCCGUUUUUAUCAUUAUAAUGUCACAUAGGCUGCCAACUUGGGCGCUAAAUUAAAGAUCCAGUUGGGCAAGUUCGUUUCAGAAUUUCAAUGGUGGAUUCAGGAAUUGUUUUAUAAGAUAUGCAAAAUAGUAGAGGGAUGAAUAGUGUUUCAUUAAGAAAAGAGCCCUGUAAAAAUAUUGUUUAAAGGUGCCAUAGAAACUAUAAUCAAUAAAUAACUUUUUUUCCCCAUGGGUGGUGUUUCUUGUGGGGAUCAGUGACUGGUUUGAGUCAACGCCGUGUCUCUUUAGUCCAGAAAUCAACUAUUUUAUGCAUUGAAUACAUCAACAAAGAAAAUAUGAAAGCCAAAUGACACCUCCCCCGCAAAAACUAAACCCUGGUUGCUAACUUUCUAUGUUUCAGUUCCAUUCACACAAGAAUAUUAGUUCAAGUUUGAGAAAAAUGGCGACUUACCUAGUGAUAACUCGGUCUUGGUUUGCGAUUUGACUUUAACGUCAUGGGUUGAAGCCUCCUACAAUCAUCGUGUAUGCUAGUUCAAAGCUCGUGGAAGAAGUUAUACAGGGAGGGAGAAACCUCCACAGCAAGCUCCAAAAGAGAAUUAUCACAUUGAAAGCUCCAGUUGAACACUGGGUGAAAGCCAUAACAAGAUUGGUUUUCUAUCGCUCUUUUAAGUAAUGGAAGAUUAUUAUCUCUGCUUGUCACUACAACCGUGCAUGCUGCUAGAUCUUUCUAGACACUUCAAACAGUGAAACCAAGUAUGAUUCUUUUUCUCUUGAGUGGGUCCACUUGCAUGCCAAUGAACGAGUUGAAAAGUUGGACAAUUGGCCACAGCGCGCACUUACCUUCUGGAACCGAAGGUCAGUGAAGUGGGGUUCCUUUUGGCCCCUUGUGUUUCUGUUCCAACCUACUCCAGGAACCGAAGUUCAGUGAAGUGGGGCUACUUUUGGCCUCUUGUGUUUCUGUUCCAACCAAACAAAAAUGGGAGGGAAAAAUAGCAUUAUGCUUGUGCUAAAGAUCAACGCAUGAUAGCUGAAUAAGGGAGAAAAAGGCAUUGCUAUCUCAAUUUCAUAAACUUGAUAAGUAGUGACAUUAAUAGUCUUCCUCAUAGAUGGAUACAUGGUUUUAUUUUAUUUAUUUAUUUUUAUUUUUUUGUUUUAUGUCAAUGCUAAUGAAUGAAGUGCAUUAGCUUGUUUUGUGACUAGAACUACAAAUGUCCAAAUUGGAGCUUCUCCAAUAUAUUUCUCAGUGAGUUAUUGAUUAGAACUCUUGGAUUGAGUUCCAAGAUUUGAAUCAGACCCCUCUAGCAGCUUCAGGGGUACGUAGCAACCUAUAGCAUAUUAAUGAAGACUUAGGAUUUAGACUUAGGAAUACAAAUUAAUAUGUACCUCAUGCUCUGACUAGCUUCCCUGCGUAUGCACAAAAUGGAGAUGACUCCCAAAAAAAUAGCAGAAUCGCCUUAGUAUGUUUUUGUGGUUAAGAUGAUUCUCCACUUUAUAUAUCCACAUUGGUUCAUUAUGCAAAUUAAUCAACUAAGCUAUUUUUAUUUUUUCUUAAAUGUGAAAUAGGAGCUCCAAAUUAACCUAACCAUUGGCCUGAUUGAAUUGAUUUCACUUGCAUAAUGUUAUAGUAGAAGUCCGUAAUUUGAAUUUUAUUUUUGCAAAAGGUAACGUAAAUGAAGCAUUGUAAUUAAAUUUAUUUGUAAUUACAAACUAAUUUUAUUUUAUUAAGAAUUAAUUUAAUUACUCAUUUAAAAUAAAAAUCAGUUAUACUUUUACCAAGAUGAUAAUAUUCAUAUUUUUCUAGUUAACAUAUAUAAAAUAGUACACUUUUUCAUAUAAAAAAAUAAUUUAUGAUUUAUUAUAAUGUUACUAUUCACAUUUUACUAAAUUGAUGGUACAUGAUAGUGAGAGAAGGGGGUGUCACACUCAGCUAAAGUUCUUUUCAAAAUAUUGCAUGGUGUUUAAUUUUAUGUGUCGGCGCGCGUGUGAAUGGAACCUGCAAAAGUCCAAAUUGGCGUUUCUCCAUUUUCCACAUAGGAUGGUGACGUUAAUAGACAAAGAUACAAUAUCUGUAGACAUUGCUUAAAAAUCGAUGUGAAGUAUUAGAAAUUACAGGGCACUGUACUGGGGGAGCGGCUGCCCCGCCAAAGGAGGAAGAAUGUAGCAAUUUCUUCUGUUAGCCAGGCCUUAGGAUUUAUGCAUGGGAUGCCUAAUAACAAACAGAGAAAAUAUACUUUUGGGGAAGGUAUCCAACAACAGACACCAUCAUUCAGAUGGUGGGAAGGUAUCCAACAGAUGCCAUCAUUCAGAUGGUAACAUAUAUAUACAUUUAUUAGUGAGUUUUUUUAAUACCUAUAAAAAAAAAUAUACACUUUGAUAUUGUGGCUGAAUCCAUUACAUACUCAACUAACCUUGCUCAUUAGGGAUUUGACUUAACAAGGGCAACGUUGCAGUACAAGCUCAAAACUUUAUGCAGGUGACAUUACAUUUGGUAAAGAAGAGGAAAAUAACGAAAGCCAUCCAUAAAAGCAAAAUUCCACAUGGGAUGAAAUUCACAAGCUUCAUUUACGAUAGAGUCGCAUCCAGGCAAUUAAUUCCACAUUAGACCGCCUGUUGACAUGUGUACCAAUCUUUUUUCAAAAAAUAUUUAUAAAUAAUUGAUACUCACAAAAAUAAUUUAAUAUUUAUAAAGGAUAAAAAAAUAUUUUCAAAUCUAUAACAAUUUAUAAAAUAUUAAUAAAAAAUUAUCUCUUAAACUUAGUAUAGUUUUAUCAGAUUAAACUUUUAUUUUGAACAAAUAAUUUUAAUCUAAGUUUUAAAUUCUAAAAUUAUUUCCUUAAAAUAAAAUUUUAAAAUUCAACACUUCAAUUGAAAUUGUCUUUUUAAAAAAUAUCUUCUUAUUUUAAUCCUUAUAAACUAUAGUUGAUUGAAAAUACUAUUGAAGUUCUCUCUUAAAAAAAAGUCUUAUUUUAAUCUUCAUAAAUUGCCCUUGAUUUGAAAAUAAAUUUUCAGUUAUCAUAUUUUAAAUAAUAUCUAUAUUUAAAAUACUCUAUUUAAAAAAAAAUGAACUAAUUUUAAUUAUAUUAUAUUUUAUUUUUUUAUAUAUUUUUAAUGAUAAACCAAACAUAGAAAAUCAUUUUUCUAAAUAUUUUAAAAUUUCUAAGCAACCAAACAUAAUCUUCAAAAUAAAAGGAAAAUAAGGAGGGACAUUUGAGAAAUGGCGAUUAAAAAAAAGUGUACAAAAGCUCAAUUAAUUUUCUUCUAGUCUUUUAUAUAAAAAAGUAAAGGAAUUGAAAAGUAUUGAUAUGUAAAUUAAUAUUUGGAUUUUAAUAGUAUUUUAUUUGUCUUUCUCUAUCUCAUGUAAAAGAGAAUUUAAGAUAUUUCCUAAAGCAAAGCAUUAGUUAUCUGCAAUCAGUGGUGAUCAUGCCCCAUGUCAAUUUCGGACCCAUAUCUUAAAACUGUAUAAUUUGCAUUCAAACAUUACUGAUUUCUCAGAUGUUUCAUACUCCACAGAAGAGCAUUGUUUGUGAAAGCAUGCAUUUAUGUUGGAUUUUGGAUGAUGUGGGAACUGGGGCAAGGAUCAUAUGGAAGAGUGGUCGAUUUUGUUCUGUACUUUAACAUUUGAAAUAGGAGAAGCUCGGGCAUUUGUGGGGCUUAAUUGAUUUUGAAGCCUGAAAUUGCGUUUCUGUCAUUUUGUAAAAAAUAUGGCAGAUUCCAUGCUCUCAUAUGUUUGGUCUGUGGCCAUGUAUAGAUGCCCCUUAGUGACCAGUUUGUAACUGUCAAUCAUAGUGUUUUGACUCUGGCUCAACAACAUCAGCCAUUGACGGAUUUUCAUACUUGCAAAUCAAAUAGUCUUCUUCCUCCCUUAGGAAUUUCGGUUUAAAUGUUAUUAAGCAUACAUUUGGCUGACAAUUAUUAACCACUUCAUGAUAUGGUUUCUUACCCUUAAUCAAUGGUUUCUAAGUGAAUAUAUGCAGAAGGAAAUCUGAACUGUAGACAGCAGUAUUGAUAACUCUCAAUAUUCUUUAUAUAAGAGAAUAAACAACGUCAUAGUGAUCGUCGCCUACAAGAAAGGUACAUUUCCCAACAAGAUGUAGUUGUGACUGGUACAUGGACGCAAUUAACUCGUACAAAAGAAUAAGACCAGUGCACGGCAGCUCUUAUUUUACAUGCUAAUUAUGCUAACCAAAGUCACUCAGUUGGGAUGGGAGGGAGAUGGAGGUUUGUGCGGUGGCUUGUGGGGCGGAGUUGGUGGCUUCUUUUCAGGAGCUUGUGGCUUUUUCGGAGCUGAAGGAGGCUCAAUCUUAUGAGGCGGCUUGUACGAGUCUUCUUUACUCUCGACAGGAGGGUGGCCAGGGUUGUGACCAUAAUGUGGUGGCUUCUCUCCCUUAGGUGGCUUGCCAACUGGGGUUGGUGGCUUGUGUUCAGGAAGUGGUUUCUCUCCCUUGGGAGGUUUACCAAUUGGGGUUGGUGGCUUGUGUUCUGGGAGUGGUUUCUCUCCCUUGGGAGGUUUAGUGGGUGACUUGUGUUCUGGAGGUGGCUUCUCCACCGGAGGCUUGUGCUCCGGUGGUGGCUUCUCCACCGGAGGCUUGUGCUCCGGUGGUGGCUUCUUGAUUGGAGGGGGCUUGGGGUAAUCAGCAAGAGAUGGGAUGGUGAGAACCACCACUCCAAGGAACAACACUAGCAAGUAUGUGGGAGACAUUUCUGAGUUUGAGCUGAUCAGAUGAUGCAAAACUAGAAGAAUUACGGGACCUUUUAUAGCAAGUAUCUCCCAAUACCCACAUGACACGUGUUACUAUGACCAUAAAUAUUAUAGGGUCCAUUUGUGCCCUACCGGGUUGAAAACUUGGACGCUUGGCCGAGGACACACCUGACUAUGGAGGACUAUUGACGUGUGAUCACAGCUUUUGGAUUUUUCUUCCUGUGCAGCUGUCUAGCGGUUGGCAUUAUUUUCUUAAUCUUAAAUAAAGGCAUAGUUAUAGAGUUGUUUAAUCUCUAAAUGGGAUUUUAUAUAUCUUCAGAUAGCCAUUAAUAUAUUUGAUGAAGAAAGACAAGUGCAUACAACAUGUAUACGGCUUGCUUCAAUCGAGUACAUUUAUGAUCAGUUUUCCUGUGCAAGUAAACCAGUUUUUUGUUCCACAACUAUUUUGGAAUCUUGUUUAUCAGUUUCUAUCAUUAUAAUGUCACAUAGGCUGCAAACUUGGGCACCCAAAGAUCUAGGUGGGCAAAUUUGUUUCAGACUUUCAAUGGUGGAUUCAGUAAUUGUUAAAAGGUGUUUCUUCAUUAAGGAAAGAGUCCGGUAAAAAUAUUGUUAAAAGGUGUCAUAGAAACUAUAAUAAAUAAAUAACUUCUUUUCCCCAUGGGUGGUGUUUCUUCUGGGGAUCAGUGACUGGUUAGGGUCACCCAAAAUGAGUCCAGAUUAAAAUUGGUUCGAGUCAAAGCAGUCUCUUUUGUCCAGAAAUCAACUAUUUUGCGCAUUGAAUGAAUCGAUAAAGAAAAAAUGAAAGCCAAAUCACACCUCCCCUGCAAAACCUAAACCCCGGUUGCUAACUUUCUAUGUUUCAGUCCUAUUCAUAUAGGAAUAUUGGUUCAAGUUUGAGAAAAAUGGCAACUUACCUAGGGUUUACUUGGUUUUGGUUUGCGACUAUUUACGCAACCAACCAUGAGUUUGACUUUAACGUCAUGGGUUGAAGCCUCCUACAAUCAUGUAUGAUAGUUCAAAGCUCGUGGAAGAAAUUAUACAGGAAGGAAGAAACCUCCAAAGCUAGCUCCAAAAGAGAAUUAUCACAUCGAUAGCUCCAGAGAUUCCCAAGGGAACUGAAUCAAAGACAAGUUCCUCACUUUUUCUUCUUUUGAGGCCAAAUAUGAACCAAGGAUCACACGACCUCAUUCAACUUCAUAAGUUUGAUUUCAUGCAGUUGAACACUGGGUGAAGGCCAUGACAAGAAUUGAUUAAAAAAUUCUACCACUCUUUUAAGUAAUGGAAGAUUAUUAUCUCUGAUUGGCACCACAACAGCACAUGCUGCUAGAUCUUUCUAGACACUCCAUGCAAUGAAAGCACAAUGGAUCUUGUAAUGAUAGAAACUAAGCCAUGCUACAGUACUAGAUGAGGGGGUAAAACUAGUAGACAUCUUUCUAGACACUCCAUGCAAUGAAAGCACAAUGGAUCUUGUAAUGAUAGAAACUAAGCCAUGCUACAGUACUAGAUGAGGUGGUAAAACUAGUAGACAUGGCUGGCAGUUGAUUACUACUCAAAAAGUACUCUUUUAUAGCUUGAAACUAACUGUUUUAAACACUUUUGAGUAGUAGUUAAUACCUUUUAACUUAAUUGGCACAUUAAGGAACCUAGCAAGGGUUACUAAUCAACAUUUGGCAAGUUUUGAUGUUUUUGGUAGCUAUUUGAUCAUUGAAACAAGCCAAGAAUGAGGGGGAAUUUUGUGAAGUCCAUGGCAAUGCAAGUUAAAGCUCAAAUACAUGAAGAAUCCAAGCUUUGGAGCACUUCAUAGCCCUUUGCCAAGCCAAUCAAAGAUGCAAGGAAGAAAACCAAAGGAAGAAAUCCAACAAUCAGCAUUUUGGCAUGGCUAUGUGAAAUUUCGCACACCAUGCGAAACCACAAGAGGCAGCCAAAGAAUUUCGCAUGGUAUGCGAAAUCUUCUUGUGCACUGACUCUGUUAGAUUUUUAUCUUCAGAUAUUUUGUGUAAUUUCCUAGUUUCUCCUUGUAACCAACUUAGAUAUUUUCUUUUAUAUCUUUUUUUAUAUUUUUUAGGUAACAUCAUAUAUAAGAGGAGAGACAUAAGGAGGAUAUGGAUGUUUUUCAUAGAACACUUGUAAAUUUUUGGUAGUAAGAAAUAUACAAAGCUUUUUGCUCUGCCUUACCUUCUCAAGGGAUGAGUGGCUAGGUUUUCUUGGAGUGAGGGAAGCUAGGUGAAGGACCUGAAUGCAAAGGUGGGAGUUUUCCUUACUUUAAAUGAAAGUAGUUGUUAAACAUUAAUGGUUUUUAUUUUAAGGUUUAGCUUUAAAUCCCUGAAAAACACCUUGAAUGGCCAAUACUUGGUAAGCUUUUUAGAUUCUAUGGAUGCUUAUUGCUAGAUCCAUGGAUGUCUAUUAGUUAUCAUUUACGAGCCAUUGGAAGGUGAUUCAAGGUGAGGGUCUUUAGUGUUUGAAGCCAUUAAUGGGAAGCAAUUACCAUUUUUUCAUGAAUCCUUUGGAUCAAAUCUUAAUUGCUAAAUAUAAAACCGGUUUCGAGAGAUAACCACCAUCCUUUAUGUUAUUAUCCCCAACGCGAGGAGAAGAUCCGAAAUCUUCCUUUUUAUCUAAGGAACCCGAUCCUAGUGACCUAAAGCUCCAAGAUACCUUUUCUUUGUAGUUAACUUCAUUUAUUGUUUUUGCUUAACUUAAAAUCAAUCUUUGCAACCACAAUUCCAUUUUCUUUAAAAGCUAAUUUUUAUAAGGAAAAACACCAUUUUAUUUCCUUCACUAAGUCAACUGUACGAUGAAAACCCAUCCCUGUGGACGAUCCUAGAGCCACUAUACUAUGUUAGCUAUGCUACCCUAGUGUGAGGUGAUUUAGGUUUUAUAAAUUUUUUUGAUAACACCCAUCUGAGCCAGAAUCAAAUGGCACGACUGAACCAGGGACGAAUCAAAUGACGCCGCUACCAAGGAUGGUGCCAAAGUACAUUGACAUGACUUUUGGUGAACACUUGUGAUCUUCACCACAAGUUUGGUGAUUUUUCUUUUACUAAUUUUUUUUAUUUUAGCUUAUCUUUUAUUUAGUUUUUAGUUAACCUUAAAUUUUUCCUAGAAUUGUAUUUCUUUUGUUUUCUUUGUUUUUGUUUCAGUGAUCUUUAGUUGUGCAUGCCCUAUUGGAUAAGAGAUAUUGAGGGAAUACUUGUGAAGAUUGAAACUCCUCGAGAAACUGAGUUAGAAGUGUGCUUGAACAUCAUGGAUGUUCCACCUGAAGACCAGAAUAGCCAACAUGGUUAAGAGGAUAAUUUCAACACAUACCGAUCCAUGAGGAACCGCAUACAUCCACCUUGUAUGAGUGCACCGUCAGGCAUAAUGCCUCCCACUGAGCAGCUAGUAAUCUGACCUCACAUUGUGCCACUCCUACCUACUUUCCAUGGGAUGGAGAGUGAGAAUCCCUACUCGCAUAUUAAGGAAUUCGAGGAGGUUUGUAAUACAUUCCAAGAAGGAGGAGCUUCAAUUGACUUGAUGAGGCUCAAGCUAUUUCCUUUCACUUUGAAGGAUAAGGCCAAGAUUUGGCUUAAUUCUUUAAGGCCAAGAAGUAUCCAAACUUGGAUUGAUUUGUAAGCCGAGUUUCUUAAGAAGUUCUUCCCUACCCAUAGGACCAAUGGUUUGAAAAGGCAAAAUUUGAACUUCUCAGUUAAAGAGAAUGAGAAAUUCUAUGAGUGUUGGGAGAGCUACAUGGAAGCUAUUAACGUUUGUCCUCACCAUGGCUUUGACACAUGGCUCUUAGUGAGCUAUUUUUACAAUGGUAUGUCUUCUUCAAUGAAGCAACUCCUAGAAACUAUGUGUGGAGGAGACUUCAUGAGUAAGAAUCCGGAGGAAGCCAUGGACUUUUUGAGUUAUGUGGCUGAAGUUUCAAGAGGAUGGGAUGAACCAAAUGCUAGAGAGGUGGGAAGAAUGAAGUCUCAACCUAAUGCUAAGGGUGAGAUGUAUGUUUUGAAUGAAGACAUUGACAUGAAAGCAAAGGUUGCAGCUAUGGCAAGGAGAUUGGAAGAGCUAGAAAUGAAGAACAUACAAAAAGUGCAAGCCAUUUCUGAGACAUCAAUGAAAGCUAUGCCUUGUUCCAUUUGUCAAUCUUAUAAGCACCUAGUGGAGGAGUGUCCUACAAUUCCAGCAGUGAGAGAGAUGUUUGGUGAUCAAGCAAAUGUUAUUGAUCAAUUCAAGCCUAAUAACAAUGCUUCAUAUGGCAACACCUACAAUUCAAAUUGGAGGAACCAUUCAAAUUUCUCUUGGAAACGAAAGCCACCUCAAUACACACAACCUACUCAAGCACCUUAGCAAUCCUCGAAUCUUGAACAAGCUAUUGUGAACCUUAGCAAGGUUGUGGGAGACUUUGUGGGAGAUCAGAAGUCCAUCAAUGCUCAACUGAAUCGGAGAAUUGACAGUGUGGAGAGUACAUUGAACAAAAGGAUGGAUGAGAUGUAAAAUGAUCUGUCUCAAAAGAUAGACAAUGUCCAAUACGUAAUCUCAAGGCUUACCAACCUCAACACAGUGUAAGAGAAAGGAAAGUUUCCUUCUCAACCUCAUCAAAAUCCUAAGGGUAUCCAUGAAGUAGAGGCUCAAGAGGGAGAAUCUUCAAAGGUGAGGGAAGUCAAAGUAGUUAUCACCUUGAAGAGUGGUAAAGAGGUUGAUCAACCCACAUCCAAGCCAAAGCAUAAUGAAGAGAGUGUAGCAGAAAAAGAAAAGAGAGGAAAAUAAAGGAAUUAGAAUAGAGAAAAAUACAAAGAAAGAUGACCAUGAGUCUAGUGUGGAUGAAGAGCCCGAGAGGAUGGUGAUCAAGGAAGAUAUGAUGAAGAAACACAUGCCUCCACCUUUCCCCUAAGCUUUGCAUGACAAAAAAAGAACCAAUAAUACAUCAGAAAAUUUUGAAGUAUUGAGGCAAGUGAAGGUCAAUAUCCCUUUGCUAGACAUGAUCAAACAAGUGUCGACAUAUGAAAAAUUCUUGAAGGACUUGUGCACUGUAAAGAGAGGGUUGAAUGUGAACAAGAAAGCUUUAUUGACCGAGCAAGUGAGUUCCAUCAUACAGUGCAAGUCCUAGUGAAGUACAAAGAUCCGGGUUGCCGUACCAUCUCAGUGAGUAUUGGAAGGACUUGUGUGGAGAAAGCUUUGUUGGACUUGGGAGCAAGUGUGAAUUUGCUAUCCUACUCUGUCUAUAAGCAGUUGGGAUUUGGAGAGUUGAAGCCAAUAUCCAUCACUCUAUCUCUAGCGGAUAGAUCAAUGAAGAUUCCAAGAGGGAUGAUCGAAGAUGUCCUGGUUCAAGUUAACAAAUUCUACUAUCCAGUAGAUUUUGUUGUUCUUGAUAUGGAUCCGGUUGUCAAAUGAACUAAUUAUGUUCCUAUCAUACUUGGAAGACCCUUCCUAGCUACAUCAAAUGCAAUCAUCAAUUGUAGGAAUGGAGUCAUGCAACUCACAUUUGUCAACAUGACAUUAGAGCUCAACAUCUUCCAUUUGUACAAGAAGCAUAUCCAUCAGGAGGAAAAAGAAGGUCUAGAGGAAGUGUGAAUGAUUGACACUUUAGUGGAAGAGCAUUGUGAUCGAGAAUGCAAAAAGAUUUAGUUGAGAAUUUUGGGGAUCUUGAUGAAAGGUUACUUGAACCCUCAGAUUUGCUUGCUACCCUACUCCAUUGGAAGAGAAGAGAAGAAAUUCUACCCUUAUUCAAUGAGGAGGAGACGCAAAGAGCUGCAAAGGAGAAACCCCCAAAACUUAUUCUUAAGCCACUACCCACAGAGUUGAAGUAUGUAUACUUGGAAGAAGACAAGAAGUGCCCUAUUGUUAUAUCUUCAACUCUUACCAUUCAUCAGGAGGAUUGUCUACUUGAAGUCCUUAGAAGAUGUAAGAAGACAAUAAGGUGGCUAAUUUCUUAUUUGAAAGGGAUCAGCCCUUUAGUCUGCACCCAUCAUAUUUACAUGGAGGAUGAAGCUAAGCUAAUUCAUCAACCUCAGAGAAGGUUGAACCCUCACAUGCAAGAGGUGGUUCGAGCUGAAGUUCUGAAGCUACUUCAGACCAGUAUUAUUUACCCCAUAUCAAAUAGCCCAUGGGUGAGUCCUACUCAAGUUGCGCCAAAGAAGUCUGGGAUCAUGGUGGUGCAAAAUGAUAAGGGAGAAGAUGUCUCUACACGCCUCACUACAGGUUGGAGGGUGUGUAUCAAUUACAGGAGGUUGAAUGCAGUGAUAAGAAAGGACCAUUUCUCAUUGCCCUUUAUUGAUCAGGUGCUUGAGAGGGUCUCUGGGCUUUUUUUUUUAUUGUUUCUUGGAUGGCUACUCCGGGUACUUUCAGAUAGAAAUUGAUGUUGAAAACCAAGAUAAGACCAUUUUCACAUGCCCAUUUGGAACCUAUGCAUAAAGGAGAAUGCCUUUCGGCUUAUGCAAUGCACCCGCAACUUUCCAAAGAUGCAUGUUAAGCAUUUUCAGUGAUAUGGUGGAGCGUAUUAUGGAAGUCUUUAUGGAUGAUAUCACCAUUUAUGGAAGUGCAUUUGAUGAAUGCUUGGUCAACUUAGAAGCUGUUCUGAACCGAUACAUUGAGAAAGACUUAGUGCUUAACUGGGAGAAGUGCCAUUUCAUGGUACACCAAGGGAUUGUCCUUGGGCACAUUAUCUCCAAGCAAGGCAUUGAAGUUGACAAAGCAAAGGUUGAACUCAUUGUUAAGUUGCCAUCCUCAACAAAUGUCAAAGGAGUAAGGCAAUUCUUUGGCCAUGUCGGGUUCUAUAGGAGGUUUAUCAAGGAUUUCUCUAAGCUUGCAAGGCCUCUUUGUGAAAUAUUGGUGAAUGAUGUUAAAUUCAUAUGGGAUGAUGGAUUUGAAAGGAGUUUUGAAGAAUUGAAGCUAUUUUUGACAACCGUACCAAUAGUGAGGGCUCCCAACUGGCAACUGCCCUUUGAAGUAAUGUGUGAUGUCAAUGAUUUUGCUAUAGGAUUUUUUCUUGGGCAAAGAGAAAAUGGAAAACCUUAUGUGAUCUACUAUGCGAGGAAGGCAUUGAAUGAGGCACAAAGAAACUACACAACCACCGAGAAAGAAUUGUUAGCUGUAGUUUUUGCCUUGGAUAAGUUUCGCGCUUACUUGGUGGGGUCCUUCAUCAUGGUUUUUACUGAUCACUUUGCUUUGAAGUAUCUGUUGACUAAGCAAGAUGCUAAAGCAAGGCUGAUUAGAUGGAUUCUCUUACUUCAAGAGUUCAAUCUCCAUAUCAAAGAUAAGAAAGGAGUGGAGAAUGUGGUAGCAGACCACAUUUCAAGGCUAGCUAUCGCACAUAAUUCCCAUGCUUUGCCCAUUAAUGACGAUUUUCUAGAGGGGUCUCUCAUGUUGGUGGAAGUUGUCCCUUGGUACGCUCACAUUGCUAACUACCUGGUCACGGGAAAAGUUCCAAGUGAGUGGAAAGCACAAGAUAAGAAGCACUUCUUUGCAAAAAUUCAUGCCUACUAUUGGGAAGAGCCAUUUCUAUUCAAGUAUUGUAUGGAUCAGAUAAUAAGGAAGUGCGUUCCUGAAGAAGAGCAACAGGGGAUCCUUAGUCAUUACCAUGAAAAUGCAUGUGGAGGCCACUUUGCUUAUCAAAAGACAGCCAUGAGGGUGUUGCAAUCGGGUUUCUGUUGGCCAUCACUUUUCAAAGAUGCCCACACCAUGUGCAAGAGUUGUGAUCGAUGCCAGAGGCUUGGGAAGUUGACACGCAGGAACAUGAUGCCUUUGAACCCCACUUUAAUAGUUGAUAUUUUUUAUGUUUGGGGCACUAACUUCAUGGGACCUUUCCCUAUGUCUUUUGGCUACUCUUACAUCUUGGUAGGAGUAGAUUAUGUUUCUAAGUGGGUUGAGGCAGUCCCAUGCAAACACAAUGACCAUAGAGUGGUUCUCAAGUUUCUUAAAGAGAAUAUCUUCUCAAGAUUUGGGGUGCCCAAAGCCAUAAUUAGUGAUGGGGGUACUCAUUUUUGCAACAAGCCUUUUGAAACUCUCCUAGCCAAGUAUGGGGUGAAGCAUAAGGUAGCUACACCUUACCACCCUCAAACUCAUGGACAAGUUGAGUUAGCAAACAGGGAGAUUAAAAACAUAUUGAUGAAGGUGGUGAACACAAACAGAAAAGAUUGGUCAGUCAAGCUUCUUAAUUCACUAUGGGCAUAUAGAACAACUUACAAGACCAUUCUCGGGAUGUCUCCUUAUCGCCUAGUUUAUGGCAAAGCAUGCCAUCUCCCUGUGGAAUUGGAAUACAAAGCUUGGUGGGCAAUCAAGAAGCUCAACAUGGAUUUGAGCAGAGCUGGGUUGAAGAGGUUCUUAGACCUUAAUGAGAUGGAGAAAUUGAGAAAUGAUGCCUACAUCAAUUCAAAAAUUGCAAAAGAAAAAUUGAAGAGGUGGCAUGAUCAGUUGAUUUCCCGCAAGGAUUUUCAAAAUGGACAAAGAGUCUUACUUUAUGACUCUAAACUCCACAUCUUUCCGGGCAAGCUGAAAUCAAGGUGGAUAGGUCAUUUUACCAUUCACCAAGUGCAUUCAAAUGGAGUAGUGGAACUACUCAACUCCAACAAUAUCGAGAACUUCAAAGUGAAUGGCCACCGUCUCAAGCCCUUUGUGGAGUCUUUUUCUCACAACAAGGAGAAAUUCAUCCUCCUUGAUCCACAUCAAGCUUAACAAGACCAAUUUUCUUGAUGGACUUAGUCUUUCUAAAGACUAUCGAGUCCAUAACUUUUUGUUUUAUUUUUUAUUUGAGAUUUUUUCGGUAUUGUUACUUGUUUUGUUUUUUAUUUUUCGUUUUAAUUUUAUUUGGUUUGAUUUAACUUAGGUUUUUGAUGAUCAAUUACAGGGGGGAUUUCAAAUAGAGGAAAAACCAAGAUAAUUCGCACACCCUACGAAAAUUUCGCAAGGCAUGCGAAAUUUAUGGCUUAUUUUGCAUGGGGUGAAAAUUUUCGUACAUCUUACGAACCAAUUUCGAACACUUUGCGAAAAUAAACCAACCCUGCGAAAUCAUUUCGAUUACUCUACGAAAUUUUCGUAGAGCAUGCGAAAAAUUUAGCACACCAAACACCAUUUCGCAUACUAUGCAAAAACCUAAGGGGUCUGCGAAACCAUUUCGCACCUCCAAAUCCAUUUCGCACAUUGUGCGAAAACCAAGAGGCGCUGUGCGAAAAUGAAAAGUCGCCCUGUCAUCCCUUUUUAAACCCCUCGAGCCCUAAAAUCUCCAUUUCGCAAGCACCCCUGUCCUUGCGAAUCCCUCAUUUUCCUCUACUACCUUGCAACCUCGUCCCUUUCCAUUUGAUAUUGUGCCCCGCGCACAUCUCAUUUCAGAGACUCGCACUCCGCGCCCCCUCAAAGCAUGGACUCGAGACCCACCUUCCAUUUCCGACGUGGCACGGACCCAAGGAGCCCUUUCUGCCCCUUCACUAAGACACACACCAAGGCAGAAAGCCUCCUUUGCUCAAGUGCCUAGUGAUUCUCCAUCUUAGGCCUCAGAGGCCUCGGAGGCCCCGUGGAUUCCACCUUCCGAGGGUAGAGCAGCCAUUGGUCCUUCCUCUUCUACUCCUUAGCGUAGAUACGAGACGAGGAGACCACCUACUACACAAGGGGCGACUACUUCGAGCCUUGAGAAUUCAGUACGAUGCCUUCCUGCCAAGAGGGUCAAGACUUCAGGUCCAAGUGAGUCAUCCAGAGCUUCAUAGCCUAAGCCUCCUGUAGAUUCCAAGGUUCCUACUGACAUAUCACCGGAGUCUAUUAUCAGAAGCCCGAUGCUCAUAGCACCGCCCAUUGAGGGCAACUCAGAUUAUAGAGCGAGAUCUUUCCACUUGGAGCUAUAUUUUGAUCAGGAGGCCAUACGACAGCAGCCUGAGCUCCGAGACUCUUAUGGCUUACUGCAGAGGUACCAUCUUGAGGAACUUAUGACUCCUCGUGAGUUUUUUUAUCCCAGAGUAGCACUAAACUUUUACCAGUCCAUGACUACUCGUGGCGUCCCGAGUCCUACCACGAUUCACUUCACCAUUGAUAGACGUCAUGGUAUCCUCAAGGCCAGACAUAUUACAGAGGCUCUACAAAUUCCUUUCGAGCUAGAGGAUCCAUCUGUUUUUCGCUAAUGGUCCCCAGUAUCUCAGAGGGACAUGGUCCGUAUUUUAUCUAGGGGAACAUCUACAGAUUCGAUCUUUCUACGGAAGGAGCUUCGACCUGGGAUGCUCCUCUUAGAUGUGGUGCUAUGCUCCAACCUCUUUCCCUUACAACAUUCGGUACAUAGGUGAUGAGCUAUUUUGGACGCUUUAUUCCGUAUAUCAGAGGGCUUCUACUUUGGCCCGCACCACUUGAUCAUGGUCUCCCUCAUCCACUUUGAGGAGAAGGUUCAUAGGAAGAAGCUUCAGAGGGUGGACACCAUUCCAUUACUAUUCCUGAGGUUACUUUGCCAGGUCUUGGAGUACAUGGGCUUUCCUACUGAGCCUCGGCUCGAGCUUUGCCGCCUUUGUCGAGAGUGAUCCACUCUCGACAAAUGGAAUUAGUUGGCGGGCUAUUCUGCACCUCCAGGAGCCCCUCCCAUGGUAGCACCUCCAAUGUCCCCACAGGCAAAGUAGGGCGAGCUCCCGGCAAAGACUGUACCACCAAUGCCCACACUUGAGGCUAUUUCUGCUGCUCUGCCUAUGACUCCUACUGUUCCACCAGUUGGUCCUUUUACAUCCGAGCCUUCCAUCACCAUCUCGGCUUCGGAGUUUCGCGCCCUUGUGCAUACCUUUCAGACACUCACCACCACACAUACUCCUCUCUUCUAGCAAAUGGUUGAGAUGUGUGCCCAUCAGGACCGGAAGACUACUAUACUCUGCCAAAUUCAGCAGCACCUAAGACUUUUGCCUCAACCUCAACCUAACCAUCCCAUAUCAUCAGAGCCUCUAGCUCCAACUGAGGAUACUAUUCCACCUGAGAACACUACCACAGUAGAGGUCCGGUUUCCACCACCUUAAGAGGCCACCACAGCUACAUCAGAGGAUGUGUCAUCUCCACUUGAGGCUCCCACUACUUGAUCAUAGGACAUAUCUUUAUCUUAUUGUAUUUACAUAUUAUAUUACUAGAGAUUUGUCCUUGUUUUGAUACUUUAUAUUCUGGGAUUGGAUGUAUUGCCUGAUGAUAUCUCAAUUGUACUUUCUCAUAUUAAUAUAUAGACAUCAAUUUUUUUUAGUAUACUUAGCAUUUUUCUAUUUCCUCUACUCAUUACUCUUUUGUUUUUUUUUACUCAUGUGGUUUCUCUUAUACAACUCAGACUCCAUUUCACUCAGGAGGUACCACUUCCUCCCUUUAUUUUCAAUUGCUCUUGAAAUAUUGAGUGCAAUGUUGAUCUUGGUUGGGGGGAGAGUUGAGGAAGGAAGUUUUGUUAAUAAUGCUAGGUUAAUUUGUUAAUUUAGUUACUUUCUGCUUAAUUUUAAAAGUUUUCACUCUACUUUCCAUGGUUAUUAAGGAAAAAUUCUCAAAAUGAAAUGGGAGAAAUCGAAUUCUUGCAUUUUUACUUGAAUCUUAGAAUUUGUAUCAUGCUUAUUAAAGUUGAUGAAUUAUUGAAACUCCUAUUGAAUUCAACCUUAUUUUUUCCACUUUAAUCUUACCACACACGGUGCACAUUAGGUUCCAGUUAUAAGAUAAAAAACUAUCUCACCCCCUAAACUUAGAAAAAUUUACACUUGGUACCUUUGACAUCGUUUUAAUAGUGUUGGGACACCUUAUAAAAGGCCAAUGAGCCUUUAAAAAAAAAAAAAAAAAAAAAAAGAGAAAGAACAAAGUAUUGCACUUGCCUUGAAACCUGAGCAAGAUCCGAGGGGUAUACAGUGAAAGUCUUUAAAACCUGGUGCCCUAAGCCUUGAUUGGUUGGGAGUCACCGACCUCAAUGCUCGUUAUAAGGGUGAAUAGGUGGAGUUUAACAUAUUGUAGGUGCUUGGGUAUUGAAUUUCAAUCUCAAAAGUCCGGGAAAAAAUCUAAGGAGUUAGUGGUCAAAAGAUCCUUAAAGCUUGAUGCCCUAAACCUUGAUUGGUUGAGAGUCAUUGAUGGAUCCCCGCUACAUGGACAUUUUAGAAAACAAUACCUUUAGCAUUGCACGCCUACAAUGAAAAAAAAAUGUGAAAUAAAAGAGGUGCGUUCUUAGCCUAUUGGAGGUUGGUCAGUUUGCUAAAGUUUGAGAAAUCUAGGUUGGGGGGAGAGAAUAGUCCGACAUACUAUAAUAAAAAACUAAUAACCUUAACACUUAGAUUUUUGUGGAAGAGUAAGGAUUGGACCUUUAGGGGUGGAAAUUCUUUUGAUGCUUAAAUUUGCAUAAUGCCUACUCUUUAUAAAUUAUGAUUAGGCAAGAGAUUUGAUGACUCUUGUUCAAAGUUGGGUUUUUCCUCUUUGAUGUUCCAUGAGAGAGUAUAAUCCUCAUCAUGCCACUUGAAAUCUUUUUGGAGUGAUUAACAUGAUUUUGUAAAUUAUUUUACUGUCUAUUUUUCUUUAUCUCUCUUUUAUUGCUAAUGGACUAGCAAUAUGUCAGUUGGGGGGAGUGAUUACUACUCAAAAAGUACUCUUUUAUAGCUUGAAACUAACUGUUUUAAACACUUUUGAGUAGGUGUUAAUACAUUUUAACUCAAUUGGCACAUUAAGGAACCUAACAAGGGUUACUAAUAAGUUUUUGGCAAGUUUUGGUGUUUUUGGUAGCUAUUUGAUCAUUGAAACAAGCCAAGAAUGAGGGAGAAUUUUGUGAAGUCCAUAGCAAUGCAAGUUAAAGCUCAAAUACAUGAAGAAUCCAAGCUUUGAAGCACUUCAUAGCCCUUUGCGAAGCCAAUCAGAGAUGCAAGGAAGAAAACCAGAGGAAAAAAUCCAACAACCAGCAUUUUCGCAUGGCUGUGCGAAAUUUUGCACACCAUGCGAAACCACAAGAAGUAGCCAAAGAAUUUUGCACACCAUGCGAAAUUUCGCAUGGUAUACGAAAUCUUCCUAUGCACCAACUCCGUUAUAUUUUUAUCUUCAGAUAUUUUGUGUAAUUUCCUAGUUUCUCCUUGUAACCAACCUAGAUAUUUUCUUUUAUAUCUUUUUUUUAUAUUUUUUAGGUAACAUCAUAUAUAGGGGGAGAGACAUAAGGAGGAUAUGGAUGUUUUUCAUAAAACACUUUUAAUUUUCUGGUAGUAAGAAAUAUACAAAGUUUUUUGCUCUGCCUUACCUUCUCAUUUUGUUUUCACCUAUCUUUCUAGCCAAACAACCUCUGAGAAUGAUUUCUCAGGGGAUGAGUAGUUAGGUUUUACGUUUCUUGGAGUGAGAGAAGCUAGGUGAAAGACCCAAAUGCUAAGGUGGGAGUUGUCCUUGCUUUAAAUGAAAGUAGUUGUUAAAUAUUAAUGGUUUUUAUUUUAAGGUUUAGCUUUAAAUCCCUUAAAAACACCUUGAAUGGCCAAUACUUGGUAAGCUUUUCGGAUUCUAUGGAUGCUUAUUGCUAGAUCCAUGGAUGUCAUUAGUUAUCAUUUAUGAGCCAUUGGAAGGUGGUUCAAGAUGAGAGUCUUUAGUGUUUGAAGCCAUUAAUGGGAAACAAUUACCAUUUUUUCAUGAAUCCUUUGGAUAAAAUCUUAAUUGCUAAAUAUAAAACUGGUUCGGGAGAUAACCAUCCUUUAUGUUAUUAUGCCCAAUGCAAGGAGAAGAUUUCGAAUCUUCUCAUUUGUCUAAGGAACCCGAUCCUAGUGACCUAAAGCUCCUAGAGACCUUUUCUUUGUAGUUAACUUCAUUUAUUGUUUUUGCUUAACUUAAAAUCAAUCUUUGCAACCACAAUUCCAUUUUCUUUAAAAGCUAAUUUUUAUAAGGAAAAGCACCAUUUUAUUUCCUUCACUAAGUCAACUGUAUGAUGAAAACCCAUCCCUGUGGACGAUCUUAGAGCCACUAUACUAUGUUAUCUAUGCUAUCCUAGUGUGAGGUGAUUUAGGUUUUAUAAAUUUUGUUGAUAACACCCGUCUGAGCCAGAAUCAAAUGGAACCACUGAACCAGGGACAAAUCAACAGCCUAUAUGGGAGGGACACAAGUUUAAUUGAUUUGCAUUUCAGCGUUAUAGAUAAGUAUGUUUUGGAAGAUUUGUUCUGGAAAUACUGCACCAAGUACGAUUCUUUUUCUCUUGAGUGAGUCCAUUUGCAUGCCAAUUAACGAGUUGAAAAGUAGGAGCACCUACCUCGUGCUCAUGGAACCGAAUGUCAGUGAAGUGGGGCUCCUUUUAGCCUCUUGUGUUUCUGUUCCAACCAAGGCGGCGUAGGGAAAAACAACAAUAUGUCUGUGCUAAAUAUCAACGCAUGAUAGAUGUUUUUUUUUUUUUUUUUGGUAUGUCAAGGCUAACGAAUGAAAUGCAUUAGCUUGUUUUGUGACUAUAACUGCAAAUGUCCAAAUUGGAGUAUCUCCAUUUCUCACUUCGGAUGGUUAACUUUAUAAACAAGAUAUAGGAAACAUGUGAACAUCUUGAGGAACAAUUCAAAUUAUUCAUUAGAAGUCCUGGGUUAAGUUCCAAGAUUUAAAUCAGACCCUUCUAGCAGCUUCAAGGGUACUUAGCAACCUAUAACAUAUUAAUGAAGAUUUAGGAUUUAGACUCCGGAAUACAAAUAAAUAUGUAUCUCAUGCUUUGACUAGCUUCCCUACAUAUGCAUAAAAUGGAGAUGACCCAAAAAAAAUAGCAGAAUCUAGCUUCCCUACAUAUGCACAAAAUGGAGAUGACCCAAAAAAUAGCAUAAUCGCCUUAGUUUCUGUGGUUAAGGUGAUUCUCCGCUUAAUAUCCACAUUGACUCAUUAUGCAAAAUCAACUGAGCUAAUUUUAUUUAUUUAUUUAAUGUCAAAUAGGAACUCCUAAUUAACUGAUUACUGUCGAAAAGUGCUAUUUUGUAGACCUAAUUAUAAGGGUUUUAAGCACCUUUGAGUAGUAAUCAUAUUCAUUUAACCUAAUUAAUUCAUUAAGCUCCUUAGUAAUUAGUUCUAACCAUUUUUAGUGGCAAGUUUACAUGUUUUUCAUCAGCUUAUGAACCAAUUCAAGCAUGCCAAUUGAUGGAGGAGCUACUUGGGCGAGUUAAGCAAGGAUUUUGGACGUUUACAGGCUUGAAUUUCAAGUGGAAACACGAGCACAAGCAAUGGGAACACCAUUUCGCAAGGGGAGGCAAUUCACCUUGCCAAAUGACCAAUUUCGCAAGGGGAUUUUCCUCAUGGUGCAAAAUUUGGUCAUUUCGCACCAUGAAGAAACCACCUUGCAAAAUUUCGCAAGGUGGAUUUAGGCACCUUGCGAAAUGCCAAAUUUCACAAGGUGGCUUUUCACCUUGCGAAAUUUGGACCUUUCAUCUUCCCCCCUUGCGAAAUGCCUUUGAAAUCCCCUGUUUUGAGACGCUGUUGAUGAUAUUCCACUGCCGGUUCUCCAAGAUAUUUUGCUUGACUUUUAGCUUUAUAAAUACCUAUUUUACCCUUGUAAUCAACCAAUGAAAAGGUUGCUUUUGUAAUAGCUCUUGUAAUUUAGCUUUUUAUUGUCUUUAAAUAGAGGUGAAGAGCCUCAGACACGAUCAUCUUGUAACCUGUAACUUUAUAAGUUAUAAGAGCACUUUUGUUCAUACGCUUCUUUUCUCUUUUCUUUCUCAUUUUCUUAGUAGCCAAACAUCCUUGGAGGAUGAAAUCCCCAAGGAUGAGAGGCUAAAACCUUUUAGUUUCUUGAAGUAAUGGAUGCCAUGUGAAGCUCCCGUGUCAGGAUGGAGAUUUCCAAGCCAUAAAUGUAAGUAGCUGAGCGUCAUAAAUGUUUUCAUUCAAAGUAAAGCUUUUAAUCCCUCUGACUUGCUUUGAAUGGCCAAUACUUGAUAACCUUUUGGUCUCAAUGGAUUCUUAUUGUUAGAUCCACUGACGUUCAUUAGUUAUCUCCUACGAGCCAUUGUAUUGCAAGUCGAGGAGAUGACCUAUACCAAUAAAAGAGCAUUUAUGAGGUUCAACUACCCUUUUUGUAAGUUUUCAAGGACUAAAACUCAGUUGUUAAACUCAUACCGGUUCGAGAAGUAAGCAUCACCUUAGUUGCUUCCCCAACUCGAGGUGAAAAGUCCCAAAAUCUCCAUUUUUACACAGUGAGUUAAGCAUGGCUAUCCAAAGCUUUAAGAAACUUCUUUUUCCAUCUUUUAACCUAUUUUCAUGUUAGUUUAGUUUACAACACCUUCAUCUUUUUAUGUUUUCAUCUUAACCUAAUUUUUAUUAAGAAAAGUUCACUCCAUCCUCCGAACUUCACCAGUUAAAGUAAAAACCCUUCCCAGUGUUCGAUCCUAGAGCCACUAUGCUAUAGUAGCUUUGCUACUUUAGUGUAAGGACCUUAGGUAUAAAUUUUGUUGAUACCCUUACAUGCCAAGCUACCAAGAGUCGGGUUAUCAUUAACCUAACCAUUGGCCUGUGUAAAUUGAUUUCACAUGCACAAUGUUGUAGUAGAAGUCCAUAUUUUGAAUUUUAUUUUUGUAAAGGUAAGGAAAAUGAAGCAUUGUGUAAUUAUAAAAAUAACUUCAUUGGAAUUCACAAGGUUCACCCAAAAUGGAGCUACAUCUGUAUUCUAUCCUACAGUAGACUAUAUAGAUUGUACAAUAGUAAAUUGCAAAUACAAUUAAUAAGUCUUGUGCUUCCUUACUAAUAAUCCUUUGACAUGAACAUUGCAGCACUAAGGUCCUCUUGGGAAGACACCUUGCACCCAUGAGAGCACUAAGAGGAAGCAAGGCAGAGUCAUGGGUGCAAUGUCAUGACUUGUUGUUGCACCAAGAGAGGCUUGGUGAUGCCAUGGUGUUGCAGUAGCAAGAAUGUUGCCUUGGCAGGGACACGAUCUAGGGAUAGAUGCCAAGAAAGGCUUAGCACUCACAUGAGUUGCACAAAGAUGAAUGUAAUAGAGCAUCAGAGAGACGUCUUGGCAAGUAAAUGAAUGGAUCCAAGAGACAACAACAUGAGGAGUUUCAAAUGGAUAAGGAAUGACUCAAAGACAUUUGAAAGCUACAAGUUGGAUUCUAAUUACGAUUGCAAUUUGAGUUUGAGUAGGAGUUUAGAUUUUGAUUGUAAUUGUAGUAUGAGUUGGACUAGGAUUGCUUAUCCUUAGUCAAUAUAGGAGCGGUUCGUGUCACCCUAUGAAAAGAGUUUGAGUAGGGACUAGGAUUGCUUACUCCUAGUCAAAUAUGGAGUAGGUGGUGCCACACCUAUAAAAAAAAGGGACAACAUGAGAGAGAGAGAGAGAGAGAAAGAGAGAGUGAAUUCACUAAAGAUAUUGUGGGAGUUUUGCUUUGUUACGUCUUGUAUUAUUACUUAGAAUAGGAAUAAAAUACAAGUUGGGGCUAGAGCCCCAUAAUUAAUCUCGUGUGCCUUUGUGGUUAUUCUUUAUUUGUCAUCUCGUGUGGAUUGGAUUAGGUUGACUUAGAGGGCUUCUAAGCACCACCUUUGUGGGUUAUUAUUUAUUUUCCAUCUCUUGUGGAUUAGAUUAGGUUGACUUAGAGGGCUUCUGAGCACCACCUUUGUGGGUUAUUAUUUAUUUUCCAUCUAUUGUGGAUUAGAUUAGGUUGACUUAGAGGGCUUUUAAGCACCACAUUUGUGGGUUAUUCUUUAUUUUCCAUAUCGUGUGGGUUGGAUUAGGUUGACAAGGAGAAAAAUUAUGUGGGAAAUUUGUGUUGGGACACUUACCAUAACCAAGUAAAAUCUACCAAGUCCUUUGUAAUAUCUUCAACAAAUAUUUUAGACUAGUUCUUUCAGUUAGUGUAAAGGAGGAAGAAGUGGUAUUGAUUCUAGAAAUAGGGUGUGUGUAUUUGAACUACAAUCCUUAUGAUCCUUAGGUCUCUAAACCUUCGUGAUGGGCUCCCUGACAUUUCAUAGGUUGUGCUACACAUGCGUUUGAAAUUUAGAGUGCGUUUGACAGUGAUUCCGGGAAGUGUUUUUGGCCUUUCUUACACUUGAAAAUUUUUAUUUUUCAAGUAUUAGAAAUGCUACAAACACUUUUGAAAAUUACUGUCAAACACACUCUUAGGAGCGCACAUAUAUAGUAGAAAACUAGAAAUUGUGGUUUUUUUAGGAUUUACUGUAAUGUCAUUAGGAGGGUAGUAAGUUGAAAUUGAGUAUGAACAAAUAUUUCUUUCUUUGGGAUGUUCUUCUAGUAGGUGCUGAUGAAACUGUUCUUUCUACUGCCAAUGUCACAUAUCAGCCAGAAAUUGAAAAUUUCAGUCAAGGUGUCCUCUGUUUUAGUGGUGAGGAAAGCUAGAAAUUUUAAGGUGAAGUUUUGUUAAAAACCUUAAGUAGCUGGGAUAUCAGGCCUGUUUUGCUUGAAAAAAAAAGUUGCAAGAUAACUCAUAUGCCAAACAGGUUCUGAUAUUGUGAAUCUAUCGGCAGACAUCAGUAAUCUCAUCUUCUGAGAUGGAUGUUGGGGGUGCAUGUGGUGGUGGAGGGGCAAGGUUUCAUUUGGUUUAUUUUGUUGAUGGAUAUUGUCUAGCCACCUGCGCCAAGUUUGAGGGGUGGUGGGUUGUGAUGACCCUACAAUUACUAUUAAUUUCUUCAUCUUUUACCGAUUAAAGUGUCCGAACAGUCGAAGUUACCCUUAUGCAUGUCAACUUGAUCACUUACCUCUUCAAUGGAGUUUAUGCUGGUUCAUUUAGGAACUGAUUUUUAUUGUUAUGUAUUAUAUGCUGAUGUUUAGGUCUCUCCAUCAUCACUAUAUACAAAAAUUCUAGGUUGAUACUAUAGGUUGAGAUUUAUUUUUUAAAUAAAAAAUAAUAAAAAUAAAAAUUAUGGUGAUGUUUAGUUGUUUUAUGGAAAAUUUUAACAAGUAAAAGUUAUUUUUGGGCAAGUUUUCAAACAAAAAGAAAAGUAAAAGUUGUUUUGACAAAAACAUAUAGAAAAAAAAAUCAUAGAAAAUAAAUAAUUUCCCCAUAUUCUAACUUUUUUGAAUUUUUCUCAAUGGGCAAAGGAAUAUCAAAUCAAGUUUGAGUAGGAUUUCUUAAUUUUUAAAAUAACUUACAAUUAAAAAAUUUUGGUGUUUUCAUUUUUGGACAAUUUUUUAUUAAGCAAAUGGACUCUGAGUCAUGCAAGAGAUAUGGUUCAUUAACCGGUCGAACAAUUUUUUUAAAUUAAUUUAAAAGUCAAAUACAUAAUCAAUUUCACAAAAUUUAUAAACAAAAAUAGGUUUAGAGAAGAUCUACACAUAAUUUUACUUUUCUAAUUUUAUUUUAUUUUAUUUUUUGUUGGAAAAUAGUCUUCAAAUCAUGUAAGAUUUAAUAGGUUAAAUUUGUUAACAAUAAAUUUUAAAUUAUAAAAUAUAAUCUGGAACUCAAAAAUCAAUUCAAGUAAUGCUAAAAAAAAAUCAAAUUUGGUAUAGAAUGACUUUGUAAAUUUUUUUACAAAACAAAUGAAUUUUAAAUCAAGUGAGAUUUAAUGCAUUAGAUUUUUAUCAAAUAUAGUAAUUUUAAAAAUAAAUUUGGAACUCAACAAUAGACACAAUAAAUACCAAAAAAUAAUGAACCAAAAUUGGUUUGGAAUAACUCCACAACCUUUUUUUUUUUUUUUUGGUGCACACGAAUUUUCUUACUAGGUAUAUUGCUUUCAAAUUGAGAAAGAUUUACCAUUUAGAUUUUUUUUUAAUGAGUUUAAUGGUAUUUUAAAAUAAUUCAAAAUUUAAAAAAUUGACUAAUUAAUAUUAUAAAUUGAUAAACCAAGACUAUUUCAAAAUGCAUUGGGGGCUAAGGGGGUUGAAAAUAGGGACAAUGGGAUGGGUUUGGGACAUGACACUCAUAUCUCAUUUCCAUUCCAAUUACACAGUUAUCUCCCAUCCUUAUCCCAAACUUGUGUUGGAGCAAGUUGAUUUGUUCCCAUCUUUGUUGACGAAAUGACUAAUAACCUCAUCCCCUCCUUAUCUUAGAUGUACAUUUUGUCAAAUUUGAUCAGGUAUGAUUGAUCCAAGCCCUAACCCUAAUUGGUAAUGAGUGAAUACUACACCUAAUUGCAUUCUUCUUUCAUUGCAAAAUAAUGAGAUUAUAAUAAUCUAGCAAAUAAGAAAAAAUAGUAUGGAAGUUCAAAUUAACACCAUAACUAUCAAUAAUUUUAAGCUUAUAGAUGACUUAAAUGAUUAAAAACUAAUGCAAAAUCCUAAAAAAAAUAAAAAUCAUAUAAAGAAUUCACAAGAGAACAGAAUGAACAAAAACCAAAUAUGAACAUGGGUCAACAUUAGUUAUGGAUUUGGAUUCCUUUCAAGGCCAAUCUUUGAACCAAGACUUCAUCAAAUCAACUACUUCAAAGGCUUUUGUGUUCUUCUUGGGUUGUGCUCUCAAACAAAGACUUCGAGGUGAUGUUCUAGAUGAUUGAAUUACACAUAUUUAGGGUGGAGAGAUUGGAGAAGCUUGAAGAUGCCAACGAUGGGUACAAUUGAGUGGUCAAUAAGAACAAUGUAGCCUAUGACUAGUUUGAUGUCAUGGUACAAGAGUUUUAGGCAUUGAGGUUAAAGCAAGAGCAACAUGGAAUUGAUUUCGGAGUCUUUCAGUUAGUGUAAAGGAGGAAGAAGUGGUGUUGAUUCUAGAAAUAGGGUUUUAAGUGGUGCGUGAUUACUACUCAAAAAGUGCUAUUUGAUAGCCUUUAAUUAAUCCUUUUUAACACUUUUGAGUAGUAGUUUAGGCCUUUUAACUCAAUUGGCAUGUUAAGGAUCCUUUAAAGCAAUUUUGAUCACUUUGUGCAAGUUUUGGUGUUUUUGUUAGUAUUUUGAUCACCAAAGCAAGUCAAGAAUGAGGAGAACUAUGAGGAAUCAUGGGCAAAGCUUAGAAUUCAAUUGCCAAGAGUGAAUCCGGAUUGCAAGGAGAAAAAGCAAAGAGAAUCUGUCAUGAAGCCUAUUCUUGAUGACAGUCGUAGCAGCCACUUUUGGAGCACUUUCUGAAGUCCAAAUGAUGCAAGCUAUAUACCAUUUCAAAGAUCAGGAAGUCAACAAUCCAAUGCUUCAAACGGUGCGCGAUUCGGAGUUGAAACGAAGAAGUUGCAGCCAUUACAAGCCAGUCACUCUAAAGUGUUGCGGAAUCAGCCUUUUGUUGCGAGAAUUUCGCAGCACUUUUGUACAGUAAGGUGUUUCUCCUUCUGACGAUGCACGAACCAUGCCGCGAGAGGGAAGCUAGGAACUUCAAGAUGGAAGCCAACUUUGCAGCCUGGUGAAGAUAGCUUGGUCUUGCGAAAUAAUUUCGCAGCCCUCUUGGGUGUCUGCGAAAUUUCGCAGGCACCACUUUUUUCCUGCGAAAUGGCUCCGGAAGCCUCCCGAAGCUUGCUACCGACAUUGGGAGAUAUUUUCCAUUAGAUUUUUGUUGUCUAAAUUCCAAAAUACUCCUUGUAAACCACCAAUUACAUGAUUCCUUAGUUUUUAAGUUAGUAAAAAGACCAAAUAUCUAUGUAAUAAUUAGUUUUAUAUUAGUUUGCUAUAAAUACCUCUCGGGAGCAUGUUCUCAGAGAGGAGUUCCUUCUGUAACCAUUUUGGUAAGCAAGUAAAGUCUUUUCUUUCUACUGCCUUACCUUCUCACUUUGUAUUUUCAUUUUAUUUCUAAGUUAUGAAUUCUCUGAGGAGCUUUCCCCAGAGAAUGAGUAACUAAACCUCCAAUUCCUUGGAGCUAAGGUUGCCGGGGAAGGUUCCAAGUGCAAGAAUGCAAAGCUCUGUGGUUUUAGCUAGUAAUGAAGAGGAAGUGAAAUCCUUUAGUGAUUUCAAUGUUUUUAGUUAACUUAAAACACCUUGGAGUCACCUGGGCCAACACUUGGUAAGGCAAGUGAUUUCCAACCGUGGAAAUGCACUAGUUUACCCCUUGCGAGCCUCUGGUAGGUGACUUCAAGGUAGGAUUUUCUGGAAUUACCAACACUUGGUAAGCUUUUGGACUCCUAGGAGACAUCCAUUAGUUAUCUCUUGCGAGUUUGUGAAGGGGAAUCCAAGGUUAAAGAUCACCUUGAAUGGUAAGUGCUCGUGAGAGGCAUGAACCAUUGCAAGUUGUAUCAGUGAGAGAAUUAAAGUGAAAUCUAAUUGAAGGAGUCUCUGUACAUCACCGGUUAGAGAAUUGACUAUAAGUUGAAUCUCUAAUGCGAGGAAAUGAACCAUCUGACCGGAGCUAUGUCUUUUGCAUGAGGAACCACCCCAGUGAACCUAAAUCUCCAAGGAAUGCUUUUCUUCCUAAAUUAUUCCAAACUUCUGUUAAGUUAGUUAGUUUAAGUCUAAACCUUUACCAAUCAAACUUUGUGUUUUAUUUCUUAAGCUAACCGUGAAAUGAAACAAAACCAAUUCACUUGGAAUUGGUAUCCUUGAUUGCUUGCAAAUCAUUCCCAGUGAACGAUCCUUAGAGCCACUAUACUAUAGUAGCUUUGUAUUUGCUACCCUAGUGUAUGGUGUUAUAGGUAUAAAUUUUGUUGAUCACUUCCUCAAUCAAGGAACACCAGCUGAACACAAAUCAGCUGAGACACCAAUUGGGCAUGAGUCAAAUGGCGCCGUUGCCGGGGAAUGAGUGUCAAGAUCAUUGUGAUACCAUUUUUGAGCACUUGUGAUUUUCAUCACAAGUUGGUAAAGUUUCUUUCACUUUACUAAUUUUCAUUCUCUCUUUGUUUAUUUACAAUCUAAGUUUAUCUUUUUAAAAUUUAGUCUAGUUUAAUUUUGCUAUUGUAGCCUUGUUUCUCUUGUUGUCCUCUGUUCUUGUUGUCCUCUGUUUUCAUUUUAGUUGCAGCUGAAUACUAGUUGUGUAUGCCAAAGUGGAUACGAGACAUUGGAGGUAGGCUUAUUAAGUGUGAUACACCUCAGAGAGGAGAAUUGGAAGUAAUCUUGAAUAUCAUGGAGGCUGCACCUGAAGAUCAGCAUAGUCACCAAGGUCGUCAAGACAAUCUCAAUGAAUUCAGAUCAAUGAGGGACCGUAUGCAUCCACCUCGUAUGAGUGCACCAUCAUGUAUAGUGCCCCCUACAGAGCAACUAGUGAUCAGACCAUAUCUUGUUCCACUUCUACCAACUUUCCAUGGGAUGGAAAGUGAGAAUCCGUAUGCACACAUCAAGGAAUUUGAAGAUGUUUGUAAUACAUUCCAAGAGGGAGGAGCUUCAAUUGAUUUGAUGAGGCUUAAGUUAUUUCCUUUUAAUUUAAAGGAUAAGGCCAAAAUUUGGCUUAAUUCUUUAAGGCCAAGGAGUAUCCGCUCUUGGACUGAUUUACAAGCUGAAUUCCUCAAGAAAUUUUUUCCUACUCAUAGAACAAAUGGCUUGAAAAGGCAAAUUUCAAACUUCUCAGCUAAAGAGAAUGAGAAAUUCUAUGAGUGUUGGGAAAGAUACAUGGAAGCUAUAAAUGCUUGUCCUCACCAUGGCUUUGAUACUUGGCUACUGGUGAGUUAUUUUUAUGAUGGUAUGUCCUCCUCAAUGAAGCAACUCCUCGAGAAAAUGUGUGGAGAAGAUUUCAUGAGCAAAAAUCCAGAGGAAGCUAUGGAUUUCUUGAGCUAUGUAGCUGAUGUUUCAAGGGGAUGGGAUGAACCAACUAAAGGAGAAGUGGGAAAGAUGAAGUCUCAGUUGAAUGCUUACAAUGCAAAGGCUGGGAUGUAUACUUUAAAAGAGGAUGAUGACAUGAAAGCAAAGUUGGCAGCUAUGACAAGAAGAUUGGAGGAGCUGGAGCUGAAAAGAAUGCAUGAAGUGCAAGCUGUUGCUGAAGCACCAGUGCAAGUGAAGUUGUGUCCCAAUUGUCAAUCGUUUGAACAUUUGGUAGAGGAAUGCCCUGCAAUUUCAGCUGAAAGGGAAAUGUAUAGAGAUCAAGCAAAUGUUGUUGGACAAUUCAGGCCCAAUAACAAUGCUCCUUAUGGAAAUACCUACAAUUCAAGUUGGAGGAAUCAUCCAAAUUUUUCAUGGAAGGCCAGAGCAACUCAAUACCAACAGCCGGAUCCACCAUCUCAACAAUCUUCAAGUAUUGAACAAAUAAUAGCUAAUCUCAGCAAGGUAGUGGGAGAUUUUGUGGGAAAGCAAGAAGCCACCAAUGCUCGAGUGGAUCAAAGAAUGGACAGAGUGGAUCAAAGAAUGGACAGAAUGGAGAGUAUGUUGAACAAAAGAAUGGAUGGAAUGCAAAAUGAUAUGAAUCAAAAAUUUGAUAACAUCCAAUAUUCAAUUUCAAGGCUUACAAAUUUGAAUACACUGCAAGAAAAGGGAAGAUUUCCUUCUCAACCUAACCAAAAUCCCAAAGGUGUCCAUGAAGUGGAAAGCCAUGAGGGAGAAUCAUCACAGGUGAAAGAUGUGAAAGCUUUGAUCACUCUAAGGAGUGGUAAGAAAAUUGAGCAGCCAACACCCAAGCCACAUGUUGAGAAAGAAGAAGAGAUGAAGAAAGGGAAGGAAAUGGAAGAUAAAGGCAGUGAGAUCAGUGAAGAAAAGAAGGACUCUGAUGCAACAAUGAAAGUAAUUCCAGAGAAGGAGCUUCUGAAGGAAGAAAUGCUGAAGAAAUCAACUUUUCCACCUUUUCCUCAAGCAUUACAGGGGAAAAAGGGGGUUAGAAAUGCAGCUGAAAUCCUAGAAGUAUUGAGGCAAGUGAAAGUUAAUAUUCCACUGCUGGAUAUGAUCAAACAAGUUCCAACGUAUGCAAAAUUCCUAAAGGACUUGUGUACUAUCAAAAGAGGGUUGACUGUAAACAAGAAAGCCUUCUUGACUGAGCAAGUAAGUGCAAUCUUACAGUGUAAGUCUCCUUUGAAGUACAAAGACCCUGGAAGUCCUACCAUUUCAGUCAUGAUUGGAGGAAAGGUAGUGGAGAAAGCCUUGCUAGACUUGGGAGCAAGUGUGAAUUUGCUUCCAUAUUCUGUCUACAAGCAACUGGGACUUGGAGAGUUGAAGCCAACAGCAAUCACUUUGUCUCUGGCAGAUAGAUCAGUGAAAAUUCCAAGAGGGGUAAUUGAGGAUGUAUUGGUUCAAGUAGAUAAUUUCUACUAUCCUGUAGAUUUUGUUGUUCUUGAUACAGAUCCUACUGUAAAGGAAGCUAAUUUAGUUCCUAUCAUCCUUGGAAGGCCAUUUCUUGCAACUUCAAAUGCAAUCAUCAACUGUAGAAAUGGGCUUAUGCAACUCACUUUUGGUAACAUGACACUGGAUCUAAAUAUUUUCUAUAUGUCUAAAAAGCAAAUCACUCCAGAAGAAGAAGAGGGUCCAGAAGAGCUAUGUAUUAUUGAUACUUUGGUGGAGGAGCACUGCAAUCAACAUAUGCAAGAUAAGUUGAAUGAAAGUUUUGUGGAUAUUGAGGAAGGUUUUUCUGAAUCUCCUAAUGGGCUUGCUACUCUACAAAGUUGGAGAAAGAUAGAAGGAAUUCUACCUUUGUUCAAUGAAGAAGAGGAGGCAGCUGUUGAAAAAGAAAUUCCAAAACUCAAUCUGAAGCCUUUACCUAUGGAGCUGAAAUAUACAUAUCUUGAAGAAAAUAAUCAAUGUCCUGUCGUAAUAUCUUCAUCUCAAACCAAGUCUCAAGUGAAGGAUGCAAGCUUCAAAUGGGAUCCGGGCAAACUGAAUCAGGAAGGGCAAAAAGUUUUGAUGUAUGACACAAGACUCCAUAUCUUUCCUGGGAAGCUCAAGUCAAGGUGGAUUGGUCCAUUUGUUAUUCACCGAGUAUAUUCCAAUGGAGUGGUGGACUUAUUGAAUUCCAAUGGCAAGGACAGCUUUAGAGUCAAUGGAUAUCGUCUUAAGCCGUUCAUGGAGUCAUUCAAAUCAGAAAAGGAGGCAAUCAACCUCCUUGAACCUCAAAAAGCCUAAGUGAAAUGGGUUUGCUGGACGUGGUUUUACCACAGUCCAAAAAUUUUUGUAAAUUUUGUAAAUUUUCAAGUUGUUUCCAUGCUUUUAAUCUUAGUUUUUGAUUUUAAAUCAUGUUUUUAGGUGUGUUUUAAUCGUUUUAUAUGAUCCCAGGCGGAAGAAAUUUCAAGGGGAUUGAAAAGAAAAAAAUCGGGUCGAAAUUGGAGCCGAAACAGAGCAAAAACAGGGGAAAAACAGAGCUCUGCGAAAUUUCGCAGGGUGAAGGAAACUUCUGCGAAAUUGGCAUUUUGCUGCCAAACCAUUCCGCAGCACUGUAGAAGCCUCUGCGAGUGUAUUUCGCAAUUGCGAAAGUGGAUUUGGCACACGAGUGCCACUUCGCAGCACAGUGACAUCAAUUUCGCAGCUGCGAAACUCACUGCGAAGUUGCUGCGAAAAUGGCAAGUUGCUGCGAAAUUGGCGUUUUGUUGCGAAACGUAAUCUGACCCCUGGGCUUCCGUUUUUCCUAUUUAUACCUGUCAAAAGUGCUGCGAAAAAGGUUUCAAAAAUUAGAGCACCAUUCUCGCAGCCCUUUCAUCUUCUUCGCCAAGCCACGCCGUCCGUUUCUCCGGUCGUCUUCUCCGUUUAGCAGCGCCGGCCAAAGAUCGAUAGCCCAAAAAUGGCACGAACGCGAGGGGCAAAGUCUUCAUCCCCUUCGAACCGCAAAAGGAGUCUGCGAAAGGAGCCAAGUUCAGGCUCUGUUCCAGAACCUGCUCCAAAGCCUUCGCCGUCGAGACCACAACCUUCUCCAGUGAAGCCGGCGCCACCAAAGCCGCCGGCAAGGCGAUAUUUAACCAGGUCAGGUGGUCAGCCAUUGAAGAAGAAAGCCAGAGUUGAGAGCUCUGAACCAAUCGAUUUGACUGAGCAAUCCCCUGAGAAAUCACCAAAUCCUUCACCGGUACAAAUUCCAGUGCCAUCACCGGUUCCCUCGCCAAUUCCCUCACCAGAAGCAACUCCAAUUCCAUCGCCGGUACCAUCUCCGGCACCCCAAGAAAAAGCUCAGGAGCCUCAAGCGCCAAUUCCAGAGCCCCAAAUUGCAGCUGAAGCACCUCUGGAAGAAGUGAUCCGAAGGCCAAUGCUGCCUCAGCCCCCAAUCGAAGGAAACCUGGAUUGCCGAACUCGGGCAUUCCAUUCUGAGCUUUGCUUCGAUUUAACAGCAUUCAGAGUGAGGCCAGAGCUUGCCCAAUCCUUCCAACUGCUGAGGAGAUAUCAUAUGGAGCAUCUGCUAGCUCCAAGGGAUUUUUUCUAUCCCCGGGUAGUCACGGAUUUCUACCAAACCAUGACAACCAAAGAAGUAAGAAAUCCAACUCUGAUUCAUUUCAUAAUUGAUGGAAGGCAUGGUAUUUUGGGAGCAAGACAUAUUGCUGAAGCCCUGCAAAUUCCUUUUGAGCCAACUCAAUUCGACAAUUUUAAAGCUUGGACAAAUCCUACUGAGUUAGAGAUGGUUAGCACACUAACCAGAGGAGCUGCAAAUCGAUCGCAUUUGUUGAGGGGGGAGCUACCUCCAGUUAUGUUUUUGAUUGAUGCCUUUUUGAGGCAUAAUAUCUAUCCCCUGCAGCAUUGGACCCAAAGAAGGGGAAUUCUCCUAGAAGCCUUGUACAAAAUGUCUGAAGGAUUCUUCUUUGGGCCUCAUCAUCUGAUCAUGGCAGCCCUUCUAUACUUUGAGGAGAAGGUUCACAAGAAGAAGCUUCAAAGAGCAGAUUGCAUUCCACUCCUCUUCCCAAGGCUGCUAUGCCAAGUUUUGGAGCAUCUCGGAUACCCCUCUGAGCCUCAGCAGGAAAGAAAGAGAAUAUGCCGUGAGCCUUUUACCCUUGAUAAAUGGAAUAAUAUGACGGCCUACAAAAUUGAUCAGCCUGGGCAGCCUCAGCCAGCAGCAAGGAGAGUCUCCCCAAGACAUAUACCUGAAGGUAUAACACUUGCUACUCCUGCCAUCCCUCGAGCUCCACCAGCUGCACCUGCUCCAUCACAGCCAUCCACAUCAGCUGAGCCGAGGAUGGCCAUCCCUAUAUCCGAAUAUCGAGAGCUGUGCCGUGCAUUGGAGACUCUUACAGCUUCUCAGAGCAAUCUUGCUCAGGAGUUGGCAGCCAUUAAAGCAUGCCAGGAGCAGAUGUUAGCCUCUCAGACUCAACAAGCUGCCAUCCUAAGGCAGCUUCAAGUCCAUUUCGAUCUGCCACAAGCUGUAGAGCCCUCUAUUCCUACUCCACCAGAGCCACACUCUCAGCCUUCAGAGUCUCAUCCUCCAGAACCCGAAGCACCAGCUGAUCCACCUACUGAGGAGGCAGAUCCUUCUGCCUAGCACCAUCACCCCCCUCAUCAGACAUUAUAUAUAUAUUUGCUGUUUAUGUUUUUAUGCAUGUUUGUUUUGUUUUAGUUGAAAAGAAAUCCCAGUAUUUUGGUACUAUAUAUGGGAUUCCUUGUGUUACUUGUCUUUAGUAUUGUAAUCACAUGAACUCAAAGUAAUACAAGUUGACUAUUUCUUGUUAAAAGUUAGCAUUAAAGUUUCCUUAUUUCCUUUUCUCACAUAUUCUAUUCUUUUUGAAACAUGUGGUUUUCCCCAAUCAAUAUUCGAAUUUGAUAUCAGCAUGGAGGUACCACUUCCUCCCUUUUAUUACAGUCACUCAAAUCACAUUGAGGACAAUGCUCAGUUCGGUUGGGGGGUAUGAGGAAGGAAGUAUUCUAAACCUUUUUGGUAUUGCAAUUAUAUUGGUUAAUUAGUUGUAGAUUUUACUUUUUACUAGUGUUACUCUAUUCUCCAUGAAUUUUGAGGAAAAAUUUUCAAAUUAAACCAAGAGAAAUUGAACUGUUGUUUUUCACUUGACUUAGAGUAUGGAUUAUGCUUACUAAAGUGGUUCAAUUGUUGAAACUUCUACUGAAAUUGAAUUGAGUUCUUCCACUUUAAGCUAUCCACACACUGUGCACAUUAGUUUCCGAUUAUAAGAUGAAAAGCUAUUUCCCUCUUGACUUAGUAUAUUUUUGGGACUUGGUAUAUUUGACCUCAUUUGAUAAAAAUUGAAACACCCUGCAAAAGGCCAAUGAGCCUUUGAAAUAAAGAAAGUUGUUUGCUUGCCUUGAAACCCGAGCAAGGUCUGAGGGGUAUAUGGUGAAAAUCUUUAAAGCCUGGUGCCCUAAGCCUUAAUUGGUUGGGAGUCACCGACCUCAAUGCUCGUUACAAGGGUGAAUAGGUAGAGUUAGCAUAUGGUAGAUGCUUGGGUAUUAGAAAUUCAUUCUUAAAAGUCCGGGGAAAAAUCCGAGGAGUUAGUGGUUGAAAGAUCCUUAAAACUUGGUGCCCUAAACCUUAAUUGGUUGGGAGUCAUCGAUGGACCCCCAUUACAUGGACAAGUCAGAAAGAGUACCCCAUAAAGCUACCUUAAAAAAAAAAAAAAAAAAAAAAAAAAAAAAAAAGAUGAAAGUGUGUUCUUUUCUUAUUGAUUUUGGUCAGUUUGCUAAAGUGUUGAAAAGAGAUAGGUUGGGGGGUGAGAUUAGUAGCAUAUUAUUCUCGGAACCUAAGGAACCAAUACACAUAGAUUUUUGUGGAAGAUUGAAGUUUAGUUCUUAGAAAAUGAAAUGAUUUUAAAACUUCAGUUUGCAUAAUGCACUCCCUUGAUUGACAGUGUUUAGCAUAGGUGUUAUGACUCUUGUUGAGAUUUGGGUUUGUAUUUCUUUAAUGAUUCAUGUGAGAAAUAGAUCAUCAUGCCACUUGAGAAUUAUUUUCCUUUUAGCAUGAUGUUGUAAAUUUUAGAUUAGUUUGCUAUUUAUUUUUUAUUUUCUCUCCUAUAUUGCUAAGGGACUAGCAAUAUGUCGGUUGGGGGGAGUGAUUACUACUCAAAAAGUGCUAUUUGAUAGCCUUUAAUUAAUCCUUUUUAACACUUUUGAGUAGUAGUUUAGGCCUUUUAACUCAAUUGGCAUGUUAAGGAUCCUUUAAAGCAAUUUUGAUCACUUUGUGCAAGUUUUGGUGUUUUUGUUAGUAUUUUGAUCACCAAAGCAAGUCAAGAAUGAGGAGAACUAUGAGGAAUCAUGGGCAAAGCUUAGAAUUCAAUUGCCAAGAGUGAAUCCGGAUUGCAAGGAGAAAAAGCAAAGAGAAUCUGUCAUGAAGCCUAUUCUUGAUGACAGUCGUAGCAGCCACUUUUGGAGCACUUUCUGAAGUCCAAAUGAUGCAAGCUAUAUACCAUUUCAAAGCUCAGGAAGUCAACAAUCCAAUGCUUCAAACGGUGCGCGAUUCGGAGUUGAAACGAAGAAGUUGCAGCCAUUACAAGCCAGUCACUCUAAAGUGUUGCGGAAUCAGCCUUUUGUUGCGAGAAUUUCGCAGCACUUUUGUACAGUAAGGUGUUUCUCCUUCUGACGAUGCACGAACCAUGCCGCGAGAGGGAAGCUAGGAACUUCAAGAUGGAAGCCAACUUUGCAGCCUGGUGAAGAUAGCUUGGUCUUGCGAAAUAAUUUCGCAGCCCUCUUGGGUGUCUGCGAAAUUUCGCAGGCACCACUUUUUUCCUGCGAAAUGGCUCCGGAAGCCUCCCGAAGCUUGCUACCGACAUUGGGAGAUAUUUUCCAUUAGAUUUUUGUUGUCUAAAUUCCAAAAUACUCCUUGUAAACCACCAAUUACAUGAUUCCUUAGUUUUUAAGUUAGUAAAAAGACCAAAUAUCUAUGUAAUAAUUAGUUUUAUAUUAGUUUGCUAUAAAUACCUCUCGGGAGCAUGUUCUCAGAGAGGAGUUCCUUCUGUAACCAUUUUGGUAAGCAAGUAAAGUCUUUUCUUUCUACUGCCUUACCUUCUCACUUUGUAUUUUCAUUUUAUUUCUAAGUUAUGAAUUCUCUGAGGAGCUUUCCCCAGAGAAUGAGUAACUAAACCUCCAAUUCCUUGGAGCUAAGGUUGCCGGGGAAGGUUCCAAGUGCAAGAAUGCAAAGCUCUGUGGUUUUAGCUAGUAAUGAAGAGGAAGUGAAAUCCUUUAGUGAUUUCAAUGUUUUUAGUUAACUUAAAACACCUUGGAGUCACCUGGGCCAACACUUGGUAAGGCAAGUGAUUUCCAACCGUGGAAAUGCACUAGUUUACCCCUUGCGAGCCUCUGGUAGGUGACUUCAAGGUAGGAUUUUCUGGAAUUACCAACACUUGGUAAGCUUUUGGACUCCUAGGAGACAUCCAUUAGUUAUCUCUUGCGAGUUUGUGAAGGGGAAUCCAAGGUUAAAGAUCACCUUGAAUGGUAAGUGCUCGUGAGAGGCAUGAACCAUUGCAAGUUGUAUCAGUGAGAGAAUUAAAGUGAAAUCUAAUUGAAGGAGUCUCUGUACAUCACCGGUUAGAGAAUUGACUAUAAGUUGAAUCUCUAAUGCGAGGAAAUGAACCAUCUGACCGGAGCUAUGUCUUUUGCAUGAGGAACCACCCCAGUGAACCUAAAUCUCCAAGGAAUGCUUUUCUUCCUAAAUUAUUCCAAACUUCUGUUAAGUUAGUUAGUUUAAGUCUAAACCUUUACCAAUCAAACUUUGUGUUUUAUUCCUUAAGCUAACCGUGAAAUGAAACAAAACCAAUUCACUUGGAAUUGGUAUCCUUGAUUGCUUGCAAAUCAUUCCCAGUGAACGAUCCUUAGAGCCACUAUACUAUAGUAGCUUUGUAUUUGCUACCCUAGUGUAUGGUGUUAUAGGUAUAAAUUUUGUUGAUCACUUCCUCAAUCAAGGAACACCAGCUGAACACAAAUCAGCUGAGACACCAAUUGGGCAUGAGUCAGUGCGUUAGAGGAUCAAGAAGAAGAAAAAGAAGGAACUGUUGGAAUUAGUAUGAGUGUGAAGAGAAAAGUAUAUAAAUAAGGGGAAGUAAAAGCAAAGUUCAAAAAGCUAUAUUUUUUUAUUGUUGGUGUAUGGUUGCAUGAUUAUCCCUAUAAAUAAUAGGAGUUUUUUGGUAUUCUACUAGUAGUUGAAGCAUAAUUUCAUAAAUUAAUAUUUAGAGCGGGGUGGGGUGAGUUGUGACAAAAUUCAUACCCGUCCCAAACCUUGGUUCAGAUUUUUAAAAUAUUCUCAAACUUAUCAUAUACCCAACUUUUAUAUUUCAUACUUGUCCUAAUAGAGGCACGUUAGGCCGGGUUACUUGAGUAACCUACAUAAUUGUCAUCCCUAGUUGAAAUACACUUUUUGGCAGUGGCCACCAACUGAGCUAGAAGCUUGAUUGAUUGACCUACAAGAUUAGUUCUCAUCAUUUUAAAAAAAGUUCUGGCUUUGGUUGUGAGUGCAAUUGAAUCUAAACUGGCAUUUGCUUAAUGCAUCUACUUCAAUCCUAAACUUCUUACUUCUUAAGCCUCAAUUGUUGUUAGGAUUUUGGAAAACCCAUUUCCUUAAAUUGUAAAUUUAAGAUAAAAUAAAAUAAAAGUGAGACAUUUCUUGAUUGAAUAUUGUUAAAGGUCCCUUGGCAUUAAGACUUGGUUGAAGCCUUGGAAGAUUAGUGGAACUCUCAACAUGUGUUUGAAUCUUGAGGAGAGUGGAUGUAAGCCAAAAUUUUGUCAAACCAUUAUACAAAUUGAGUUUGAAUCCUCAUUUCUUGAUUUCUUAUUUAUUUGCUUUUUCUUAUUAUUACUUGAAUUGUCAUUUGCAUUCAUUAAUGUUAAAAUUGGUUAUAAUUAACCAACACUAAUUCUCUUUCCCCUUCCCUUUCUUGGGUGUAAACCUAGGUUGGAUUAACUAGAUAAAUCUAUUAAGAUGGUAAAAGAAUAAUUAUUCUUAACAUACAUAAGAUCAUCUUCAAUCAAAUGACUCAUUGGCUAAUAUGUUGAAUUUGCUUAUUACUUGCAACUCAAAAUUGUGUUCUAGUUGUGUCAAGUCCCCAGUGUAUGGACAUUAAAUUUGUAGUACGUGAUGAGUAAUUAGAUGGUCCAACUCCAAGAAAGUGAUUGAAAAGUAGUUCAAGAAAGGUGCAAAAGGGAAUUGUUUUGGUAUUUUCGUUUUUAUUCUUGAAGGUGGCAGAGCUAAAAUUUGAGAAAUCAAGCAAAACAUACUGAAAUUACAUUGAAAGAAAGAAGAUGGGAGUUAAUGUCUUGCAGUACAUGAUAAGGACUUCAUGCAUGUAGUGUGACCCAUGUCUUGGACUGAUGCCAACUCACGGUUACACUUAUACCCUUGGUUCUCUCUUUACUACCUUGGCUAACCUAGAUCAGGCUAUGAGAUAGGCUCCUCACCACACCAUUACUUGCCCAUUAAUUAGAGACAUUUUCAAGCAAUGAGGUAACAUGGUGACACCAAGAGGGUCUAUUCCUCGCCCGGAACAAGUCUAGACUUGGUCUCAAAAAAAUGGAGAAAAAUGAGGUGUCGUUAUGUAGAAAUACAACAACCAUGCCUUCCUCAUUACUUAGAUUCAGAAUGUGAAGGUGAAAUUGAGAAACAGAAACUCUUGAAACCAAAAUGAAAAUUGAUACUUUUACGAAGAAUUACAACAACAUUAGAGGAAGACUACAUUCUUCCUCUUUAUUCCUACAUUUCUACACUACUUCUACUCCACUCCAUAUUUCUACAUACAUCUUUAAUCAGUCUUCCCUCCUUUAUAUAGAGCCAUCUUCACACAAAUUUCGCAAGGUAGAAAAGAGGAAUGAAACUUGGAGCAAGGUUCGACUACUGGUUGUAGCUUGUCAAGGCUGGAAGUGAACUUUUCUUGGCUUUCUGGGCAUGGGUAGUAACUUGUGGGUUCCUGUUUGGCAUAAAAAUGGCUAGAACAUGUGGCACUAUCUUGUUGGAUGAUGUGUCAAGCAUGUGGCAGCCAUCUAGUGGCGAUUAUGUCAAUUUUGGGAUGGAGAGUUGGCAUCCAAUUGCAAAGAAAUAUGACGUCUACCAACAUGCAAUGUAAACCUAUGUAGAUCAUAUGAAGAUAGAGAGGAAAAAUAUAGAAAUGGAUAUAUACCUAGAACUAGCUUUUUAUUAAAUGAAACGGAGAGACAACAAUGAAGGAAAAUAAAAUUUUUUGGCUUAUAUCAAAGAGUUCACAUUGUGUUACCCUAGGUUUUCUUAAAACUUACUUUUAUGAUAACAAAAAAGAAAAAACCAUUAUUGUUUAAUCCUUUGUUUUAAACGCAUGUAAGGUGUAAUUAAGUUAGUUCAAUGCAUUAAUUUAAGAAACUUGACCUAUCAAAAGUACAAAAUUAGAUGAAAUCCAUUUCAAUGGUUAAAAUGAUCAAAAUCAAACUUUUUCUAAGUAUUUUUUAAAAGCAUCAAUAGUGAAAGACAAUUUUAUAUUUAGUCGGAGUUUGGACAAAACUGAAAAACACACAAAAUCCAAGCGACCAUCUCUAGCUUGGAUGGUCGCUUGAUCCCACCUAGAGAUGUGCAUGAGUAAAAGGAUUUGAAAAUGGAAAUUGACUAUGUAGUCGAUCAAUUAACUUUGCAACAUCAUAUGCAAUCCUAAUUGCUAGUCAUCUAAUCAAUUAGGUAGUCAAUCAACAGGCCAAAAAUAUGUUUAUAAUGACUAUUUUGUACAAAAACCACCUGUAUAGUUAAAUAUAAUGCAUUUCAUUUAUAAAUCUUCUAAUUCUUGAAUAACGAUCCUAUCAUCCUUUGAAAGUUUUUAUUACACUUUUUUUACUUUUGUUCUAAAACUUACACAUCACCCUUAAUUGUACCAUGAGAACCUAGCUAUUUUUUAUUUUUUUUUUUGUAAUUCAUCAAAGUUAGCUUUUGUAUUCAUUGUUGUAUUAUUUUUAGUAUAACUUAGAAAGCUAGUGUUUUCAAGUGAGUAAAAUUAACUUGUAAAUAUUGUAAAGAUUCAUCGACAUGUAUCUUAAACUAAGUGUACAAGUUAAAACAUUUGCUAGUAGAUUUUCUCAAAAUUUAGAAUAGAGCUUGAGACUAUUGAAAUAGGUGGGGUUGCACCAAACCACAUCACAUCGUUGUUUGCACCUUUUUUCACUCUCUUUUACUUAGUUGCUCUAUAUUUGUUGUCUAGUAAUAUCCUAUAGGCUUGAUGGGUUAGGGAGCAUCCCUUUGUGAAAAAAUUUUAUUCAAUCCUUAGUUGUAUCACGCAUAUAUAAAAUGCCUCAUUGUUUUAAUGGUAUUCAGUCGUGGCAUCACAGAUAUGGGCAUCUAAAUUUUAAAAGUUUGAAACUUUUAUCUAAAGAAAAUAUGGUGCUUUGCCUUUUUGUAAAGCAUGUUGAUGAAAUCCAUGAGAAUUGUGUACUUGGGAAGCAACACCGAGAUGACUUUUUUUUUUUUUUUAUAAUAUUGUUUGUCCAAAUUCCCUACAAAUUAGGCCACCAGAUGUUCAUAAUUCUCCCUUCUUGAAUUUGAAAACUCGGACAAUUGGACAAUGCGACACCUAAGUCCGGUUUCUAAAUGCUAAAGUGAAAGGGUAGGUAUGGACCAUUGAAAUGUGAUCACAACUUUUCUCUGUAGCCAUGUUGUCUCUUUUUUCUUUUGCAUGAUUUUCUUACCUUAACAGAAUCAUAGACUUGUUUAGUCUCUAAAUGGGAUUAAUUUCAUCCAGCUUUAAGCUACUAUAUUAUAUCUAGGUGGAGGACUUUUAAGAGUGCAACCGACAUAGAGCACAUGGAAGUGGGUAUAUGGGACAUGAAAUUUCUUCUUAUAAAGAUUGCAUGAUUUUUAUAUUAGAGUUGUUGAGGCGCUAUGUAUUUAGCUUGUUUUGCAGUUAAAUUAAUUGGAUAAGUAGACAUUGGCGUUUCUAAAUCUACUGUGAAGUGCUUCAUGUACGUGUGAAGUAUUAGAAAUUUCUUUCUUGGCAACUUGUUUUUCUUUGCGGUCUACUGAUAGGUUUGACUAAAAUUAUAUUCCCUGUCAUGCUAAUUAAUUUUCACGUGCAUGCUCAAAAGAAAAGUAUGACCUUAGUGCACCAAAAUCACUUUGAUUAAUUUGUGAUAGGUUUUUGUGCAUCAUGACAUUAGCCUUAUUCAUUUAGAUAAUGUUUAGUUUUUAGAAAGUAUUAAGAAAAGGAAAAUAAAUAUUAAGAAAAAUAUUCUUAUAUUUGAUUGUAUUAUGAAAAAUAUCAUAAAAAAAUCAAAUAUAAUUUAAAUUAAUUAAUAAUUUAUACAUUUUCAAAUUAUUUAAUCUUUAUAUUGAAGAUAUAAUAUAAAUGAAAUGAGUUUUAAGUAUUAUAUAAAAGUGAUUUAUUGAUCUUACAUAUAUAUAUUUCUUUUUUUUUUCCUUCUAUUUUUUCUCUUUAUUUUAUUUUCCUUAUGUUUUCCUCAACAUUUUCCGGAACCAAACAUAGCCUUAGGAAAUCCACAAUUACCUUCAACUGAGUAGAUUCUGUUGUUUUAGCAAUGUUAGGCUGCUAACUUGUGUUGGUACGAACCUAUUAAGCCUAAAGAUGUAAUUAGUUAGGAUAUUCUUUUCCCUCUAGUCUUGUAGCUCCACGUGUACAGUUGGUUAGGACCUCAUUGUAUAUAAUGCUUGCCCUGUUAUUGUAGAAGACAACAAAGAUAAAUAAUAUUAACAUUUUUCCUCUCAUCUCUCUCUGUUUCCCUCUGUUUUCAUCUCCUCUCUCAUCUUGGUAUCAGAGCCUCCAUGGCUUCUUUCAAAGAAACCUCCGAAUCACCUUCUGCUAGCAUUGUUAAUGUGCAAAACCCAUUAUCUCAAUCAAACAACCUUCCUUCACCAGUAGCCACACCCUCUUUUUCUUUCUCGUCUAUGAAUCAACCUCUCACAGUGAAGCUGGAUAAUGGGAACUACCUCAUAUGGAAGAAUUAGCUUCUAAAUGUCAUCAUUGCUAACGGACUCGAUGAUUUCAUUGACGGAUCUCGACCCUGCCCUCCUCGAUUUCUCGAUCUGCAACAACAAACCCUCAAUCCAGAGUACUCAGCUUGGCAGAGAUACAAUCGACUUCUGAUGAGUUGGCUGUACGCAUCCUUGUCCAAAGAUAUAAUGGCUCAGAUUGUUGGGUAUUCAACAGCUAUGGAGAUUUGGAAUGCCCUUAAUCAGAUUUACUCUGCCUCUUCUAUGGCGCGGUUUACUGAGCUUCGCACCAAGCUUCAAACGCUCAAGAAAGAUGGACUCUCAGUUGGUGAAUAUAUUCAAAGGCUCAAAUCCAUUUGCAAUAGUCUUGCAGCAAUAGGAGAACCAGUUUCUGAGAAAGACCAUCUUAUCUAUUUGUUCAAUGGAUUAGAUUGUGAGUAUUAUUCUUUUGUUACCUCCAUUCAAAAUCGAUCUGACCAACCAACUAUUGACAAAAUCCAUAGCCUAUUGCUUAGCUAUGACUUCCGGCUUGAACAACAAAACUCUGUUUCUCUCCAUUCUGCCCAAGUCCAUAUGGCUCAUCUGAACAAGAAACCUUAUAAAUCAACUCCUCAACCUACAUUCAAUCAUAUUCACAUUCAACCUAGAUACUCUUCUCCACCUUUUAAGCCAACCACUAGUCAAUAUCAACCCAACAUUUUGGGCAAACCACAACCACAACCAUGACAGCCUCAACCUCAAUGGAAACCACAUUUUUCAAUCUAAAAUCAAAAGCCUCAGCGCCAAAUUUGUGGUAAAUUUGGACACACUGCUCUUAUUUGCUUCCAUCACACAAAUUUGAACUAUUCACCCCAACCUUCUCCUAAAUCUUUCAAUACUGUUCUCACCACAAAUUCCCAGCUCCCUAAUCCUCCAAAAUUUUCUUACCCUACAAUGGCUCAUCCUGCUGCUACGCAUAACACGGUUCCCGAUACAAAUUGGUACAUGGACUCAGGUGCUACACAUCACUUUACUCUGGACAUCAACGUGCUUGACACUGUGACACCAUUUAGUGGUUCAGAACAGGUGACAGUUGGGAAUGGUAAGCAACUCUGUAUCUCACAUCUUGGUACUGCAAAACUACCAUCUUCGUAUUCUCCUCCUGUUCUACAUCAGGUAUAUCACACUCCAAAAAUUUCAAAUAAUCUUAUUAGUGUUAAAAAAUUGUGUUCUGAUAAUAAAGUUUUUGUUGAAUUUUAUGCCACUCAUUUUCUUGUCAAGGAUCAGGUUUCGAAGAGAGUUCUCCUUUAGGGUCAACUUGAUAAUGGCUUAUACAAAGUUCAGUCGUCAUGCUCUCCUUCUGCUGUUUCCUUUCCUCCUCAAGUUUUCAUAGCCAACAUCAAGUAUCCAAAUCUGUGGCACAAGAGACUAGGCCACCCAGCUUUAUCUGUUGUUAAUCAAAUCUUGGAUUCUUGUAACAUUGCUCGAACACAGAAAAUUUGUUUUAAUUUUUUAAAUUCUUGUCAAUUAGCAAAGAGCCACAGGCUUCCUUUUUCUCUGUCUCCAUCCAUUGCAGAAAAACCUUUUGAGUUAAUUCAUACAGACCUAUGGGGUCUUUCGCUCGUUCGCUCUAUUUCUGGUGCUCUUUAUUUUUUACUUUUCAUUGAUGAUCAUACUCGUUUUACUUGGUUUUAUUUGCUCAAAACAAAAGAUGAAGCAUAUCCUACUUUUCUCAAGUUUCAAGCUCUCAUUGAAAAUCAAUUUAAUACCAAGAUUAAGGCUGUCCAAUCUGAUUGGGGAGGUGAGUUUCGAUCUCUCUCCAUACCGUUUUCAAAUAUGGGCAUUGUCUAUUGUUUAUCGUGUCCAUACACCUCACAACAGAAUGGGCGAGUUGAGCGAAAAAAUCGCCAUGCGAUUGUCCUUUCUUGCUUGCUCUAUGCCCUUAUCUUAUUGGCCUUAUGCCUUUCAAACUGCCACUUACCUUAUUAAUCGUCUCUCUACCCCUGUGCUGCAUCAUCAAUCCUCUUACUUCGCACUCUAUCACAAACUCCCAACUUAUACUCAUCUUAAGGUCUUUGGUUCCUCUUGUUUUCCGUAUUUGCACCCUUAUAAUACCCAUAAACUCCAAUACAGGUCACUAGAGUGUGCUUUUCUUGGUUACAGUUCACACCACAAAGGUUAUCUAUGUCUUGACAUUCAUUCUAGCAGGGUGUAUAUUUCUCGCCAUGUGAUUUUUAAUGAAGAUUCUUUUCCAUUCAAGAAUUUGAAAUCUUCUCUCUCUCAGUCUAUUUCUUCUUCCUCUUCUUUAUAAGUUCCUCUGUUCAUUCUCUUGCCUCCCCUUUCCCCAUCUCCUCUUAUUUCUUCAUCUAUACCUCAUUCUUUUCCCUCUUCUUCUUCUACCUCUAGUACUUGUUCCCCUCUCGUUGCUCCUACCUCUCUUCCUUCCUCUUCACACUCUGUGUCUCCAUCUAUUCCACCUCCUUCUCCACCUUCUCCGAGUGUGGACCUGCUUGCACCUUGUGUGAAUACAAAUUUACAUACUUCUUCUCGCACUCACAAUAUUCAUCCUAUGGUGACUAGAUCUAAGGUUUGUAUCUAUAAACCUAAGUUGUUGUUGAGUGUCUCCAUAGGUUCUCUCACUAAGCCUACUUCCUUUCUUCAAGCUAUUAAAGAUCCUUCAUGGAAGCAAUCCAUGGAAUUCGAGUUUGCUACCCUUCAACACAACAAGACCUGGCAUUUGGUUCCUUCACCUUCCUCAGGCGAAGUAAUCGGUUGUAAAUGGGUCUAUAAGCUAAAGCUUCAGCCUGAUGGCUAAAUUGAGAGAUACAGCCUGCUUAGUAGCUAAGGGUAUCAUCAAAUUGAAGUAUGGACUACUUCGAAACAUUCAGCCUGAUNNNNNNNNNNNNNNNNNNNNNNNNNNNNNNNNNNNNNNNNNNNNNNNNNNNNNNNNNNNNNNNNNNNNNNNNNNNNNNNNNNNNNNNNNNNNNNNNNNNNAGCUUCAGCCUGAUGGCUAAAUUGAGAGAUACAAGGCCUGCUUAGUAGCUAAGGGUUAUCAUCAAAUUGAAGGUAUUGACUACUUCGAAACAUUCAGCCUGAUUGUCAAGCUUUCUACUAUCUGUAUUGUGCUCAGUCUUACUUUUUCCCAGAAUUGGUGUAUUAGACAGCUGGAUGUUCAUAAUGCCUUCUUACAUGGUGACUUAGCUAAAGACGUUUUCAUGGAACAACUGCCUGGAUUUGUUGAUCCUCUCUAUCCUACUCAUGUCUGCAAGUUGGAUAAGUCUCUCUACUGUCUUAAAUAGUCACCUCGGGCUUGGUAUACUAAGCUGAGUACUUCUCGCUACACUUGGGAUUUGUUACUUCUAAGAAUGACUCUUCCUUAUUUAUUUGUCAUUCGUCUCAUGGGUUACUUCUUGUUCUUGUCUAUGUGGAUGAUAUAAUCGUCAUUGGGAGCCACUCUCCUCAGGUUACUCACCUUAUCCAACAGUUGCAUCAUUAGCUUUCUUUAAAGGAUCUUGGUCCUUUACAUUAUUUUCUGGGCUUGGAGGUUCAUCACACCCCUACUGGUAUUCACCUCAGCCAAGCAAAGUAUAUCACUGAUCUCCUUACCCGGGCGGCUAUGUUGGAUGCCAAGCCAUGUCCCACUCCUAUGUCCUCCAACACAUAUCUCUCUUUUCAUGAUGGAGUGGCUCUUGAAAAUGGUUCAGAUUAUCGAAGUUUUGUUGGUGCCCUUUAGUAUUGUACCAUGACACGCCCAGAUAUAGCUUUUGCAAUAAAUAAAGUGUGUCAAUUCAUGCACCAUCCCUCUAAUGUUCACUGGCAGGCUAUAAAACGUAUUCUCCGGUACUUAAAGGGCACAUCUCAUUUUGGUCUCUUCCUACAGCCUUCCUAUGACUUCAACAUCACUUGCUAUACAAAUGCCGACUGGGCUUCCUGUCCUGAUGACAAGUGUAGCACCAGUGGCUACUGCCUCUUUCUUGCCUCUAAUCUGGUUUCUUGGUCAUCUUCCAAACAAAAAGUGGUCUCCCGCUCCAGCGCCGAAUCAGAGUACCGAGGGGUAGCAAAUGGGGCUGCUGAAAUUGCUUGGACUGAAUCUCUUCUUUGUGAACUUUCCAUUACUCCCCCUCCCCUCAUUCUCUGUGACAAUAUCAGUGCCACGUACUUAGCUGCCAAUCCUAUUUUGCAUGCCCGCACCAAACAUGUGGAAAUCGACUAUCACUUUGUCACGGAACGUGUUCUUCAAUGCUCUCUUUUUGUCCAGUUUACACCUUCUGAUGAUCAACUUGCUGAUUGCAUGACCAAGCCUCUCUCCACCCAACGUUUCAUCACUCUACGCUCCAAGCUCACUGUUCUCACUAGACCAAUGAGCUUGAGGGGGGAUGUUAAGCCUAAAGAUGUAAUUAGUUAGGAUAUUCUUUUCCCUCUAGUCUUGUAGCUCCACGUGUACAGUUGGUUAGGACCUCAUUGUAUAUAAUGCCUGCCCUGUUAUUGUAGAAGACAACAGAGAUAAAUAAUAUUAACAUUUUUCCUCUCAUCUCUCUCUCUGUUUCCCUCUGUUUUCAUCUCCUCUCUCAUCUGAACCAAAUGAUCCAUGUUAACCUUGGCUUGGUUUGAUUUGGCUCUAUCUUAGAGAGCUCAAGGAUCACGUCAACUCUGGUUUCUACUAUUCAGGUCCAUUCCCAUAUGAACUGGUUCAAAUUUGAGAAAAUGGUAACAGACCUUUAGUGAUGUUGGUUUGGAGCCAGUUGCCAAACCCGCCCUGAGCUUUACCACUAAUGUCAAGGGAGAAAGCCAUUUGAACAAAAACAAUAGCUUCAAGGGACUGAAUCGUGGAUGAAAUCUGAUCCACAUUUCUUCUCAUUUUGGAAACAAAUGAGAACUUAACUAAGAAGAUUCUACGGCCUCAUAGUGCUUUUCCUGAUCUAAGGUUGGUUCGUUUCCCAAACUGUGAGAUGCACGUGCCAGACUUCAGAACUCUCACGCUCAGGAGUGUAUCCACGUGGUGGACAUAAGAUGGUGGCUUAAGAUCUGGUGUCGGUGGCUUUACUUUACUAGGAGAGUAGUGUGUCUUCAUCUCAUUCACUGCCGGAGGGUGGCGUAAGCAGUGACGCUAAGGUGGGGCACAGUCAAUAUCAUUUGCAUUUGACCAUUAUAGUUUUCUCCCGGCUUUAAAGUAACCUUAUCGUGAUAAAGGAUUACUAGCACUAGUUCAGAUGAUAGUCAUGUUAAAUUCGGACCAUGUUUGUGUCACAUUAUCAGCAACCAUGUGUUUAUGGUUCAUGCUUUCUGCAACUAAAAUUGAUAUAUAACCAGGUGAACUUCAAUCUAAAUUCUGAAAGUACUCAUGUGAUAGAUGGUGCCCGUCUGCAGAGUCCAUCAAUUGAAAAAUGGAGUGAGUGUAUCUAUAAGAGGGAAGGCUUGGAAAAUGUUCAGUUUUCUGGGAAUUCAACAAGGAUCUAAAAUAGAUUGUUUUCUUUGCUGAUUUCAAUGGUUGAAAUUUGAGAAGAUUGUGUCCACAUAACACAACUAUUACUGGUCCUUCUGUUGCAAUUUAUCCUCUAAAGCUCUAGCAUGUCUUCCAAUUCCCACUUCCCUGUUACUCCAGGAAAGCUAUUUCUGUCAUUGUGAAGAAGAAAAGAGAAUGUACAUAUCGAUGCUUUUAAGUGACUGGAGCAUUUAUAUCAGGUGGUCUGCAGCCAUAUAUGCCACUUUGUGAAGAUUGGAACAGUCAAUCACUAGGCUAUAUAUUAGUGUGGCCCAGCCACUUUAAUCAAGGACAAGUCUUCAUACUUAAAGUCAAAUUCUGCCUUUAGUCUCAUUAUAAAUUUCUGUUUAAAUAUUAAGCAAACAUUUGUUUAAUGCGAUUAAGACAGUACUAACUCAAUACCUGUUCUAUUUUUGGAUGCAAAUGCUUGAUGGUUUCAUCAUUGGAUGGGAUAAAGGUGCAUUCAUGAUUAGGAAUACUAGUAGUUAUAUUUUAAUUCUCUUUUUUCUCAAUGAGACUUGUUGGCACAAUUUUGCUGUUGAGAAACCUACCUCUCCAUGGAAAAUAAGUUGUGAUUGAUAGUACUGGAUAUAUUCAAGAAAUCUAAAUAUAGAUAGCACAAAAUAUUAUCGACAUAAAUAGCAUUAACAGCGUACGUAUGUCUCAGUGCUCAUCAGCUAUAAGCAUGGGGCAAACACUUACUAUGAGCAACUUACGUCAAAAUUCCAGAAUAGGACAUAGAAGUGACAGAUAUAGAACAUUGCAUAUGAGUCACAAGAAAGGAAAUUACGGGUGCAUAGCAGCUCUUAUUUUACAUACUACUACUCAUACUGAUCAAAGUCACUCAGUUGGGAUGGGUGGGAGUAGGAGGUUUGUGGGGUGGCUUGUGCGGAGGAGUUGGCAGCUUCUUUCCAGGACCUGGUUGCUUCUCUGCUGGAGUUGAAGGAGGCUUAAUCUUCCGAGGUGGCUUGUAUGAGUCUUCAGCAUUCUCAGCUGGAGGGUGACCAGGGUUGUGACCAUAAUGUGGUGGCUUCUCUCCCUUAGGUGGUUUGCCAACUGGGGUUGGUGGCUUGUAUGAGUCUUCAGCAUUCUCAGCAGGAGGGUGACCAGGGUUGUGACCAUAAUGUGGUGGCUUCUCUCCCUUAGGUGGUUUGCCAACUGGGGUUGGUGGCUUGUGUUCUGGGAGUGGCUUCUCCCCCUUGGGAGGUUUUUCCAAUGGGGUUGGUUUGUGUUCAGGAGGUGGCUUCUCCACUGGAGGCUUGUGUUCAGGAGGUGGCUUCUCCACCGGAGGCUUGUGUUCAGGUGGUGGCUUCUCCACCGGAGGCUUAUGCUCUGGUGGUGGCUUCUCGAAUGGGGGAUGCUUAGGAUAAUCAGCAAGUGAGGGGGCGGUGAGAACCACCAGGCCAAGCAACACCACUAGCAAAUAUGUAGGAGACAUCUUUGGGUUUGGGCUCAGAUGGUGCAAAACUAGGAGAAUUGGCUAGCCUUUUAUAGCGGAUCGUACCCAAUAAUGAAAUGACACGUGUCAUUAUGACCCAUGUGUAAUGGGGUCGAUUUGGGUCCUACAGUGUUGAAAACUUCGACAUCCACUUUUGGCCUUUUGCUUUCUCUACAGCCGCCUUGCUUUUUCCCUCUUUCCUUUUGUUUUCCUCCUGCCCCAUUCUAUCAACUAAACACAAUUAUGUAGUUGUUUAAUUCUUAAAUGAGAUAUUAUCCGUCAAUCGUAUUAUAUUUUAUCAAGAGAGAACGGAGUGCAAUGUGGCUGUAAUUUUAUCGUUUAGUUUUAUCUCUUGGACCACUGCAUUUUUGUUAAGAGGUGCAAUAAUACACGUCUUUAUCUGCCAUUCAAUAUUUACAGUAAAGAGAGGGCACAAAACUCUUCACUUCGCACCAUAAUUAUUUUGUUUUCUGGACACCCCGGGGCCCUUUGGUUGGUUUGGGGGUCAGAAAGUGAACAUCAUAGGGGGUUUUUCCCUUAUGUGCAUUUGUAUCUGAUGGCUUUAACUCGCCUUGUUACUACAAAGAAACUGUCACAGAUAGGAACUUAUUCCAGGCUGAGUAUCUCCUCAUAGACCCUAUAAAAGAAGACAAGUCAUAAUGAACAUCUAACCUUUGUUCAAUUUGAUUCAAUGCCCCCAUUGUGUCCAUCUCACAAAUCUGAAUUAUUAUAUCCAUUGAAUACAUAAAUUAAUGAAGAAAAUAUGAAACCCAAGAUACAUCUCUGCACAACCUCAACCCUGGUUGCUAUGUUUCCCUUCUAUUCACAUGAUUUGAUGCUAAUUGCCAAACUUGCAACAAGCCCUGAGUUUGACACCUAGUAUCGAUGGGCGAAUUUAAAGUCUCCUCCAAACAUAUAUUCCACAGCUUGAAGCUCACAGAAGAUGUUACAGGCAGGGAAAAACCUUCAGAGUUCGCUACCAAAGAUAAUUAUUAAGGAGAUAUCACAAAGAGAAUUCCAAGGGGUCUGAAUCAAAGACAAAUUGGUCGUUCGUGGGGGUUCUUACUUUCUUUUGGGUAUAACUCACUGAGGGCACUGUCUUUGUUAUUUGCAUUUCACAUUUAGAGUUCUGUUCUGGAAACAUAUAAAAGGAGCAUCAUUUUGUUCUUGGGUAACCCAUAGUCGUGAGUGGGUCCAUUUGCAUGCUACUUAGUUGAAAAGUUGGACCAUUUGCUCCGACGCCUACCUCCCGGAUUCCAUGCUCGGAUAAAACAAGAAUAAAAAAAAUAUUUAUAAUUUACAAAUGGGGGAAAGAAAAAAAUGUCAACAACAAACCAGGAAAAAAGAGUAGUAAAAUUCAUGUCACAUGCUAGUGAGAGAAGGGGUUGUUACACUCACUCGAAGUUCUUUCCAAAAUAUCGCAUGGUAUUUUAUUUUAUGUGUCAGCGCAGUUGUGAAUGGAACGUGCAAAAGUCCAAAUUGGCGUUUUUCCUUUUCCCGUGUAGGAUGGCGACCUUUAAUAAAUAUUUAAAACAAAAAACGAAAAAAAGGAGGGAAAAGGGAUCAGAAAAGAUAAAACAAUGUGUACAAGAGCUCAAUUAGUUUGCAAAUUACUGUUUGGAUUUUGAUAGUAUUUUAUUUGUCCAUCUAUAUUUGAUGGAAAAGAGAAUUUAAGAUAUUUCUGAAACAAAAGCAUUAGUGUAAAACUAAAUUAAGGUAUAAUUAAGUUAGUUCAAUGCAUUAAUUUAAGAAACUUGAUCUAUCCAAAGUACAAAAUUAGAUGAAAUCCAUUUCAAUGGUUAAAAUGAUCAAAAUCAAACUUUUUCUAAGUAUUUUUUAAAAGCAUCAAUAUUAAAAGACAAUUUUAUAUUUAGUCGGAGUUUGGACAAAACCAAAAAGCACACAAAAUCCAAGCGACCAUCUCUAGCUUGGAUAGUCACUUGAUCCCACCUAGAGAUGUGCAUGAGUAAAAGGAUUUGAAAAUGGAAAUUGACUAAAUAUUUAGUUGAUCAAUUAAAUUUGCAAUGUCAUAUGCAAUCCUAAUAGCUAGUCAUCUAAUCAAUUAGGUAGUCAAUCAAGUGUUUGUAAUGACUAUUUUGUACAAAAAACCACAUGUAUAGUUAAAUAUAAUGCAUUUCAUUUAUAAAUCUUCUAAUUCUUGAAUAACGAUCCUAUCAUCCUUUGAAAAUUUUUAUUACACCUUUUUUACUUUUGUUCUAAAACUUACAUAUCACCCUUAAUUGUACCAUGAGAACCUAGCUAUUUUUUUUUUUUUUGUAAUUCAUCAAAGUUAGCUUUUGUAUUCAUUGUUGUAUUAUUUUUAGUAUAACUUAGAAAGCUAGUGUUUUCAAGUGAGUAAAAUUAACUUGUAAAUAUUGUAAAGAUUCAUUGAUAUGUAUCUUAAACUAAGUGUACAAAUUAAAACAUUUGCUAGUAGAUUUUCUCAAAAUUUAGAAUAGAGCUUGAGGCUAUUGAAAUAGGUGGGGUUACACCAAACCACAUCACAUCGUUGUUUGCACCUUUUUUCACUCUCUUUUACUUAGUUUCUCUAUAUUUGUUGUCUAGUAAUAUCCUAUAGGCUUGAUGGGUUAGGGAGCAUCCCUUUGUGAAAAAAUUUCAUUCAAUUCUUAGUUGUAUUACGCAUAUAUAAAAUGCCUCAUUGUUUUAAUGGUAUUCAGUCGUGGCAUCACAGAUAUGGGCAUCUAAAUUUUAAAAGUUUGAAACUUUUGUAAAGCAUGUUGAUAAAAUCCAUGAGAGUUGUGUACUUGGGAAGCAACAUCGAGGUGACUUUAUUUUUUUUUCCUUUUAUAAUGCCACACCUAAGUCCGGUUUCUAAAUGCUAAAGUGAAAGGGUAGGUAUGGACCAUUGAAAUGUGAUCACAACUUUUGGCCUUUUCCUUUCUCUGCAGCCAUGUUGUCUCUUUUUUCUUUUGCAUGAUUUUCUUACCAAAACAGAAUCAUAGACUUGUUUAGUCUCUAAGCUACUAUAUUAUAUCUCGGUGGACUUUUAAGAGUGCAACCGACAUAGAGCACAUGCAAGUGGGCAUAUGGGACAUGAAAUUUCUUCUUACAAAGAUUGCAUGAUUUUUAUAUUAGAGUUGUUCACGUGCAAUGUAUUUAGCUUGUUUUGCAGUUAAAUUAAUUGGAUAAGUAAACAUUGGCAUUUCUAAAUCGACUGUGAAGUGCUUCAUGUACGUGUAAAGUAUUAGAAAUUUCUUUCUUGGCAACUUGUUUUUUCCUUGCCAUCUACUGGUAGGUUUGACUAAAAUUAUAUUCCCUGUCAUGCUAAUUAAUUUUCAUGUGCAUGCUCAAAAGAAGAGUAUGACCUUAGUGCACCAAAAUCACUUUGAUUAAUUUGUGAUAGGUUUUUUUGCAUCAUUUAGAUAAUGUUUAGUUCUAAGAAAAAUUUAUAUAAAAAUGGUUUAUUUAUCUUACAUAUAUAUAUAUAUAUAUAUAUUUUUUUUUUUUUCAUUUUUUUUUCUUCUAUUUUAUUUAUUUAUUUUAUUUUCCUUAUGUUUUCCUCACAUUUUCCGGAACUAAACAUAGUCUUACGAAAUCAACAAUUGCCUUCAACUGAGUAGAUUCUGUUGUUUUAGCAAUGUUAGGCUGCUAACUUGUGGUGGUACGAACCAAAUGACCCAUGUUAAUCUUGGCUUGGUUUGAUUUGGCUCUAUCUCAGAGAGCUAAAGGAUCACGUCAACUCUGGUUUCUACUAUUCAGGUCCAUUCCCAGAUGAACUGGUUCAAAUUUGAGAAAAUGGUAACAGACCUUUAGUGAUGUUGGUUUGGAGCCAGUUGCCAAACCCGCCCUGAGCUUUACCACUAAUGUCAAGGGAGAAAGCCAUUUGAACAAAAACAAUAGCUUCAAGAGACUGAAUCGUGGAUGAAAUCUGAUCCACAUUUCUUCUCAUUUUGGGAAAAAAUGAGAACUUAACUACAAAGAUUCUACUGCCUCAUUCAUAGUGCUUUUCCUGAUCCAAGGUUGGUUCGUUUCCCAAAUUGUGAGGUGCACGUGCCACUCUCACGCUCAGGAGUGUAUCCACGUGGUGGACAUCAGAUGGUGGCUUAAUAUCUGGUGUCGGUGGCUUUACUUUACUAGGAGAGUAGUGUGUCUUCAUCUCAUUCACUGCCGGAGGGUGGCGUAAGCAGUGACGCUAAGGUGGGGCACAGUCAAUAUCAUUUGCAUUUGACCAUUAUAGUUUUCUCCCGGCUUGAAAGUAACCUUAUCGUGAUAAAGGAUUACUAGCACUAGUUCAGAUGACCGUCAUGUUAAUUCGGACCAUGUUUGUGUCACAUUAUCAGCAACCAUGUGUUUAUGGUUCAUGCUAUCUGCAACUAAACUUGAUAUAUAACCAGGUGAACUUCAAUCAAAAUUCUGGAAGUACUCUUGUGAUAGAUGGUGCCUGUCUGCAGAGUCCAUCAAUUGAAAAAUGGAGUGAGUGUAUCUAUAAGAGGGAAGGCUUGGCAAAUGUUCAGUUUUCUGGGAAUUCAACAAGGAUCUAAAAUAGAUUGUUUUCUUUGCCGACUUCAAUGGUUGAAAUUUGAGAAGAUUGUGUCCACAUAUCACAACUAUUACUGGUCCUUCUGUUGCAAUUUAUCCUGUAAGGCUCUAACAUGUCUUCCAAUUCCCACUUCCCUGUUACUCCAGGAAAGCUAUUUCUGUCAUUGUGAAGAAGAAAAGAGAAUGUACAUAUCGAUGCUUUUAAGUGACUGGAGCAUUCAUAUCAGGUGGUCUGCAGCCAUAUAUGCCACUUUGUGAAGGUUGGAACAGUCAAUCACUAGGCUAUAUAUUGGUGUGGCCCAGCCACUUCAAUCAAGGACAAGUCUUCAUACUUAAAGUCAAAUUCUGCCUUUAGUCUCAUUAUAAAUUGCUGUUUAAAUAUUAAGCAAACUUUUGUUUAAUGCGAUUAAGACAGUACUAACUCAAUACUUGUUCUAUUUUUGGAUGCAAAUGCUUGAUGGUUUCAUCAUUGGAUGGGAUAAAGGUGCAUUCAUGAUUAUGAAUACUUGUAGUUAUAUUUUCAUUCUCUUUUUUCUCAAUGAGACUUGUUGGCACAAUGUUGCUGUUCAGAAACCUACCUCUCCAUGGAAAAUAAGUUGCGAUUGAUAGUACUGGAUAUGUUCAAGAAAGCUAAAUAUAGAUAGCACAAAAUAUUAUCGAUAUAAAUAGCAUUAACAGCGUACGUAUGUCUCAAUGCUCAUCAGCUAUAAGCAUGGGACAAACACUUACUAUGAGCAACUUACGUCAAAAUUCCAGAAUAGGACAUAGAAGUGACAGAUCUAUAUAUAUAGAACACUGCAUAUGAGUCACAAGAAAGGAAAUUACGGGUGCAUAGCAGCUCUUAUUUUACAUACUACUACUCAUACUGAUCAAAGUCACUCAGUUGGGAUGGGUGGGAGUAGGAGGUUUGUGGGGUGGCUUGUGCGGAGGAGUUGGCAGCUUCUUUCCAGGACCUGGUUGCUUCUCUGCUGGAGUUGAAGGAGGCUUAAUCUUCCGAGGUGGCUUGUAUGAGUCUUCAGCAUUCUCAGCUGGAGGGUGACCAGGGUUGUGACCAUAAUGUGGUGGCUUCUCUCCCUUAGGUGGUUUGCCAACUGGGGUUGGUGGCUUGUAUGAGUCUUCAGCAUUCUCAGCAGGAGGGUGACCAGGGUUGUGACCAUAAUGUGGUGGCUUCUCUCCCUUAGGUGGUUUGCCAACUGGGGUUGGUGGCUUGUGUUCUGGGAGUGGCUUCUCCCCCUUGGGAGGUUUUUCCAAUGGGGUUGGUUUGUGUUCAGGAGGUGGCUUCUCCACUGGAGGCUUGUGUUCAGGAGGUGGCUUCUCCACCGGUGGCUUGUGUUCAGGAGGUGGCUUCUCCACCGGAGGCUUAUGCUCUGGUGGUGGCUUCUCCACCGGAGGCUUAUGCUCUGGUGGUGGCUUCUUGAAUGGGGGAUGCUGAGGGUAAUCAGCAAGUGAGGGGGCGGUGAGAACCACCAGGCCAAGCAACACCACUAGCAAAUAUGUAGGAGACAUCUUUGGGUUUGGGCUCAGAUGGUGCAAAACUAGGAGAAUUGGCUAGCCUUUUAUAGCGGAUCGUACUCAAUAAUGAAAUGACACGUGUCAUUAUGACCCAUGUGUAAUGGGGUCGAUUUGGGUCCUACAGUGUUGAAAACUUCGACAUCCAGUUUUGGCCUUUUGCUUUCUCUACAGCCGCCUUGCUUUUUCCCUCUUUCCUUUUGUUUUCCUCCUGCCCCAUUCUAUCAACUAAACACAAUUAUGUAGUUGUUUAAUUCUUAAAUGAGAUAUUAUCGGUCAAUCGUAUUAUAUUUUAUCAAGAGAGAACGGAGUGCAAUGCAGCUGUAAUUUUAUCGUUUACUUUUAUCUCUUGGACCACUGCAUUUUUGUUAAGAGGUGCAAUAAUACACGUCUUUAUCUGCCAUUCAAUGUUUACAGUAAAGAGAGGGCACAAAACUCUUCACUGCUCUGCAUGUGUCCCAAAAAUGCGAUUGGACAAAUUAUGAUUUGCAUGCUAAAAAGAGGCAAAUGAGGUUAAUUCGCACCAUAAUUAUUUGGUUUUCUGGACACCAUAAAAAGAUGUUAUACAGGCAGGGAAAAACCUUCAGAGUUAGCUACCAAAGAUAAUUAUCAAGCAGAUAUCACCAAGAGAAUUCCAUAGAGUCUGAAUCAAAGACAGAUUGCUCGCUCGUGGGGGUUCUUACUUUCUUUUGGGUAUAACUCACUGAGGUCACUGUCUUUUUUAUUUGCAUUUCACAGUUAGAGUUCUGCUCUGGAAGGUUUGUUCUGGAAACAUAUAAAAGGAGCAUCAUUUUGUUCUUGGGUAACCCAUAGUCGUGAGUGGGUCCAUUUGCAUGCUACUUAGUUGAAAAGUUGGACAAUUUGCUCCGACGCCUACCUCCUGGAUUCCAUGCUCGGUAAAACAAGAAUAAAAAAAAAUAUAUAAUUUACAAAUGGGGGAAAGAAAAAAUGUCGGAAAAAAUAGUAAAAUUCAUGUCACAUGCUAGUGAGAGAAGGGGUUGUUACACUCACUCGAAGUUCUUUUCAAAAUAUCGAAUGGUAUUUUACUUUAUGUGUCAGCGCAGUUGUGAAUGGAACGUGCAAAAGUCCAAAUUGGCGUUUUUAUUUUUCCCAUGUAGGAUGGUGACCUUUAAUAAAUAUUUAAAACAAAAGACGAAAAAAAAAAGGAGGGAAAAGGGAUCACAAAAGAUAAAAUAAUGUUUACAAAAGCUCAAUUAGUUUGCAAAUUACUGUUUGGAUUUUGAUAGUAUUUUAUUUGUCGUUCUAUAUUUGAUGUAAAAGAGAAUUUAAGAUAUUUCCGAAGCAAAAGCAUUAGUUUGCUCUGUGAUGUCCCACAUCGAAUAGGGGAGAAAGUUUCUGGCGCUAUAUAUGUAGAGGCUCCUCUUAACCAAGUAGAUGCGUUUUAAAACCAUGAGGGCCCCCUUAGGUCCAAAGCGGACAAUAUCUACAUGAUUGGGUGUAAGUCAUUACAAAUGGUAUCAGAGCCGAUCCCCGACCCCGGUGUGGGGGUUUGUUUGGCCCUGUAAGGGGUGUUUGUCUGUUUGACCCCACAAUCCCAUGGGACACAACGAGGACGUUGUGUCUGCAUGGGGGGGCGUUUGUGAUGUCCCACAUCGGAUAGGGGAGAAAGUUCCUAGUGCUAUAUAUGUAGAUGUUUCUCUUAACCAAGUAGAUGCAUUUUAAAAUUGUGAGGGCCUCUUUGGGCCCAAAGCGGACAAUAUCUACAUGGUUGAGUGUAAGUCAUUACAUGCUCCAUGUCAAUUUCAGCAUUUCUCAUAUGUUUCACACAUACACAGAAGAGCAUCGUUUUUUAAAGCAUGCAUUUAUGUUGGAUUAAUUUGGAUUUUGUGGGAACUGGGGCAAGGAUCACAUGGAAGAGAGGUUGACUUUUUUCAGUACUUCAAUGGUUGAAAUAUGUGAAGGCUUGAUUGAUACUAAAGCUUGAAAUUGCGACUCUGUCAUUUGUAAAAAAAUAUGACAGCUUCCAUGCUCUCGUUUGGUUGCAUUGUCCGGUCGAGAGGUGCAAAAAGCAUUCUCUCUCUUCUAAUAGUCUUUUCGUUUAAAUCAAGGGAUUUGCCUUCCCGGUCGAGGUCCAAUAGAGGGUAACGGUCACCUACUAAACAUUAAAUGCUCCAACAACUAGUGAACUGAUCGACCCCAGCUCGACUAGUUGAGGUUACUUUUUGGUUUUCUUGUCUCCCGAGGUUAGAAACCUAUAAAUAGAGAGCUUCACUUCAUUUAUGAGUAAGAGAACACCUAAAUUUAUUUGUUUACCUACUUGUUUUUGCCAUAAAAGCUCUCAUUUCUUUUCUUGGUGUAUUAAAUCUCCAUUUGCAUAUCCUUUAGUGCACCUUUGUGAUUCAUUCUAGCCUUGAGUUGUAUUUAAGCCUUUGUUGAGCUAGGUUGAGAGUUUCAUACUUGUUUAUUGAGUGUUAAAGCCUUCAAGUGAGUUAAAACUUGAAGAGAUUGUGUAAGAGCCCAUUGGAGUCGGAAUCCAAGUGUAAAGGUGAUUAAAAGCUUGGUUGAAGCUUCAAGUUAGUGGAACUCUCACUCGGUUAUGAGCUUGAGAAGAGUGGACAUAGACAAGGCAGUGUCGAACCACUAUAAAAUCUGAGUUUGAUUUCUCUAACCUUAUCUCUUUAUAUUUGCUUCUCUUGUGCUUAAAUUUUUUGUGUUUAAAAAGAAUUUUUAAAAACUCAAUUCACCCCCUUCUUGGGAGUUUUUCUCUUUUAAGAUCAGCUUUUAUUUUCUCAAUUGGUAUCAGAACUAUGCCUCUUGUUUAAGACUUAAUCGUCUAAGAGGAAAUGGCUAAUCCAUCAAGUUCAUCUCACAUUGAAAGUUUUGCAACCAAUAGACUUCUUUUUUUUUUUUUGCGGGAACUGAUUAUCCCUAUUGGAAAACUAAAAUGACUUGGUUUUUACAAUCAAUUGAUUUAGAUGUAUGAGAUGCCAUUGAAGAUGACCUAACUUUUCCUUCAAAACUAGUUGAUGGAGUCAUGGUUCCAAAACCUAAGCAAGAAUGGGAUGAGCGUGAUUGAAGAAAUUUUCAAUUAAAUGCUAAAGUCGUUUAUACUUUGCAAUGCUCUAUGGACAGAAAUGAAUAUAAUAGAAUAUGUCAAUGCAAAUCGGUUAAAGAAAUUUGGAGAUUGCUUGAAAUAACUCAUAAAGGAACAAAUCAAGUUAAAGAGUCAAAAAUCAAUUUACUUGUUCAUAGAUAUGAAUUGUUUUUUAUGAAAGAUAAUGAAACUAUUGUUAAGAUGAUCACUAGGUUCACCAACAUUGUUAAUGGUCUUAAAGCCUUGGGAAAGACCUACAAGGAAUCCGAAAACGUGAUGAAGAUCUUGAGGUCACUUCCAUCAAAGUGGCAUACCAAGGUCACCGCAAUUUAAGAAGCAAAAGACUUGAUCAAGCUACCUUUGGAGGAGUUCAUAGGGUCAUUGAUGACAUAUGAAAUCAAUUUGGCAAAGAAGUAACAAAAAGGUGAAGACAAAAAGAAGAAGAACAUAACUCUCAAAGCUACAACUAAGGAAGAAGAAGUUGAAGAAGAAAAACAAAUUGAAGAAGAUGAAGAUUUAGCCCUCAUCACAAGAAAGUUCAACAAAUUCAUGAGGGGUGAAAGGUUUAGAAGAAGAAGGUUCACUUCUAGAAGAGACUUUUCUAAAAAGGAAUCUUCAUCUAAUGGUGACAAAAAGAGAUGGGAAGAGAAAAGAGACUUGGUGUGUUUCAAGUGCAAGAAACCGGGACACAUUAAAUAUGAUUGUCCUCUCUACAAAAGUGAAGUCAAGAGGAAAAAGAAUAAGGCAAUGAUGGCCACUUAGAGUGAAAGUGAAGAUGAAUCAUCCGAAGAAGAAAAUGAGAAAGAAGUGGCAAACAUGUGUUUCAUGGCAAUAGAUGAACUUGAUGAGGUAAAAUCUAACCUUAGUGAUUAAGAUAUACAUGAUGCAUUUGAAGAAUUGUAUGAGGAUUUUUAAAAACUUAGUUUGAAAAAUAUUUCUCUUAAAAAGAAAGUUCAACAACUUGACAAAGAACUUAGAGAAGUAAAAGAAAAAUUUUCAAAUGUUAAAGUUUCUAAAACUCAUCUUGAAAAAGAAAAUGAGAUUCUAAGAAAGAAAAAUGAAUAGUUGAACUCCUCUCUUUCAAUCUUUUCUUCUAGACAAAAAUCUUUUGAAAUGAUUCUAACUAGCUAAAAAUGUGUUUUUGACAAACAAGGGUUAAGAUUUAAAUCUUCAAAAAAUCAAAAGUAUUUUAAAAACUAUUUUGUAAAGGAAUCCACAAGUGCAAGUCCUUCCACUACUUGCAACUUUUGUGGAAGAGAAUGGCACAUUAGUAGUACGCCCUUUAAGAAAUGGUUCUCAAAAGAAUUUAAAUGCAAAAACUAAAAAAGAUUUGGAUUGAGAAAUCCAAGGUCACUAACCCUCAAGGACCCAAAAAGAUAUAGGUACCUAAAUCAACUUGAGUUUUAUGUUGUAAGGUUCAAAGAAUGAUAAGUGGUUCUUAGAUAAUGGUUGCUCAAGACACAUGACCGGAGAUGAAUCCAAGUUUGCUUUUCUUAAAAAGAAAAAUGGAGGAUAUGUUACCUUUGGAGACAAUGCAAAAGAAAGGAUGAUUGGUCAAGGCAACAUUGGUAAUGGCACAUCCUCUCUCAUUGAAAGUGUUUUAUUAGUAGAUGGUUUCAAACAUAACCUUUUAAGCAUUAGUCAAUUUUGCGACAAAGGUUUUUAAGUGAUUUUUUAAGCAUCUCAUUGCAUCAUCAAGGAUAUUCAAAAUGAUAAAACCAUUUUCAUGGGCCAUAGAUGUGAUAAUGUUUAUGCUAUAAAUAUUUCAAAAUAUGAUGGCCAUGAUAGAUGUUUUUCAAGCAUGCAUGAUCAAAGUUGGUUGUGCCAUAGGAGAUUGAGACAUGCUAACAUAGACCUCAUUUCCCAACUCAACAAAGAUGAACUUGUUAGAGGCCUUCCCAAAAUAAUUUUUUAAAAAGAUAAAGUUUGUGAAGCUUGUCAAGUGGGAAAGUAAAUCAAAAACUCUUUUAAAAACAAAAACUUCAUUUCCACAUCUAGGCCACUUGAGUUGUUGCAUAUGGAUUUAUUUGGUCCCUCUAGGACACCAAGUCUUAGAGGAAAUUCUUAUGCAUAUGCUAUUGUGGACGACUUCUCUAGAUACACAUGAGUCUUGUUUUUUAGUCAAAAGAAUAAAGUUUUUUAUGAGUUUUCAAAGUUUUGCAAUAAGAUUCAAAAUGAAAAAGGUUUUUCAAUUACUUAUAUAAGAAGUGAUCAUGGGAGAGAAUUCGAAAAUAUUGAUUUUGAAGAGUAUUGCAAUGAGCAUGGAAUUGACCACAAUUUUUUGGCUCUUAGAACUCCUCAACAAAAUGGGGUAGUUGAAAGGAAAAAUAGAACUCUUCAAAAAAUGACAAGAACCAUACUAAAUGAAAACAACUUACCAAAAUAUUUUUAGGCCAAAACGGUUAACACUUCUUGUUAUGUUUUAAAUAGAGUAUUAUUGAGGCUCAUACUUAAGAAAACUCCCUAUGAGCUUUGGAAAAACAAAAAACCCAACAUUAGUUAUUCCAAAGUCUUUGGAUGCAAUAUUUUAUAAUAAACACCAAAGACAAUCUUGGAAAAUUUGAUGCAAAAUUGGAUGUUGGAAUUUUCCUUGGUUACUCAACUUCAAGUAAAGCUUUUCGAGUUUUAACAAAAGAACCAUGGUUGUAGAGGAGUCCAUCCAUGUUAUUUUUUAUGAAUCUCCAAGAAAGAGAGAGGAUUGAUGAUGAUUUAGGUUUGAAGACCUCUAUAGGAAGAUUGCAAAUCGAAGAUAGAAGACAACAAGAAGAAAAUGGAGAGAAUCCAAAGAAAGAAGGAUCACCAUUGGCACUACCCCCUCAUCAACAAGCGCAAGGUGAAUCAAGUCAAGAGCUUCCUAAAGAAUGGAAGUUUGUCAUCAAUCACCCACAAGAUCAAAUUAUAGGCAAUCCAUCUAGUGGGGUAAGAACUAGAUCCUCUCUUAGAAAUAUUUGCAAUAAUCUAGCUUUUAUCUCUCAAAUUGAGCCUAAAAAUAUAAAUGAUGUUUUAGAUGAUGAAAAUUGGAUAAUUGCAAUGCAAGAAGAGUUAAAUCCAUUUGAAAGAAGUGGAGUAUGGGAAUUAGUACCAAGACCUUCAAAUCAAAGUGUUAUUGGAACUAGAUGGAUCUUUAGAAAUAAAAUGGAUGAAAAUAGCAUAAUUGUUAGAAAUAAAGCAAGAUUGGUAGCCCAAGGUUUUAAUCAAGAAGAAAUGAUAGAUUAUGAAGAAACCUUUGCCCCCGUAGCUAGGUUGGAAGCCAUUAGGAUGCUACUUGCCUUUGCAUGUUUUAAAGACUUUGUUUUAUAUCAAAUGGAUGUGAAAAGUGCUUUUUUAAAUGGUUUUAUAAAUGAAGAAGUAUAUGUUGAACAACCACCCGGUUUUCAAAGUUUCAACUUUCCUAACCAUGUUUUUAAACUUAAAAAGACACUUUAUGGUUUGAAACAAGCACCUAGAUCAUGGUAUGAAAAAUUGAGUAAAUUUCUUUUGAAAAAAAUGUUUUAAAAUGGGAAAAAUUGACACAACUCUUUUUAUAAAAACCAAAGAAAAUGAUAUGCUCUUAGUUCAAAUAUAUAUUGAUGAUAUCAUUUUUGGUGCUACUAAUGUCUCUCUUUAUGAAGAAUUUUCUAAGUGCAUGCAUAGUGAGUUUGAAAUGAGCAUGAUAGGAGAACUCAACUUCUUCCUUGGACUUCAAAUCAAGCAACUAAAGGAAUGAACCUUCAUCAAUCAAGCAAAGUAUAUAAGAGAUCUUCUCAAAAGGUUCAACAUGGAAGAAGCCAAAACAAUGAAGACUCUAAUGAGCUCAUCCAUUAAGCUUGAUAAGGAUGAGAAAGGUAAAUCCAUUGACUCUAUUAUGUAUAGAGGCAUGAUAGGUUCUUUGCUCUAUUUGACCACUAGUAGACCUUACAUUAUGUAUAGUGUGUGUUUGUGUACUAGAUUUCAAUCUUGUCUUAAAAAAUCUCACUUAAGUGUCGUGAAAAGAAUCCUCAAAUAUUUGAAAGGGACAAUGGACAUAGGCUUAUGGUAUCCUAAGAGUGAUAACUUUGAAUUAAUUGGUUUUUUGGAUGCUGAUUUUGUCAGUUGUAGGGUUGAAAAAUAAAACACUAGUGGCACUUUUCAUUUCUUAAGACACUUACUUGUCUCAUGGCAUAAUAAGAAGCAAAAUUUGGUAGCUUUGUCAACAGCAGAAGCUAAAUACAUAGCAACUGGUUUAUGUUGUGCACAAAUCCUUUGGAUGAAAUAAACACUUAGUGAUUUUGAUUUAUCUUUUGAGCAUAUUCCUAUUAAAUGUGAUAAUAGUAGUGCCAUAAGUAUAUCAAAAAAUCUCGUGCAACACUCUAGGACUAAGCAUAUAGAGAUUAGACAUAAUUUUCUUAGAUAUCAUACACAAAAGGAUGAUAUAACACUUGAAUUUGUAAGCAUAAAAGACCAACUUGCCGAUAUCUUUACAAAACCUCUAAGAACAUUUUGUUGAUAUUAGAGGACAAUUAGGAGUGAUUUCUUUAUGAUCUAAUGUGAUGAAUUCUUGAUGAAUAUACUUUUUGAUUGCAUGAAUUUCAUGUCAUAUAUGCAUCAUAUAGAAAUAUACUUAGAUAAUGGUCAAAUUUCGACCAAAAAUCAAAAUUCCCAUGGCAUUAGGCAUAAAAAUUUUGGAAUUUCAACUGAAAAUGGUAGGAGGAGGAUCACAAAAUGAGAAAGUAUGCAAAAAUUGAAAAAUCAAAACGUUGACCAAGCGGUCAAUCGGACUAGACCGAUCGACUAGUUUGUCGAGAUUUAGGAUUUUUAAGAGACUCCAACGCUUCAAUUUUUGCACCGUUCUCCUCUAUUUCUUCACGGUUUCUCUGAUUUUGUCUUUUAGAGACUAAUUUGAGUGCGUUUUGGAUCAAUUGAAGCAUUUUGGAUUGGAUUUUAGGAAGAUUGAAAGUUAAGGUUUCGGAUUUGGGUCGCCUUCUCUUCCUCUCGCGUGUCACAAUCAGCUUUAGCAUUGUUCUCUUUCCAUUUUCACACACCUAGGGUUUCAGUUGUGAGCAUCUCUCUCUCUUUACCAACCACUACUCCCUUGCUUCUUCCAUAUGGCUCCUAGGCGAGAGUCCGCUACUUCUAGGGCACAAGGCAAGCACCCAACUGAGUCGUCUCAGUCAAAGGCACGUCGAAAAGUGAGAUUUGACAUUGCCUUGUUCAGUUCCAUGGAGGACUACCAACUAUACAAGCAACACUUUGCUUAGAGACGAGUAGUUCCCAAGAGAAAUAUUAAUUUUCCUCAACUUCAGCAUUUCGAAUUUAAGGGUCUAUUUACUAGGAUGGUUGGUUGUCUAUUGUCACAAUUUCGGAGCCGGUUUUCCUGACCUUAGUGCGAGUUUUUUACUCGAGGGCGACUUAUGGCAUGGGUGGCAUGAUCAUUUCUACUGUUGGAGGAGUUGAGAUCUGUCUGGACCCAGAGAGCAUCUGCCAUAUUUUCGAUAUUGCUCUGGUUGGACUCAAAGUAUACAAGUCCAAAAUGUGGCCCAUUGUGCCAGGAUUUGAGCUUAGAGAGGUCAUUCAGAGGAUUUGUGAACUUCCAGACGCCCAGGAGAUGGGCAAACCAUUGCCACACAGUUUGACGGUCAUCAACAGGGUGCUACACCAUAUAUUGUGCUCUAUCUUUCUACCACGAAGUGGACAUUGAGAUGAGGUCUCUUAUUAUGAGGCAUUCCUUAUUGACUCCAUUCUAACGGAGAGACGAAUUCAUCUACUAUGUCAUCAUUCACUAAGCCUCCUCACAGUGACAUACCACCUCAUCAGGCACCUCUUGCUCCUGACCAUGCUCCAUUGAUGGAUUUAUUUACUCAUAUUAGCUCUCUAGGCACUCGCAUGAAGGAGUUUGUUGUAGUUAGUGAUACAUGGUUCUACUCCAUAGAGGAUCGCAUGGAUCAGUAUCAGACUGGCUUCACGUCACAGUUUGAGUAUCUCCAAUAGAGGAUUGAGCAUAUUGAGGAUCACUUGAGCAUGAGAAGAUGAUGGCUUUUCUAUGCUCUGUGUUUCCACCUCCACCUCGUCAACCUUGAUUUCUUAGAGACCCAUUGUUUUCAUUUUGUAAUGUUGCCAAAAGGGGGAGAUAUUUAGGAUCUAGGACUCUAUAGGAGACUUACAUGCAUAUCAUUUUCAUAUCAUUGUUUGGAUCGUACAUAUUGGAUAGUGAUACUUUUUACUUAUAUAUGAUAUGCCUAUAUGUUUCAUGUCUUACAUUGUUUCUUAUUGCAAAUUAUCUCUAACAUGUCUUGAUUAUCUUUUUUUUAACUUCAUAAAUUUUGAUUGUUAACCCAUGAUUGGUUUGAGGGGAAGAUUCUUCUUCUCCUAGAUAACCAAGGUUUGUCAUCAUAAAAAAAUUGGAGAUUGUUAGCCCAAGGGUUCUCCUAAUCAUGUUUUGAUGAUAACAAACCAUGCUUAAGUUACUAAUUGGUUUGAAUUAUAAAGAAUUUCAAGUGUUAAUUUGAAAAUUCAUCAAAGAACCUAAUGGAUGCAAGAUCAAGAUUUUUGGAAGACCUUUAAUCAUAAGAAACAUAUGUAAGAUGAAUGCAUGGGUGCACUUAAGAUUUGCAUAUCAUUUCAUGCAUAUUUGGAAAACACGGUUUAUGCUUUAAAGUUACAUUUCCAUCAAAAUUUGAGAUCCAUCAAAUGAACCUUAGGAAAAAUGUUUUAAAAUUGGCAUAUAAUUUUACCUAAAGACCUUGCCUAAGUGUUAGAAGCAAAAGGACAAAAAAAAUAUAGGUUUUCUGGUCAAAAAUGGUGAACCAGUCAAGGCAUUGUCUAAAUCAGCUCAAUCGGCCAAGGUACCGGUCGAUCGGUUUCCCUUUCCCUGUCGAGAUCUAGUCAAGAGGUACAAAAAUCACAAUCUCUGUCUCUUUCUCUCUUUGUCUAUCUUCCAGUAGUCUUUCCUUCCCGGUCGAGGGAUUUGCCUUCCCGAUUGAGGUCCGAUUGAGAGUAAUAGUCACUUGCCAAAUAUUAAAUGCUCCAACAGUUAGUGAACUGGUCGACCCCCACCUUGCCCAGUUGAGGUUACUUUUUGGUUUUCUUGGCUCCCGAUGUUAGAAACCUAUAAAUAGAGAGUUCCACUUCAUUUAUGAGCAAGAGAACACUUGCAUUUAUUUGUUUACCUACUUGUUCUUGCCUUAAAAGCUCUCAUUUCUUUUCUUGGUGCAUUAAAUCUCCAUUUUGAUAUCCUUUAGUGCACCUUUGUGAUUCAUCUUAGCCUUGAGUUGUAUUUGAGCCCUUUUUUUAGCUAGGUUGAGAGUUUCAUACUUGUUAAUUGAGUGUUAAAGCCUUCAAGUGAGUUGAAACUUGUAGAGAUUAUGUGAGAGUCGAUUGGAGCCGAAAUCCAAGUGUAAAGGUGAUUAGAAGCUUGGUUGAAGCUUCAAGUUAGUGGAAUCCUCACUCAAUUAGGAGCUUGAGGAGAGUGGACGUAGCCAAGGAAGUGUCGAACCACUAUAAAAUUUGAGUUUGAUUUCUCUAACAUUGUCUCUUUAUAUUUGUUUAUCUUGUGCUUAAAUUUAUUGUGUUUAAAAAGAAUUUUUAAAUACCCAAUUCACCCCCCUCUUGGGUGUUUUUCUCUUUUAAAAUUAGCCUUUAUUUUCUCACAAACUAUUGUAGUAUAGUGGUUUUUAGGUGUCAUCCAUUAGGAUGAAUUGUUCUCGGUAAUUAAGGCGUGAAUGAGAGGAGAAUUAAUGAUUGUGAUUAAGUAAAAUUGAUUUGAAAAUUCAUGGUGAAAAAUCAAUUUAACAAUGGUUUCUAAUUGAGAAAAACAAUGAAAUGUGAAAUAAAAUAAAAUUAAUAGGAAAUGAAAUUCUCGAAGUUAGAAUUUUCUAAAAAACAAAUUCCAUGGUGAAUGGAUGUUGAGAUCUAAUUUUCAUCAAGUUAGAUUGAAAACCGAAAUUUUCAUAUAAACUGAUUUUUUAUUUAGUUUUAGGUCUAGAUUUAAUUUCCCUUAAAAUUAGGUUAUUUAAUCCAAGAAAUCAAUUCAAAUCAUAUAUUCAAUUCAUCUUAAAUUAUCUUCCAAUUAUUCACACAAUGCAACUAUUCAAUCUCAUCAAAUCUAGCUUUUAAGAAUUUAAUGAAUCUACCUAGUUUGCAUUGUAAUAGUCAUCCAUGACAAUUUGAAGAGAAAAAUAAUUCAAUUAAUCAAUCACUUGGAUCAAAUUACCUUUGCAAUUAAAGUUCAUUUCUCUAAUUCACCACAGAUUUUGUCUCUAGAUCCUCCUUUCUCAAAGAAAAAUGAGAUUUAGCCACACAUGAUUGGAGAUUUGGUCUCAUAAGGCAUGUUUAGCUAGUGAUAAAAUGAGAGAAAAUAAAGAAAAAUAGAGAAUUCGAUUAAGAAAGAAAAUCUAAAAAAUUCUACAAUUAGAAAUGUCCAAAAAGCUUUUUCAUGAGAAAAUCAAGUUUCUAUUUAUAGGCCAAGGUCAAGUGGACACUUGACAUCAUCUAAGAGGUCUUCCGGAAGCUUCUUCAUCAAGAAAUCUGGAGUUUAAUAAUAAAAUGGUCAUUUCACAAGAGCUCAAACAAUUUCGCAUGAUUAUGUGAAAUAAAAAAUGCAACAACAGCAAUUUACAUCUUCUUGGAGCAUUUCGCAUGACUGUGUGAAAUUUUCACAUGAUCAUGUGGAAUCGACUUGACAACUCUCAUUUAGCCUACAACAUAAUUCCACCUUUUGGUCCAUUUUUCAUAGUCAUGCGAAAUGGAAAUAUUUGAUUUUUAAGUUUUCUUUUGUCAUUUCUUUCAUUUCCUUCUCUUGAUUCCACUUCAACUACCUCCGAAUCCUGGUCCAAACCAAUUGCAUUACUUCUUUCAUUAUGCAUUUGGAUCAUCAUCAACAUUAUUUGUUCUCUUCAAUUUGAUUCAUCUCUUUUGUCACCAAUUUAUCAAAAUCAUACCUUGAAAUGACUCCAAAACUUCAUAAAACUUGUUAGUAACUCUUGCAAGGGCAACAACAUAUUAAUUAAGUGUUUUAGGCAUAGUUACUACUCAAAAGAUGCGAAACUCAUGAUAAUUAUUAUAUAAAAUAUGCUCUUUUUGAGUAGUAAUCAACUUUCUUGCAUAAGCAGACCUUUUAGGGUGGAGUACUAAAGACCAAUAUGCUUGUCCUUGUUGUAAUAAAGAAACUUGCUCUUAUUGAUUGCACCAUGGGAGAAAAUUUUGCUACAUGAGUUAUCAUCAAUUUCUUCCCACCAAUCAUAGAUUUAGACGUGACAAGAGGCCUCUUAAUGGCAAGGAGGAACUGACACUCACACUUAUACAAUUAUCGGGCAUUGAUGUGUUGCAACAAUUAGAAUAACUUACACCAAUUAUGUUGGGGAAGUCACAAAAGGCAAACAUGAAAACUAAAAGGAAAAAAGAAAAAUGUUACAUAUCACCACAACUGGAAAGAAAAAAGUAUUUACUUUCAUUUGCCAUAUUGGAAAGCACUUAUUUUACAUCAUAAUAAUUUAGACAUAAUGCAUAUUGAGAAAAAUGUGUGACAAUAUAAUUGAGACAUUGUUCAGUAUUGACGAAGAAACAAGGACAACCUAAAUAGUCAUCUCGAUUUACAAGCUCUAACUAUUAGAAAUGAGAUUCACCCAAUAGAAAGCAGGACCAAAUUUAUUUUGCUUGCAACAUGCUACUCACUCACCCCAAAUGAGAUUAAGGAAUUUUGCAAGUUUUUGAAAUCAAUAAAGGUCCCCAAUGGCUAUUCUUUCAAUAUCUCUCGUUAUGUGCAACUCAAUGAAAGGAAGAUAUAUGAGCUCAAAUUGUAUGAUUGUCAUGUCCUAAUGCAACAACUUCUCUCACUUGUAGUUCGUGGAGUUCUACAUAAGAAUGUUUGUGGAGUUAUCAUAGAAUUGCGUAAUUUUUUCAAGCAAUUGUGCUCAAAGGUGUUAGAAACAAAUCACUUACACCAACUUGAGAACAAUAUUAUUGUCAUACUAUGUAAAAUGGAGCAAAUAUUUCUUCCAUCAUUCUUUGAUAUUAUGGUGCAUUUACUUGUGCAUCUAGUAAGGCAAAGGUUGCAAGACUUGUGCAAUAUUGUUGGAUGUACCUAAUUGAACGAUAUUGUUAUAAUUUCAUAUGAAUCAUUUAAUUUUAUUUUAUAUUAUGUUCAGUUCAUUAACAUGUACAUUGGUCUACAUAUGGAUGAUGAUAGGUACCUAAGCACUUUAAAGUCAUAUGUGCGUAAUAGAACUUUUCUAGAAGGUUCUAUUGUAGAAAGGUACCUUGCAAAAGAAUGUACAACAUUUUAUUCUAGGUACUUGAAUGAUGUGGAAAUAAAGUAUAAUCACAAUGAUAGAAACUUUGUUGGUUUCAACACUAGAGGAGAUGAAAGGGGUUAUCUUUAAACAUAUUGGACAUGCAUUGGGAAAGCCCAUAUUUCAUUAACUUAGUUCAAAAGAGUGGUCACAAGCACAUUUAUAUGUGUUGACAAAUUGCGAAGAUGUCAUACCAUUCAUUGAGUAAAAAAUUUAUUUGAAUUUUAAUUAAAGCUCUAGUUUAUAUCCUUAAUCAAUGUUUUUUAAAUUCACAAGGAGCACAAGCAAACCAUCAAGGCUAGACCACAUAUACGUGUUUGAGACGUAGAUUUAAUUCAUAACAAGGAAUUUAUCAAGUGGUUUGAAAGACAUGUAAGUAUAUUCCUUAUUAUAAGGGAUUUAUUUCACAUUAUGUUUAUAUUGAAUCCAAACCUAUUAUUGAAUUGUAGGUUGAACAAUUACAUAAUGAAGGUCAUAUAUCUGAACACCUUCUCACAUUAUCAUGUGUUCCAAAUUCAUUAGUUACAUGCUUCAAAUGAUAUAUUGUCAAUGGAUUUAGAUCCCACAUUAAAGAACGUGAUAAAAAAGUUUUUAAAAAAAGACUCAGAAUAAUGGAAUUGUUGUAGUUGCAAAAACGUCAAGCUUUACAAGUGCAUGUGAUAUGAGUCCAAUUAUUAGUGAUGCUCUCUACUAUGGUGUUCUAACUAAAGUUGUUGAGUUACAUUAUCUUGGUGAAAAUAAGGUUGUUUUAUUCGAGUUUGAUUGGUGGGAUGUUACAAAUAUUGGAAAAUUGAUAAAAGAUGAUGAGUACAAUUACACAUUUGUUAACUUUGCAUGAAUUCUAACCACGAACGAACGAUUUGUACUUGCAUCUCCAGCAAAGUAAGUGUUCUAUGUGAAGAAUGCGAAUGAAUCAGAUUGGCAUACUAUCAUGGAGAUGCAACCUCAAGACCUCUAUAAGAUGAACGGGAUAGGAUCCAAUGGUGAUUUUGAACCAUUUCAACAAAGUGAACUACAUGAUCACUAAUAUAUCUCAGAUUUAGUUGAUGAAGAUAUAAUCAAGUGGAACAAAAGUGAUGUUUUAGGACUAAUCAUCCUAAAAAAUAUUGUAGUUUCUUAAAAAAAAAAUGAAAAUGAAGAAGAUAAUUGAACCUUUGUCAUACUUUAAAAAGCAACUAUGCAUUGUUCAUUUUGUAUGUUUUGGUUUUCUUCAUUUAAUUUCCUGAUUUUUGUGAUUCAAUGUCAUAUUAUUGAUCUUGAAAUAUUUUUCUAAUUUUUCAUUCUACGAUGGUUUCAACAAGGAUGACAUCAAGUCAAAAAAGGAAAUGUGGUCCCACACACAAUAUUGCAUUACAGGGAUUAAGGUCAGGGAAGAAGGUAAAAGUUGCAUUUAAUGAGUACAAUCAAUUGGUUAAACAGAAAAAUGGAAAACACUUAUCGAGCUACAUAGGGACACUUGUAUCUAACCAACACAAUGUACCUCUCCAAGCUAGUGAUUGGAAAAAUGUUCCAAAUGAUGCAAAAGAGAAAGUAUGGCCUUUGUUUUGGUAUGUUGUAUUUCUCACUAUAUGAUGUCAUUUCACUGUUAUUCUAUUUUGUGACUAACGUUUGAAUCAUAUGUAAGAAAAAUUUGAAGUAGAUAAAGACUGAAAAGAUUACAUGUUGGGUAUAGCCUCAAAUAAAUAUAGAAGCUAUAAAAAUAUGAUGAAUGCAAAAUACUAUGACCCUUGGCAUAAGGAUGCAUGAGGAGAGGUUAAUACAUAAAUCACCAUUUGUCUCUGAUGUUGAUUGGAAGUGGCUUGUCUCUGAUGCAUAAACCAAAUCCCCCACUGAAUGUUUGAUAUUUGAUAGCAGGAAAAACACACCCGCAGCUAUACACCUCCAUCAUUCAGAUAAUUAUAGUGGGGGAGAUGAUUCAUGGUUGCCCUUAUACCCUUUAUUUGCACCAUCUAUUGAGAUUCUUUAUCAUGGCCAGGUUUUACUGCAGCAAUAAGAUAUGGUGGCAACAAUUUUAUCUAUAGGUGCGGUUCCAGACCGCCUCCAUAGGUGCGGUUCCUGACUGCCUCCAUAGGUGCCUCUUCUUGUAAUGUUUGUUCUGGGAAUUACACUUGAAAGCCUUAUCGUGAUAAGGGAUUACAAACACUAGUUCAGAGGACAGCCAUGUUAAACUUCCACUAUGUUUGUGUCACAUUAUCAGCAGCCUAGUGUUUAUUGGUCAUGCUAUCUGCAACUAAUAUAACCCGGUGAACUUCAAUCUAAAUUCUGAAAGUACUCAUGUGACAGAUGGUGCCUUUCAGCAGAUAUCAUCAAUUUAAAAGUAGUGUGUGUGCCUAUAGGUGGGAAGGCCUUGGCAAAUGUUCAGUAUUCCGGUAAUUCAAGAAGGAUAUAUCUAAAAUAGAUUUUCUUCUUGCCCAUUUCAAUAGUUAAAAUUUGAGAAGAUUGUGUCCACAUCACACAAAUAUUAUUGGUCCUUCUGUUGCAAUUUACCUCUGAACAUGUCUUCCAAUUCCCACGGUCCUGUUACUCCAGGAAAACUAUUUCGGUCAUAUUGAAAAAAAAAAUAUUAAAGAAGGUACACAUGCUUUUAAGUGGACUGGGGCAUUCAUAUCAGGUGGUCUGUAUCCACAUAUGCCACUUCGUGAAAGGUGGAACAGCCUAAUCACUAGGCUAUUUAGUGUGGCCCAGCCACGUUAAUCAAGCACAAGUCUUCAUACUUAAAGUCAAAUGGUGUCUUUAGUCUCAUUACACAUCGCUAUUUGAAGAUUAACUCAUCACUAGUGUAAUGCGAUUAAGACAGUCCUAACUCAAUAUUUGUUCUAGUUUUGGAUGCAAAUGCUUGCUGGUUUCAUCAUUGGAUGGGAUAAAGGUGCAAUCAGGACUAUGAAUACGUGCAGUAAUACUUCAUUCUCUUUUUUCUCAAUGAGACUUCUUGGCACAAUUUUGCUGCUCAGCAACCUACCUUUCCAUGGAAAAUCAGUUGUGACUGAUAGUAAUGGAUAUAUUCUAGAAAGCUAAACAUAGAUAGCAUUCAAUAUUAUCGAUAUAACAUUAACAGCGUAUGUCUCAAUGCUCAUCAGCUACAAGCAAUGGACAAACACUUUGAGUAACUCACAGCAGUCAAAAUUCCUAAACAGGACAGACGUGACAGAUCUAUAUAUAGAACACUGCAUAUGAGUCACAGGAAAAGAUAAUACGGGUACAUAGAAGCUCUUAUUUUACAUAUUACUCAUACUGAUCAAAGUCGCUCAGUUGGGAUGGAUGGGAGAAGGAGGUUUGAGGGGUGGCUUGUGCGGGGAAGUUGGCAGCUUCUUUCCGGGAGCUGGUUGCUUCUUUGCUGGAGUUGAAGGAGGCUUAAUCUUCCGAGGUGGCUUGUAUGAGUCUUCAGCAUUCUCAGCAGGAGGGUGACCAGGGUUGUGACCAUAAUGUGGUGGCUUCUCUCCCUUAGGUGGUUUGCCAACUGGGGUUGGUGGCUUGUUUUCUGGGAGUGGCUUCUCUCCCUUGGGUGGUUUGCCAACUGGGGUUGGUGGCUUGUGUUCUGGGAGUGGCUUCUCCCCCUUGGGAGGUUUUUCGAAUGGGGUGGGUUUGUGUCCUGGUGGUGGCUUCUCUCCCUUGGGAGGUUUACCAAUUGGGGUCGGUGGCUUGUGUUCUGGGAGGGGCUUCUCUCCCUGGGGAGGUUUAGUGGGUGGCUUGUGUUCUGGAGGUGGCUUCUCCACCGGAGGCUUAUGCUCUGGUGGUGGCUUCUCGAAGGGGGGAUGCUCAGGGUAAUCACCAAGUGAGGGGGUGGUGAGAACCACCAUGCCAAGCAACAACACUAGCAAGUAUGUAGUAGACAUCUUUGGGUUUGGACUCAGACAGUGCAAAACUACGAGAAAUCGCUAGCCCUUUAUAGCGGCUCGGACCUAAUACUGACAUAAUAUAAAAUAAAUAUUAUAUUUUAUCAAGAGAGAACAGAGUGUAAUUUUAUCAUUAAUACCGAUCGAGGCCAAAGAAAGAAGACCCAUAAUCCAUUUCCCACAAGCAUACACAAUGCAGCUGUAAUUUUAUCAUUUACUUUUAUCCCUUGGACCACUGCAUUUUUGUUGAGAGACACAAUAACACAUUUUUAUCUGUCAUUCAACAUUUACAGUAAAGAGAGGGCACAAAACGCAAUUAGAUAAAUUAUGUUUUGCCUGCUAAAAAGAGGCAAAUAACUUUAUUUGCAACAUAAUUAUUUUGGUUUCUAGUGACCCCGGGGCCUUUCGGUUGGUUUGGGAUCGGAAAAUGAACAUCAUAGGGGGGGUUGUGCCCUUAUGGGCAUAUAUAUCUGAUAGCUUCAACUGGCCUUGUUCCUAGAAAGAAAUUGCCAAAGAUAUAAACUUAUUCCAGGCUGAAAGUAGAUGAGAGUCAUAAUGAACAUCAACCUUUGUUCAGUUUGAUUCAAUGCCCCCAUAGUGUUCAUUUCACAGAUCUGAAUGAUUAUAUCCGUUGAAUACAUAAAUUAAUGAAGACAAAUAUGAAACCCAAGAUACAUCUCUGCAUAACAACCCCAACCCUGGUUGCUAUGUUUCCCUUCUUCUAUUCACAUGAGGAUACUGGUUAUAAUUGUCAAACUUGCAACAAGCCCUUUGACACCUAACGUCAAUGGACGAAUUAAAAGUCUCCUUCAAACGUCUAUUUCACAGCAUGAAGCUUAUAAAGGAUGCUGACAACCUUCAGAGUUAGCGACAAAAGAUAAUUAUCAAGGAGAGAUAGUUCCAUGAGAAUUCCAAGGAGUCUGAAUCAAAGACAAAUUGCUCACUCAAGGGUUCUUAUUUUCUUUUAGGUACAAAUCUCUUGAGUGUUGUUAAAGAAACACGUCACUGUCAUUUUGAUUUGCAUUUAACAUUUCACUUUUGUUCUGGAAGGUUUGUUCCGGAAACAUAUCAAAUGAGCAUCAUUUUCUUCUUCGGUGACACAUGGUCGCGAGUACGUGGGUCCAUUUUCAUGCCACUUAGUUGAAAAGUUGGAAAGAAAAAACAUGCCAACAAGAAGAUAGUGAGAGAAGGGGCACUUCAAGCCUUUAACAUGAACAAACAGUAAAUAAAAGAUGUUUCUCCACUCAUAAAAGUGUGUUAGAUAGCAAUAUAACGAAUCACAUCCAAAAUCUUUACUAGGCUCAAACAUAAAGAAGACUCAUUUUUAAGAAAAGAUAAAAAUGGCAUUGUCUGAUAGUAUCCAAUACACGAGAUGGCACUUAAUUUGUACAAGAUCUGUCAAUGCUGACGCACAUUUUCUGAUUAAAAAAAAACUGAUCAGUCAAAAGCAAUGAAGAGAAGUGAUGACAAUGAAUGAUGCUUCCAAUAUUUUCACCCCUUAUAGUGUUCUUCAUGAUUCAGAUAUAUAAUUGGAAAUAGAACAACCCUAUGCCAUACAUUCGUCUAAGUAUGGUGUCUAAUUUUUUGUGUCAGCGGUUGCGAAUGGAGCGUGCAAAAGUCCAAAUUGGCGUCUCUCCAUUUCCACAUAGGAAGGUGACCUUUAUUGACAAAUACCCAAUAUUUGUAGACAUUCCUUAAAUAUCAUAACUUCUUGUUGAUUUGAAAAUCAUUUUUCAACUACCAUGUUUUAAUAAAUAUUUUUUAAAAUGUAUUUUUAUCAAAGUCCACCAUGAUGGAUAAUAUUCACCAUGCAAUAAUUAAUAAAGUACAAACUAAGCGAAAUGAAAAGCAUUUUCUUUGCUUUGAGUUGAUUUUGGUUGCAUUGAGUUGAUUUUGGUUUCAUGGUUUUUUCAACUCUUAUUUUGAUUGGAAGAUGUCAAGAAAAGAAAACAUAAAGAAAAAUUAAAAGGGAAAAAAGAAGAAAAAUAAAAAAAAAUAGAUUUAAAAGUUAAUAAAUUAUUUUUUAUAUUUAUUUUAAUUCAUUUCACUUAUUUUUCUUUUACUAUAUAAAAUUUAAAUAAUUUAAAUUUUAUAAUUAAUUUAAUUACAUUUCAUUUUCUUCUAUAUUUAAAUAUUGGAAAAAUAUUUUACUUAAUAUUUUUUUCUUUAAUUUCUUUGGCAUUUUGGGAACCAAACUUAGCCUUUAAAAUAAAAAACAAAAAAAAAAUGAAAAUAAGGAGGGAAAAGUGAGAAAAGAUAAAAACAAUAUGUAAAGGAUUUGAAAAGUAUUAGUUUGUAAUUACUAUUUGGAUUUCAAUAGUAUUUUAUUUGUCUUUCUAUAUUUCAUGUAAGAGAGAAUUUAAGAUAUUCCCCAAGGCAAAGCAUUAGUUACCUGCAAUCAGUGGUGAUAAGGCUCCAAGCCAAUUUUGGGCCCCAUAUCUUAAGACAGUACAAUUUCCAUUUCAACAUUUCUGAUUUCUCAGAUGUUUCACAUACCACAGAAGAACAUUGUUUGUGAAAAUAUGCAUUUAUGUUGGAUUUUGUAUGCUGUGGGGACUGGGGCAAGGAUCAUAUGGAAGAGUGGUUGACUUUUUCUGUACUUUAACGGUUGAAAUAGGAUAAGCACGGGCAUUUGUGAGGCUUAAUUGAUUUUGAAGCCUGAAAUUGCGUUUCUGUCAUUUUGUCAAAAAAAUGGCAGAUUCCAUACUCAUAUGUUUGGCCUGUGGCCAUGUACAGAUGCCAUUUAGUGACCAGUUUGUAACUGUCAAUCGUUGCGUUUUGACUCUGCCUCAACAACAUCUGCCAUUGACGGGUUUUCAUACUUGCAAAUCAAAUAGUCUUUCGUCCCAUCAGGAAUUUCGGUUUAAAUAUUAUUAAGCAUACGUUUGGCUGACAAUCAUUAUCCAGUUCAUGAUUUGGUUUCUUACCCUUAAUCAAUGGUUUCUAAGUGAAUAUAUGUAGAAGGAAAUCCGAAGUGUAGACAGUAGUAUCGAUAACUCUCAAUAUUCUCUAUAUAAUAGAAUAAACAGCGUCAUAGUGAUCGUCGCCUACAAGCAAGGUACAAAUACCAAAACGAGUGACUCACAUAGACAUCUCCCAACAAGAUGUAGUAGUGACUGACACAUGGACACAAUUAACUCGUAGAAAAGGAUAAGACCAUUGCACAGCAGCUCUUAUUUUACAUACUACUUAUGCUAACCAAAGUCAAUUAGUUGGGAUGGGUGGGAGAUGGAGGUUUGUGCGGUGGCUUGUGGGGCGGAGUUGAUGGCUUCUUUCCAGGAGCUUCUGGCUUUUUCAUCGGAGCUGAAGGAGGCUCAAUCUUAUGAGGCGGCUUGUAUGAGUCUUCUUUACUCUCGACAGGAGGGUGGCCAGGGUUGUGAUCAUAAUGUGGUGGCUUCUCUCCCUUAGGUGGCUUGCCAACUGGGGUUGGUGGCUUGUGUUCAGGAAGUGGUUUCUCUCCCAUGGGAGGUUUAGCAAUUGGGGUUGGUGGCUUGUGUUCUGGGAGUGGCUUCUCUCCCUUGGGAGGUUUAGUAGGUGACUUGUGUUCUGGAGGUGGCUUCUCCACCGGAGGCUUGUGCUCCGGUGGUGGCUUCUUGGUUGGAGGGGGCUUGGGGUAAUCAGCAAGAGAUGGGGUGGUGAGAACCACCAGUCCAAGGAACAACACUAGCAAGUAUGUGGGAGACAUUUUUGAGUUUGGGCUGAUCAGAUGAUGCAAAACUAAAGCAUUACGUGACCUUUUAUAGCAUGUAGCUCCCAAUACCCACUAAGUAUUGUGGGGUCCAUUUGUGCCCUACGGGGUUGAAAACUUAGACAAUUGGGCAAGGACCCACCUGACUAUGGAGGACUAGUGAGGUGUGAUCAUAGCUUUAGGAUUUUUCUUCCUCUGCAGCCGUCGUGCCGUUGGCAUGAUUUUCUUAAUCUUAAAUAAAGGCAUAGUUAUAGAGUUGUUUAAUCUCUAAAUGGGAUUUUAUAUAUAUCUUCAGAUAGCCAUUAAUAUAUUUGAUGAAGAAAGAAAGACAAGUGCAUACAACAUGUAUACGACUAGCUUUCAUGGAGUUCAUUUAUGAUCAGUUUUCCUGUACAUGUAAACCAGGAUCAUAUAUAUGUUUCUGUUCCACAACUAUUUUGGAAUCUUGUUUAUCAGUUUUUAUCAUUAUAAUGUCACAUAGGCUGCCAACUUGGGCGCUAAAAGAACCAGUUGGGCUAGUUCGUUUCAGAAUUUCAAUGUGGAUUCAGGAAUUGUUUUGUAAGAUAUGCGAAAUAGUAGAGGGAUGAAUAGUGUUUCAUUAAUAAAAGUGUCCUGUAAAUUAGAAGGUGUCAUAGAAACUAUAAUCAAUAAAUAACUUUUUUUCCCCACGGGUGGUGUUUCUUGUGGGGAUCAGUGACUGGUUUAGGUUCACCCAAAAUGAGUUCAGACUAAAAUUGGUUUGAGUCAAUGCCGUGUCUCUUUUUUCCAGAAAUCAACUAUUUUAUGCAUUGAAUAAAUCAUACAAAGAAAAUAUGAACGCCCGCAAAACCUAAACCCUGGUUGCUAACUUUCUAUGUUUCAGUUCUAUUCACGCAAGAAUAUUAGUUUAAGUUUGGGAAAAAUGGCAACUUACCUAGUGAUUACUUGGUUUUGGUUUGCGACUAUUUACGCAACCAACCAUGAGUUUGACUUUAACGUCAUGGGUUGAAGCCUCCUACAGGAAGGGAGAAAGCUCCACAGCUAGCUCCAAAAGAGAAUUAUCACAUUGAUAGCUCCAGAGAUUCCCAAGGGGACUGAAUCAAAGACAAGUUCCUCACUUUUUCUUCUUUUGAGGCCAAAUAUGAACCAAGGAUCACACAACCUCAUUCAACUUCAUAAGUUUGAUUUCAUGCAGUUGAACACUGGGUGAAGGCCAUGACAAGAAUUGAUUCAAAAAUUCUAUCACUCUUUUAAGUAAUGGAAGAUUAUUAUCUCUGAUUGGCAUCACAACAGCACAUGCUCCUAGAUCUUUCUAGACACUCCAUGCAAUGAAAGCACAAUGGAUCUUGUAACGAUAGAAACUAAGCCAUGCUACAGUACUAGAUGAUGAGGUAAAACUAGUAGACACGGGUGGCAGCCUAUAUGGGAGGGACACAAGUCUAAUUGAUUUGCAUUUCAGCAUUAUAGAUAGGUAUGUUUUGGAAGAUUUGUUCUGGAAAUACCGCACCAAGUAGGAUUCUUUUUCUCUUUAGUGGGUCCACUUGCAUGCCAAUUAACGAGUUGAAAAGUAUGAGCACCUACCUCGUGCUCGUGGAACCGAAGGUCAGUGAAGUGGGGCUCCUUUUGGCCUCGUGUAAACUUGAUUCAGAAGUGAAGUUAAUAGUCUUCCAUUCAGAUGGAUACAUGGGAAUUUUUCUCUUUUAUUUAUUUAUUUAUUUUUUUUUUGUGUGUGUAUGUCAAAGGAUAAUGAAUGAAGCGCGUUAGCUUGUUUUCUGACUGGAACCGCAGAUGUCCAAAUUGGAGUUCCUUCAUUUCUUACUUAGGAUUGUUACAUGUAUAAACAAGGUAUAAGAAAUAUGCCAACGUGUCUUGAGGAGUUAUUGAUUAGAAAUAACAAGUCACCCGACUGUAGAGUUCCAAGAUUUGAAUCUUCAGACCCUAUAGCAGCCUCUGGGGUACGUGGCAUCCUAUAGCAUAUUAAUGAAGGCUUUUUCGAUUUAGACUUCACAAUACCAAUUAAUAUGUAUGCACAAAAUGGAGAUGACCCCAAAAAAAACAGAAUCGCCAUAGUUUAUGAGGUUAAGGUGAUUCUCCACUUAAUAUCUACAUUAGCUAAUUAUGUAAAUCAAAUGAACUUCUAUUUUUCCUUUUUUUUUUUGGUUUAUGUCAAAUAGUAGCCCAUAAUUAACCCAACCAUUAGCCUGUUUGAAUUGAUUUCACAUGCACAAUGUUGUAGUAGUUCAUAUUUUGAAUUUUAUUUUUACAAAGGUAGUUAAGGAAAAUGAAGUAUAAUAAUUAUAAAAGCAGACUAUAUACACUACAAUAAUUGUUAGAAUGGUAUCUCAAAUUCUAAUUUAAAAUAUUAUUUUUUGUAAAAGAAAUAUUAUAUAGAAUAUUUCCUAAUUUUAUAAAUGAUUAUAAUUAGAUCUUUAUAAAAUAAGGAAAGUUGGUAAGAAUAUCUUUAUAAAUAUUUUAGGUCAUGAGAGAAAGAAAUGGGAUAAAAAUGUGAUGAAGAGGUGAAAUAAGAGAGUUGAUUAGGAUAUAGAUGUGAAGAAGAAAGGGAUUCAAUAUAUAUAUAUCUUUCAAUUACCACAUUAAAACCCUGUGAACCUUUUAUAUGGUUUACUUUAUUUUUAUAUUCCUCCUUUAAUAUAUUUACAUUAAUGCUUCCAUUGGCACAACAAUAACGAAUUACAAAUACAAGCAACAAGUCCCAUGUUUUAUUACCAAAAGCAGGUAAAAUCCACCUAAUAUAUUACAAUAUAUUCAUCCAAUAUUUUAGACCAAUUCUUCACCAUAAAUAUCAUAAUGUGGCUUUUGUUCUUUCUUAAAUUUAAAUUGAAUUGUCUUAUAUCAAUUUGUUUGUGAUUUUUUCAUUAACUUCACUUUCAUUUGGUUAUCUUUGGUUUUUGAAAAGUAUUAAGGAAUUAAUUAACAAAAUAAUGUUAAGAAAAAUAAUUUUCUCUCUUUUGAUUUUGAUUUUGUAGUAGAAAAAUAUAAUUAAAAUUAUUUAAAAAGUAUGUAAUUUUAAAUUAUUUAAUAUUUAGAUAAAAAAAAUAAGUCUAAUGAGUUUAAAAUAACAUAUAAAAAUAAUUUAUUUAUUUUAAAUUUAUUUUUUAUUUUCCAUUAUGUUCUCUUUCUCUUUUACUUUUUCAUAUUUUUUCUUACGAAGAAUCAAACACAACCUCAUAUUAUAUGUCAAGUGUUUGUCUAUAUUUGAGCAAUGUUAGAUACGGCCAUGGAUUCAUCAAACUAAACUGAUUUUAAUAGAUACUUCACAAAUUGAUUUAUACACUAAAUCAUUGGAUAGCAAUGAUGCAUUGGAAUUAAACGUAGGAUGAAGCUCGAAGAACACUGUUUGUGUAACAACAUAUUUAUGAAAUUAUGCAAAGGAUGAGCUUCGGGGUAGUAGUACAAGGUCAUUAAUGGAGAGCCGUGUUAAACCUUGAUUGUGAUUGGAUUCCGUUAUCAGCAACAGCAACCUUGUUUGUAACCUUGAAAGUCAUUCUGUCCACAUCGAAACUCCAAUUUGACGUUUGUAAUUACCAUUCCUGGAGUGUUCCUUGAUUGAAAUUUAAAUAAUAAUUGCGGCCCACAAGGAAUAUUUUCGAUUCUGUGGGAAUUUGACAAGGUUUGUUAGAGAAGACUGGUGACAUGUUGACUUCAAUGGUUCAAAUAGGAGACGUAUGUGGAUUUGGGGGGUUUAAUUGAAACUGAGUCCCUAUGGCUUUUUAAUAUUUGCAUUGAGCAGUCUCCAUGUGACUUCCUAAUUCCCACCAACCCUCCUGUCCAUGCUGUGAAACUAAAUUGUAAUUUAUCAGCCUUUGUCAAUGGUUUCUAAAUUAAAGAUAUAGACCAUGCAUGUACUUUAAUAAAAGCAAAUCUAAAGUGUAGAUAGCAGCAAUGGUGACACCCAAUAUUCUCCAUAAAAUAGAAUUAGAAUAAGCAGUGUUACAUUGUUCAUGAUCACCUACAAGCAUACAAGAACUUCCAUGAAUAACUCAUAGCAAUUGCCAACAGGGCGUCGUAGAGACUCAUACAUAGAACACUAUCCACCCAGAGGAAAGGACAAGACCAGUGCGCUGCAGCUCUUAUUUUUCACAUGUAUACCACCACUCGUAAUAACCAAAUUCACUCAGUUGGGAUAGGUGGGAGAUGGUGGUUUGUGGGGUGGCUUGUGGGGAGGAGUUGGAGGAGGCUUUAUUUUCUGAGGCGGCUUGUAUGAGUGUGCAGGAGGAUGCCCGGGAGUGUGACCAUAAUGUGGUGGCUUCUCUCCCGUAGGUGGUUUGCCAAAUGGGCUUGGUGGCUUCUCUCCCUUAGGAGGUUUACCAAUUGGGGUUGGUGGCUUGUGUUCUGGGAGUGGUUUCUCUCCCUUGGUAGGUUUGCCAAUUGGGGUUGGCGGCUUAUGUUCUGGGAGUGGCUUCUCUCCCUUGGGAGGUUUGCUAAUUGGGGUUGGCGGCUUAUGUUCUGGGGGCGGCUUCUCUCCCUUGGGAGGUUUGCCAAUUGGAGUUGGCGGCUUAUGUUCUGGGAGUGGCUUUUCUCCCUUGGGAGGCUUGCCAAUUGGGGUUGGCGGCUUAUGUUCUGGGGGUGGCUUCUCUCCUUUAGGAGGUUUGCCAAUUGGAGUCGGCGGCUUAUGUUCUGGAAGUGGCUUUUUUCCCUUGGGAGGUUUGCCAAUUGGGGUUGGCGGCUUAUGUUCUGGGGGUGGCUUCUCUCCCUUGGGAGGUUUGCCAAUUGGAGUCGGCGGCUUAUGUUCUGGGAGUGGCUUCUCUCCCUUGGGAGGUUUUGUUGGUGGCUUGUGUUCUGGAGAUGGCUUCUCCCCUGGAGGCUUGUGCUCCGGAGGUGGCUUCUGAAAUGGCGGGGGCUUGGGGUAAUGAGCAAGAGAUGGAGUACUGGUGAGAACCACCAUUCCAAGCAACAAUACUAGCAAGCAUGUGGGAGACAUCUUUGAGUAGUUGUAGCUAAGAUGGCGCAACACUGUAGGCAUUGGGUGGCCUUUUAUAAAGGGCUGGACCCAACAGCCAUAUGACACGUGUCAUGAUGACAAAUGAAGUUGAGGGGAUCCAGAUGGGUCCUACUGAGUCGAAAACUUGCACUAAUUGAUCUGGUGAGAUGACUAUUUCUGUCCUUUUGCCCUUCUCGGCCACCCUGUGCUGUUUUCCUUUUGCACGAUUUUCGUUGCCAAACAAGCAAAUAAUAUUUCGCCAAGAAAGAGGAGAGUGAAUGUGGAAUGCAUCAAGUCCCAUCAAGGAUGGCAGAGAAGAAAUAGAAGAUUGCCCAACUGUGAUAAACAUAGCAUACACGUAGCACCAGGAACUUCAUUUACUUCCAUCUAAUGGAACAUAACAAUCUUCUAAAGUUUUUGCAUGAUUUUGUUAUAUGUCUCUUAGCCUAAAGUUGGAAAUGCGCAACAAAUUUUGUCACUUCUCUAUUUCCCACUGAUGAUGUUAAUUAGCCUUCAUAGAUAUCAUCCUUUCUACAAAGUGCUUCAUUUGUGUGUUAUUGUAAAGUGUAAGAAAAGUAAUUGAACAUGUUCUUUUUCCUUUCAUAGAUGACUUUUGAUGUGCAUUUUAAAAGCAGCGCUGUGAGUCGGUGACCUUGAUUCACACGGAAACUAAGGCUCCUAUAGGACCCACUUUUAGCUGGUUAGGGGUGAAGAAAAUAUCAACUUUUCAGAGUGAUUUAAGUCAAGGCCAAGCCUCACUGUGUCAUUACUCGUGUGAAUUUUAUAUGCACAUACAUACAUAAAUAAAGUAUGAGACCCAAAUAACACCUUCCCUUUACAAACUUAACCCCAGCCGCUCUCUUUCAAUUCUUUUCACACAAGGGUAUUGACUCUAUAAAGGUCAAGAAAAUCAUAAUUUCCUAGGGUUUACAAGGUAAUUGGCUUAAUGCUAAUGUGAAAACAUAAAAGAUAAUAGUAUAUUGUAAGCUAACGAAUAUUCUAUAGUUAUAAUUAUUUGUGAUGUGCAUAAAUAAAUCUUCAUAUAUAUAAUGGAACAAUGAAUAAAGAACCAAUGAAAAAAUACUAUAUAUCAUUGCUUGGCAUUUAAACCGUAUAUGCUGCUCUUUCUAGCUACUCCAUCCACUGAAAGACAACAAGGUAAUCCAUGUUAUAAUGAUAGAAGAUACUGUCUCUAGGCUUUUUGUGAUGAAAAAUAUAAGAUAUGGGUAGGGUUGACCCUUGUAUGUUUGUCCUAUAAACACUUCAAAGUAACAUAUUUUUCUUCUUUAGCAACUCAUAAUGAUGGGGUUCAUUUGCAUGUCACUGAGUUGAAAAGUUGGACAAUUGCCCAUGUCGCCUUCCUCCUAGAUUCCGUAGUUCACGGGAAGGUAACUCAAGUUUGACAUAUUUUGAAUUCUUUUCACUCGGACGUCUUCAUAACCUGACAAAACAAAAAUGAAAAACAGAGGAUUGGUAUAUUAUUCAUGGUAAGCCUCAAAUUAUAGUAGUAUGAGAAAGGAGAAAAAGAUUUUGGGAACUCCAAUCUGGAUAAUUCUCGUUUCUUCUCUUGAAUAAAAAUUUCACUUACCUAACUUCGUUUGGAGAAAUGGCAUAUUUUAAUUUUGUACGUCAUUGCUAAUAAAUGGAGCAAUUUAGCAUGUUUUGUGACUGAAACUGCAAAUGUCCAAUUGGCAUUUCUUCAUUUCCCACUUAGGAUCUGAUCUUGUAGACCAUAUAACGAUAUGUAUCUGUGCAAGCAUUGAAAACUAAUGUGAACUAUGAGGAGUUACAAGCCACUGGACUGUAGAGCGAGUGCCAAGAUUUAAAUCUUCAGGCUCUAUCUGGGUAAGGGGAGGAUAGCGACCUAACCUUUUACCAAAGGCUUAGAAUUUAGACUUUUGGAAAAAAAUUUCUCAUGUUUUGGCUGGAUUUCUUGUGCUUGGCGCAAAAAGGAGAUGGCCUCAAGAAAUAGCAGACUCACUUUUGUUUUCAGCCCUUAAUAAUUCUCCACUGCUUUCCAUAACUACAUGGGUUAUACAUGCAGUCUGCUGCAAUAUUCCAGUUAUAUUUAUUAUUUCAAAGAGGGUGAAUGACUUCACAUGCAAUAUGUUGCAGUAACAACCCAAAUUUUGGCACACCAUCUUAAGAAUAGAAAAGUAUAAUAAAAGAAAUCAAUCAGAGAAUCACUUUGCAUGCAGUUCAUAGAGUUCGCCCAAAAUGGAGCCACAUGUACGGACAACCCCACAAUAGACAAUCUUCUCUAUACAGUAAUAAAAUACAGAAAUGGUUAAUGAAGCUCUGUAUUUCCUUAUCAUAUAUGACCGGUUGAAAACUCAGCAAGUCUUCCUCAAUCACAGACAGUUGGAGUUGCUUCAUCAAAAUCAUGCCUUCAUUACUGGCUUCAUUUUGGUUUCAAUGUCUGUUCUACCCUUAAAUUGGGUCUCUGCUUACUACCGGGAUAUCCUUUAGCGUCCUGCAAUUCUACUAGAUUAAAGAGAAUGACUUAAUUCUGCAUUCUGCCGUCCCUAGUCCAAGUGGUACUAGAAUUGAUGUUUCCUUUAGUGUCCUUUCUUCAUACUUUCAGGUUCUUCCCUUGUUUCAAUAAUGCUGUUUUCCUUCAUGUUUAACCUCUGUUGAACCACUUAAAACAACACAAUUUGCACACCAAUGUUUCUUUACAGAAAAGACUGUUUGCAAAAAUGCACAUGUUAUAAGGUUAAUGGAAGAAUUAAUUUGGGGAUAAGGGACUAGGAUUGGGCCAAUGAAGUUUGGUGUUAAAUUUUGAUUAUGAUUGCUUUUCAUUAUCAGGUACCUUAUAUUUGCUGAUGCUAUCUGGAACUAAAUUCAAAUCAGACAUUAUCCGAUUACUAACAGGACAUAUCAUGUCCCUCUGCAGAGUUUCUAAACUAACAUGUAUCGAAAUGUGGCCCCAAAAGGAAGGCUAGGAAGAUGGAGGAUUUUGUAGGAAUCGACCAGAAUCAGAUGGAAGAGAGAUAGUCCUGUUGACUUUAAUGGUUGUGAUAGGAACAUGCAUCAUUAUAUGAGAAGUUGCAUGAAUUUAUGUAUCCUGUUAUCGUUCCUUGACGAUUUCCCAAUGCAAUUUCACUGUCCACAAGACUAACCUCUCCAUGCAGUCAAAUGAAUUGUAAUUUCUCUAUUGGUACCAGUAGUACAUUUCAUACCAAACAUAUAGUAAAUAUAAAAUAUAAAUAGAUCAAGGAAAUCUGAAUUGUAGAUAGCACUGCAAGUAACACUCAAUAUUCUCUAUAUAUAAUAAAAUAAACAGUGUCACAAUACUCAUCACCCAGUGGCAAGGGAGAAAAACCUACAAUGAGUACUCAAAUCACCAUUCUCAAACAGAAACAUAGCAGUGACUGAUACAUAGAACCUAUAUGCUCACAGGGAAAGAAUAAGAUGACCAGUGCACAGCGGGCAGCAGCUCUUAUUUUACGUACAACUCAAAUCCCAAACUAACCAAAGUCGCUCAGUUGGGAUGGGUGGGAGAUGGUGGUUUGUGGGAUGGCUUCUGGGUAGGAGCUGGUGGCUUCUGUCCCUUUGGUGGUUUGCCUAAUGAGCUUGGUGGCUUGUGCUCCGGGAGUUGUUUCUCUCCCUCGAGUAGGUUUCGAGUCUUGUCAGAUGGCUUGUGUUCUGGUGGUGGCUUCUCUCCCUGGGGUGGUUUGCCGAAUGGGCUUGGUGGCUUGUGUUCGGGGAGUGGCUUCUCUCCCUGGAGAAGGUUACGAGUUUUGUCAUAUGGCUUUUGUUCUGGUGGUGGCUUCUCUCCCUGGGGUGGUUUGCCGAAUGGGCUUGGUGGCUUGUGUUCGGGGAGUGGCUUCUCUCCCUGGAGAAGGUUACGAGUUUUGUCAGAUGGCUUGUGUUCUGGUGGUGGCUUCUCUCCCUGGGGUGGUUUGCCGAAUGGGCUUGGUGGCUUGUGUUCGGGGAGUGGCUUCUCUCCCUGGAGAAGGUUACGAGUUUUGUCAGAUGGCUUUUGUUCUGGUGGCGGCUUCUCUCCCUGGGGUGGUUUGCCAAAUGGGCUUGGUGGCUUGUGUUCGGGAACUGGCUUCUCUCCCUUGGGAGGUUCAGUUGGUGGCUGCUGUUCCGUAGGUGGUUUCUUCACCGGCGGCUUGUGCUCCGGAAGCGGCUUCUCUACCUGGAGAAGCUUACGAGUUUUGUCCGAUGGCUUGUGUUGUGGUGGUGGCUUCUCUCCCUGGGGUGGUUUGCCAAAUGGAGUUGGUGGCUUGUGUUCGGGGAGUGGCUUCUCUCCAUUGGGAGGUUUAGUUGGUGAUUGGUGUUCCGUAGGUGGUUUCUGAAGUGGGGGAUGCUUGGGGUAGUCAGCAAGAGACGAGGUAGUGAGAACCACCAGUCCCAGCAGCAACACUAGCAAGCAUGUGGAAGACAUCUUUGAGUUCAGGCUGAGAUCUGUGCAAGGAUAACAGAAUUAGGUGGCCUUUUAUAGAGGCCUGGACCCAACACCCAUAUGACACGUGUCAUGCACUCAUGGUGACACAUAAUUCUAUGGGACCAUUUGGGUCCUACAGAAGUUGCAAAGUUGGACUACUGAGGUGUGAUCACAACUUUUGUCCUUAUUGCUUUCUCUGCGGCCAUUGCACGAUUUCCUUUAGCAUCAUUUUCUUGGCUAAAUAAGCGUAUUAUAUUUGUGGCAGACCGUCCACGUGUCAUAAACAGAUAUAUUAUAAUAAUGUAGUAUGCUUUUCUCCAAUGGAACAUGACACUCUUCUAAGUCUUGUUUUAAAUAUUGUGCAGGAUUACUUUAUACGUUGCAGUUCCAAGUCAAAAUUGGUGGGCAAACGUUGGCCUUUUUUCAUUUCACCUAAGAUUAAUGCUCACCUGGGAUAGGCACUACAUGACUUAUCUGCUCUUUUACUGUAAAGUUGCUUUGUGUAUGAGAUACACCUCCCCUGCACACCCUCAACAUUCGUUGCUCUGUUUUCCUUGUGUCCAGACGAGGAUAUUAAUUGGAGGCUGACAAAACGACUGCUAGCCCAGGAUUUACAAGGUCCUGGUUUGAGGCUUCGGUGAAAGUAUUUUUGAAAAGACACACAUAGAGAUAGUGCGUUUGGUGCAAUGCAGCACUGUGAGCCAUUCUGACGCGUUCUUAAUUUCAAAACUAAUGAAUGCUUCAAAAUUUUAAGAAGUGACAUUUCCAAAUAUUUGAGUUCGUUUAAUUGAACAUUGGAUAACUAGUGAUCAUAGAUUAUUAUCUGUGCUUGGCACUAUAAGAGGGUAUAUGCUUCUUUUUCUGGCCCCUCCUUCAAGGGAGGAGGGACAAUGUGAUCUGUAACGUUAGAAGCUAUUCCAUGUCAUCUUUGGGCUCAGUUCAAAACUAAAAGAUAAUGGGGGGGGGGGGGGGGGGCAUAUCAUUUUAUAUUUCUUCUAGAAGGUUUGUUCUGGAAAUAUUUCACAGGAGCAUAUCUUUUUCUUCUAUUACGUCAUCCGCAGCCUCCAAUAGGUCGGUUAACAAGCCACCGAGUUGAAAAGUUGGAAAAAUGGGAACACAGCCCGCCUCUUGUAUUCAGUAGUUAAAUAAAAGGUCACUAGAAGUGAGAUCCCUUUUGGCGUCUUGAUUUUCAAUCCAGCACCUCUGUGACCUGACAAACCAAAAAAACUAAAAAAUAAAAAACAGUACGUGGGUUGGUGUUAAGCAUCAAGACAUGUUAAUGAAAGAAGGUAGAGAAUAGGAUAUUGAAAUCCCAAUCCUGAUAACAUGAUUUUCUUUGCUAACAACCAUAUUAUAUUUUAUCAAGAAAGAGUAAUGCAUGUGGCGUCCAUCAAGACCCAUUAGAGUUCCGCUAAAGCUAUAGUUCUGUCAACGUUAUCAUUUACGUUUCCUCUAGAUAAUGGCAUUUUCCUCUAAAGCUCUUGCACCAUUAGGCUUCAAGUCAAAAUUUCACAUGUGAACUUUGGAAAUUUUCUCCAUUUGCCCCUAAGGAUACAGUUAGAAUUGACUUAAAAUCCUGAUUGAUAUGUACUAUUAACCAAAGAAUAUUGUAUAUAAUAAUUGAAAUAUUGUUGAUUCAUCGUGGAAAUACAUUUUGUAAGGAAAGUUGUUGAGAAUUUAGUAUGCUAUAUGGAGAAAAAAGUCAUGACUUAAGGUUGUGUAUGUAUAUUCUAUAUCAAAUAUUAGGUAGGAAUGUGGGAAAGAGCAGAGUGUAAUGAUAAGAAACAAAGAAAUAUAAGAUAUUCUUGAAAGUGGAAAAUAUAAAAUGGCUAACGAGUCAAAUUUAUGAUGCGUAAGGGGGAUCAUGUCACAUAAGAAAACCAUGGCAUACUAAAGACGUACGUGUGGUAUGGAGUAAUAAUUUUGUUAAAAUAAGUUUCUUGUUGGAGUACAUUAGGUGACUAUUCAUAACGUAUCAAAUUAAAGAGUCAAGUGCAUCAAUGAAGGCAUAUGUAGAAAAUUUGUUUGUGACAUGUACCAUAAAGAUAAGAUUGACUUGAUAGAAUUUAGUCUAAGUAGGAGUUGUUAAAGGUGUCUUAAAUUUCUAAUUGAUGUAUAUUUUUUUCUAAAAAAAUAUUAUAUAGAUAUUUUAAUAAAUGAUUAAUUCUUUGUAAAAAUACUUACAUAAUAAAAAACAUCAUUAAAAAUAUCUUUAUAAAUAUUUUAAGUUACAAGAAGGAAAAAAACCACUGUGAGAUAAUGAUGAACAUGCAACACUGUACCAAGUAAAUAAAAAUGUGAUAAAAAAAAAAGAGAAACACUCGAUAAAGGAAGGCUCGUAUAUAAAGAGUAAUAUUUUUAAUCAUAUGAUAGAAUGAUUUUCUCUCAUUCAUGAAUAUAGGCAAGAUUGGGGAACCAUUAUAAAAUUUUGUACACCUCGUGUAAAUUGAUGUUUGUCUUCAUAUUUUACACCAACAAAUGACAUUGAAGUUGUCAUUGAUAAAAGGGAAAAGGCAUGCCUCCACACCAUGUGCUUGAUUCGAAUGGUUCAAGUUUGAAGAAUUUUCUCCGGAAGAUCUAAAACAUUUUCGCCUUUAAAUUUCAUUUGAUUAUUAAUAUCCGAAAAAAUAGUUAAAUACUCUUUCUAUUUUUGAGUUGUUGAAUUUUUUGAAAGUUUUUAUAUUUGUUAUCAAGAAUUUCUAUUUUAUUAAGGGUGAAUAUUUAUAAAUAAGAUAUUAUAUAAUAUUUGGAUAAGAGAGAAUGGUGGAAUAUAAUAAAGUUUUAAUCCUUCCCAAUUUUGAACCUUUUUUUUUUUUUUUGAUAUAAUCGCCUUUCUCUUGCAAUCCUAUUAUCAGGUACCUUAUAUUUGCUGAUGCUAUCUGGAACUAAAUUCCAAUCAGGCAUUGUCCAAUUACUAAUAGGACAGAUCAUAUCUCUCUGUUUCUAAACUAACAUGUAUCGUAAUGUGACCUCAUAAGGAAGGCUAGGAAGAUGGAGGAUUUUGUGGGAAGCGACCAGAAUCAGAUGGAAGAGAGAUAGCCCUGUUGACCUAAUGGCUGUAAUAGGAGAAGCGUGUGGUUUUAUGGGACUUAACUGAUACUAAACCUGUAUGAUGCUUGGAGUGGUGUUUCUUUCAUUUUGUUAAGAAAAUAUGGCAGCAUACAUGCUUUCAACUGAGUGCAUCAGAGCAUCCAUAACAGAUGGUCUGCAACCCUAGGUGCAUGCCACUUUCUGACUGAUAAUGAAAUUGUCAGGUACCUGGCCUUGACUAAGCUCAACAGCAUCACAUAAAGAGAAGCUUUCAUACUUAGAUUACUGUUUAAAGUUUUUGCUUAUUUGAUUUCUUAAUGCCAUUAUGACAUUAUUGAUUCAAUUCUGCUUCCGAUUUUCGAAGUUCUGGGCAUCUACUGAUUGCAUCAUUAUAUGAGAAGUUGCAUGAGUUUAUGUAUCCUGUUAUUGUUCCUUUGCGAUUUCACUGCUCACGGGACUAACCUCUCCAUUCAGUCGAAAUGAAUUGUAAUUUCUUUACUGGUAGCAGUAGUACUUUUCAUAGCAAAGAUAAUAGAAAAUAUGAAAUAUAAAUAGAAGGAAAUCUGGAUUGUAGAUAGCACCAUAAGUAACACUCAAUAUUCACUACAUAAUAAAUAGACAGUGUUACAUAGGUAGAGAAACCUACAAUGAGUACUCAUCACCAUUCUCAAACAGAAACAUAGCAGCGACUUAUACAUAGAACCUAUAGGCUCGCAGGGAAAGAGUAACAUGAUAAGUUCACAGCGGGUAGCAGCUCUUAUUUUACGUAUUACUCAAAAUCUCAAACUAACCAAAGUCACUCAGUUGGGAUGGGUAGGAGAUGGUGGUUUGUGGGGUGGCUUCUGGGUAGGAGCUGGUGGCUUCUUUGUUGGAGUUGAAGGAGGCAUAUUCUUCUGAGGUGGCUUGUAUGACUCUUCGGCACUCUCUGCAGGAGGGUGCCCAGGGUUGUGACCAGAAGGAGGUGGCUUCUGUCCCUUUGGUGGUUUGCCUAAUGGGCUUGGUGGCUUGUGCUCCGGGAGUUGUUUCUCUCCCUCGAGUAGGUUUCGAGUUUUGUCAGAUGGCUUGUGUUCUGGUGGUGGCUUCUCUCCCUGGGGUGGUUUGCCGAAUGGGCUUGGUGGCUUGUGUUCGGGGAGUGGCUUCUCUCCCUGGAGAAGGUUACGAGUUUUGUCAGAUGGCUUUUGUUCUGGUGGCGGCUUCUCUCCCUGGGGUGGUUUGCCAAAUGGGCUUGGUGGCUUGUGUUCGGGAACUGGCUUCUCUCCCUUGGGAGGUUCAUUUGGUGGCUGGUGUUCCGUAGGUGGUUCCUUCACCGGCGGCUUGUGCUCCGGAAGCGGCUUCUCUACCUGGAGAAGCUUACGAGUUUUGUCAGAUGGCUUGUGUUGUGGUGGUGGCUUCUCUCCCGGGGGUGGUUUGCCAAAUGGACUUGGUGGCUUGUGUUCGGGGAGUGGCUUCUCUCCAUGGGGAGGUUUAGUUGGUGGUUGGUGUUGCGUAGGUGGUUUCUGAAGUGGGGGAUGCUUGGGGUAGUCAGCAAUAGACGAGGUAGUGAGAACCACCAGUCCCAACAGCAACACUAGCAAGGAUGUUGAAGACAUCUUUGAGUUCAGGCUGAGAUCUGUGCAAGGAUAAAAGAUUUAGGUGGCCUUUUAUAGAGGGCUGGACCCAACACCCAUAUGACACGUGUCAUGCACUCAUGGUGACACAUAAUUCUAUGGGACCAUUUGGGUCCUACAGAAGUUGCAAAGUUGGACUAUUGAGGUGUGAUCACAACUUUUGUCCUACUUGCUUUCUCUGCGGCCAUUGCACGAUUUCCUUUAGCAUCAUUUUCUUGUCUAAAUAAGCGUAUUAUAUUUGUGGCAGACCGUCCACGUGUCAUAAACAGAUAUAUUAUAAUAAUGUAGUAUGCUUUUCUUCAACGGAACUUGACACUCUUCUAAGUCUUGUUUUAAAUACUGUGCAGGAUUACGUCAUAAGUUGCUUGUUCCAAGUCAAAAUUGGUGGGCAAACGUUGGCCUUUUUUCAUUUUCCCUAAUAUUAAUGCUCACCUGGGAUAGGCACUACAUGAUUUAUCUGCUCUUUUACUGUGAAGUUGCUUUGUGCAUGAGUUACACCUCCCCUGCACACCCUCAACAUUUGUUGCUCUGUUUUUCUUGUGUCCAGACGAGGAUAUUAAUUGGAGGCUGACAAAACGACUGCUAGCCAAGGAUUUACAAGGUCCUGGUUUGAGGCUUUCACGAAAGUAUUUUUGAAAAGAUACACAUAGAGAUUGCGCGUUCGGUGCAAUGCAACAAUGUGAGCCAUUCUGAAGUCUUAAAUUUCAGAUUAAUGAAUGCUACAAAAUUCUAAGAAGGGCCGUUUCCAAAUAUUUGAGUUCAUUCAUCCGAACAUCGGGUAUAUGCUUCUUUCUCUAGCCCCUCCUUGAAGGGAGGAGGGACAAUGUGAUCUGUAUCGUUAGAAGCUAUUCCAUGUCGUCAUCUUUGGGCUCAGUUCAAUACUAAAAGAUAUGGGCGGGGCCCUUAUCAUUUUAUAUUUCUUCUAGAAGGUUUAUUCUGGAAAUCUUUCACAGAAACAUAUCUUUUUCUUCUCUACGUGAUCCGUGGUUUGAAAGUUGGAAAAAUGGGUCCGUUAACAAGCCACCGAGUUGAAAAGUUGGAAAAAUGGCAACACCGCCAACCUCUUGUAUUCGAUAGUUAAAUAAAAGGUCACUGGAAGUGAGAUCCCUUUUGGCCUCUUGAUUUUCAUUCCAGCAUCUCUAUGGCCUGAUAAAUUAAAAAACUAAAAAAAAAGACAGUACGUGGGUUGGUGUUAAGCAUCAAGAGUCAAGACAUGAUAAUGGAGAGAAAGGAUAUUCAAAUUCCAGUUCUGACAACAUGAUUUUCUUUGCUGAACUACCAUAUUAUAUUUGAUCAAGAAAGAGUAGUGCAUGUGGCCAGGAUCAAGACAUACAUUAAUUUCCACAUGAUGAAGACAGUUUCUGAGAGUUUCUUCUAAAGCUCUUGCGCGAGUAGGCUUCAAGUCAAAAUCUCCCAUGUAAACACUGGUUUUUCUUUCAUUGCCACUAAGGAUGCAGUUAAUAUUGACUUAAGAUCCUACGUGAUAUAUUUUUUUAAAAGAGCUAUAUUGUAGAUAAUAUUUGAAAUAAUGUUGAUUCGUUGUGGAAAUAUAUUUGUAAGGAAAGUUGUUGACAAUUUAAUAUAGUAUAAGAAGAAAAAAGUUAUCAACUAGCUAGAGAUGAGUAUGUAAAGUGAGGCUCACGAUUCAACGCGUAAAUAUAAGAUAUUUUAAGGCUCAAUAGUUAUGAUAUCUAUUUUAUUUUUUGUAUCUCAUAUAUUCAAAGAUAUAGUAAAAUGAUUUUACAUAUAUAUAUAUAUAUAUAUAUGAACAUAACUAUUUGUGCCAAUUGAUUUUUAUCUUUAUUUUGUAUAUUAGUAAUUAUAUUAAAGUUUUUACUAAUAUAAUAACUAAUAUAAAAGCUUUUUCUAAAAGAGUCAACAGAGCAAAACACUUAUUAUAAAAAAUAAUUUUGAUUGAAGGUGGAGUCAAUUAUUCUUUAUUUAACAUGUAAUGCAUACGGCGUGUACUUCAUAACUAAAGUAUAUAAGUGUAACAUCUCUUAUAUAUUCUCAUUCAAUCUCGAAAGUGGAAAUUUUAAAAAGAUUAAACGGUUCAAAUUUGUCGUGCAUAAAGGGGAUCAUGUCACAUAAGCAAACCAUGGCAUACCAAAGACAUAGGUAUGGACUAAGAAUUUUUUUCAAAUAAGUUUCUUAUUAGGGUACAUUAAUAGGUGACUUUUUAUGACAUAUCAAAGGAGUCAAGUGCACCAAUAAAAACAUAUAUAGAAAAUUCAUGCAUGACAUGUAUCACUAAGAGAAGAUUGACUUGAUAGAGUUUAAUCCAAAUAGGAGAUUGUUAAAAGGUGUCUCAAAUUCUUGAUUGAUAUAUAUUUUUUUUAUUAAAAAGGUUAUUAUAUAGAUAUUUCAAUAGACUAUUAAUUCUUUGUAAAAAUAGUUAUAUAAUGAGGAUGGUGAUUAAAAAUAUCUCUAUCAAUAUUUUGGAUUAUAAAAAGAAAAAAAAUGAGAUAAUGAUAAACAUAUAAAACUUGUACAAGUAGAUAAAGAUGUGAUGAAAGACACUUGAUGAAUGAAGGCUUUGUAUUUCAAGAUAUAAAUAUAUGGAGCAAAACUCUUAAUUAUAUGAUCAAAUGAUUCUCUCAUAUUCAUGAAUAUAAGCAGGAUUGGGGAACCAUGAUAGAAUCUUAUAUGCCUCUCCAUGUAGAGUGAUCGAUGUUUAUCUUCAUAUUUUACACCAGUGAAUGACAUUGAAACUCUUAUUGAUAAAAGGGAAAAGGCAUGGCCUCCACCCCAAGAAAAACAAGUAACCUCGGUUUAAAUCACUAGUCUACACCCCGAAGAGAGAACUAGCCAAACCUACUAAAAGAGAAACUUAACAAUUUAGAAAGAAACCGUCCAUGAUAAAGGGCCCCUAAAGGUCCAAUUCAGUGAGGUCGUGAACAAAAACACUUUCAUGUCAAAACAGAGAUAGGUACCACCAAAAUGUAAAGGGAAAGAUGUAAACCACGUCGAACUUUGGUAAUCAAUGGUAAAGAUAGCAUGAUAGCUAAAAGCACUAAAGCUGUGCUUGGUAUGCAAAAAUGAAAAGUGGAAAUCAGCGUCUUAUUCUUUUUCACCUUUAUUCACAUAUUAGGAUAACUAAUAUCUAAUGUUUUUUAUGUCUCAAAUUCUAUUCCAUGUUAUGGUAAACUUUCAUCUUGUUUAGAUCACUUUUGUCUGGUUUGGGCUCAAGACGAUAAGCCUAUAGAGACUUCAUAUUGGGUUGAAUCGAUGCCCUUGAUCUGAUCUGUUCGUUAGAAAAAUCUGAAUUAUUAUAAGCAUUUAGAUAAAAAAUAAAUAAAUGUGAAACACAAACUACUCCCUGCACAACCUUGACCCUAGUUACUCAGUUUCACUGCUCACAGGACUAACCUCUCCAUUCAGUCGAAAUGAAUUGUAACAAGAAGAUUUUUGACAGGAGGACGGUAGUUUAAAAUAAUAAUUUCUAAAGUACUUUUGUGAAAAAAAAUAAUUCCAAACGUGGAUUUUAUCAAGUAAAAAGAAAAAAAAAAGUUAUUUUCUUUUAAAAUCUGUUCUUCUAAAGAUGAUAUAUAUACCAAAAAAAAAAAUUGUUUUCUGAAGGUAAAAUUUUUAAAAUUCAUUUUUAAAAAAAUUUACACACUAAAAUUAUCUUUUCAAGAGAAGAUUUUUUUAAUUUUAAAUAAUUAUUAAUUUAUAAUUAAUUUGUUAUUAAUUAUUUAUUAAUUUUUUUAUUUGAAAAAUGCAUUUAUAAAAAACAAAUUUGUUAUUAAUUUAUUAAAUAAUUUUUACAAAAUAAAUAAUUUUUUUUUAUUUUAAUUUUAAAAUUAAUUUUAUUAUAUAAAUUUUAAAAUUAAAAAUAUUAAUAUUUAAUUUAAAAUUUAACUAUAAAAGGAAUAAAAUAUAGAAAAAUAAAUUAAUUUAUUAUUCAAUAAAUUAAUUUUCAAUAAAAUUUUCAGCAUUAAGAGAUAAAUUUUUAAGUAUUAAUCAAUUUAAAAAGAAAUAAUGAUCAUUUGUAUAUUAAGAUAUUUUAUUUAGUAAUUAUGAAUGAUAAACAACUAAAGUAAUUUGAAAAAAUAAUAAAAUAUUUAAAAAAUAAUAAUUUAAUACACGUAAAAUUAGAAAUGAUUAACUAUUUUUUAUUAAGAAAAAAUUGAGGAAAUAUUUUGUUAUUUAAAAUUUUUUAUUUGUUUUCAAUUUUUAAUGUUAUAGGUUUCAAGAAAAUUGAUCAAAUAAAAAUUAAGAAGUCAUUUUUUCAAAAACUAUAUAUCUAAAUAAAAGCCUUGAAAUUCAAAUACACAAUAUCAUAAAUAUAAACACCAAGUCAAUCCUUAAUUAUCAAAUGUUUUUAAUAUUAAAGAAUCAAAAUCACCUACUAUCAUGAUAAUAAGAAAACCAAUAAUAUUGUUCAUAUAAAUACUAAAAAGCUAACAAAUAUCCCAAACAAUUAAUAAAGUAUCAAACAUGAUAAAAAGUCAAUUAUUAUCAUGAAUGCAAAAAAUCAAUAAUUUUGUUUAUAUGAACCAUCAACAAAGAAAAAAAAAAUCAAUAUCUAAAUAUUAAACAUAAUUUAUAUUUUUAUAAAUAUUAUUGUUGAUAAAUAUCUUAACAAUUAUAAUUUUAGUAAAUAAAAUUAAUUAAUUUUAGUUUAAGAAUUAUUUUUUUAUACUUUCGUAUUCUUAUCAAAAAUCCCCAUUUUGCAUGUCUCCUUUGGCAUGACUUUCUUACCUAAACAAGCAUAUAUAUAUAUAUAUAUAUAUAAAAUAUUUGGUUAAGAAAGAGUACUAAAGUUUAUAUGGCACACAUCAAGAUAGAAACAGAAGUGGAAGAUAAUCCAAAUGUAUGAACAGAUAUAUUAUAUCCAUGUAGUGGUAGUGACUUCAUUAUUUACUUUUAUCUAAUGGAGCAUGACACACUUCUUCUGAAUAUUUUGCACGAUUAUGUUAUGUGUCAGCUUGUUCUAAGUCAAAACUAGUGAUAAAAAUCGGUUUUUUUUGCAUUUCCUUCAUGAAGAUGGCACCUGGAUGGGGCACUACAUGAGUGGCAUAGCACGAAGUGAUUUAUCUGCUCCCUUUACUAUAAAGUGCUUUGUGUAUAAGUUACACCUCCCCUGCACUGCCUCAACAUUUGUUGUUCUGUCUUCCGUCUGUCCAAACGAGGACAAACGUAUGUUGUAGGUUGACAAAACCACAGCUAGCCUAGGAUUUGCAAGGAUCUAGUUUGAUUCGUAUGCAAAAGGAUUGGUGAAAAGAUUCACAAAGAUAAUGCUUUUUGCAAUGCAAUCUUGUUCUAAUUCAACAGUGUGGACCAUUUUCAUGUAAUGCUUCAACUAGAUGUCAGUUUCAUGAAUUUUUGUUCAUCUAAUUGAUCACUGGAUAGGCCAUAACCCGAAGAAAUUCAAAAUUCCCUUCAGUACUGUAGCUAAGGAAAGAUCCCUAUCUACCACUGGGAUUUUAAGAGGGUAAAAAUGUAGGUGGGUGCCUAUAUCAUUUGCACUUCACUAUAGGCCUCUUUGGGAAGAUUUCUUCUGAAGACAUUUCAAAGAAACAUAUUUUUCUCUUCUCUCCGUAAACGGCAGCUGCAAGUCAGUCCAUUCACAGGCCACCGAGUUGAAAAGGCUGGAAAAUUGGCCAAAGCACCCGCCUCCUGGAUUCCAUGGGUAAGGAAAAGGUCACUGGAGGUGUGAUCCCUGUUGGCCUCUUGAUUUCCAUUCCGCCAUCUAUAUGACCUGAUAACCCAAAAACACAGAAGGAAAACGUCACCUGGGUUCAUAGUAAGCAUCAAGUCAUGAUAGAGACCAGACAACAUGACCAACAAAGAGUAGCGAAUGGGGCCAACAUCAAGCCCCAUUACGGUUAGAAGAUGGAAGAAGUAGAAGACAAUCCAAUUCUGAUAGAUUCGGGCAAAUGUAGUGCUGUUCAAACUUAAUCAUUUACUAUUUCUUCAUGAAUCACGGCAUUUUUCUUCUGAAAAUUUUCCAAGAUUAGGCCUCUGAAGAAAAAUUUCAUAUGUAAAUUGGUAUAUUAAGGAAAAGGCGUUACAAAGGUGAAAAAAAACCAAUCAAAUCUUAUAUAUGACAUCUCAAAAAUAUGAACUUGCUAUAAAUAUUUAAAAUCAAAAUCUUGCACAUCACCUCGUAGUACGAACUUGCUAUAAAACUUGAAAAUCAAGAAGAAAGGGGCAGUAUUGGACGAGACUACUUAGCACAUAUUAUUAUGAUGUUUUUUCAUUUUCUUAAUGUUGUUUUUAUGUCUUAAAUUCUAUUAUUCUAUGUUACGGUAAACAUUCAUCUUGUUUGUGUGGAAUAGGAUCACUUUUCUCUGGGUUGAGUCGAUGCCCUUAGUUAAUUUGUUCAUUUGAAUAAACUAAAUUAUUAUAAGUAUUUAGAUAAGAAAAACGUGAUACAUAAAUUACGCCUCUCGGCACAACUUCAACACUGGUUACUCUGUUUCAGUUUCCUCACACAAGAUUAUUGGUUCUAGGGUUUAUUUGGUUUUGGUUUGAUUCUAAUUGCUAAACUUUCUCAAGGAAGAUGUUAUAUAGGGAGUGAGAAACCUUCACUCUUGGCUACCUCCAAGAGAAGAGCAAGUGGUCUGAAUCAAAGAUAUACUGCUCACUUUUUCUUCUUCUAAGGACAGCUAUGACCUUGCUUUAAGGUUCGAAUAGCCUAAUGCAACCUCCCAUUUCUCAAGUCAGCUGAUGAUGUAAGUCACCUUGGCUUUCCACAUUCAUACGGUGAGGACGUUUGUGGGUGUAAUUCUCUUAACAGUUUUCAUUUUAUAUGGAAAAAUUCAUAAUUAAGGGUAAUUACUGAUUCCAUUUGACAGUGACCAAGUUUAAAAUAUUAAUUCAUAUAUUAAAUGCACAUUAAAAAAUCAUGGAAUAAAUAUAUUUACUAAUAUAUAGUUCUUUUGCCAUGUUCUGUCACAGAAGCAUCGAACUUUCCCUAGAAAUUUUUGCAUGGUAUUCUACUUAUGAUUUUGAAAACUCUAGGCACCUGAGGCCACUAAUUGCAUGGUUGGAUGAGGAGCUGCAUGAGAUUAUGUAUCGUGUUGUUCCUUAACUACAAAUAUCAGUUUUAAGUAGCAUCUCCAUGUGACAUUUUCCUGAUGCAAUUUCGCUGUCCACCAACAAAUUUCACCAUGCAGCAAGAUGAAUUGUAAUUUCUUUAUUGUUAUCAACAGCUUUAAUUAAUCUUGAUAUAUAUAUAUAACUUAGUAGAAGUAUAUUAAUCUAGAUUGUAGUUGCACUAAGAUAAUAGGCAAUAUUAUAACAGUGCCACAAUGCUCAUCGCCAAAUAGAAAGGUAGAAAAACUACAAUGAGUAACUCACAACAUUCUCAAACAGGACAUAGCGGCGACUGAUACAUAGAACACUAUUGGCACUCAGGAAAUGAUAAGAUCAGUGCCCAGCAGGCAGCACGUCUUAUUUUACAUACUACUUAAAACUAACCAAAGUCAUUCAGUUGGGAUGGGUGGGAGAUGGUGGUUUGUGCGGUGGCUUUUGGGUAGUUGGUGGCUUCUUUCCUGGAACUGAUGGUUUUUUUGUUGGAGUUGAAGGAGGCUUAAUCGUCUGAGGUGGCUUGUAUGAGUCUUCAGCACUCUCUGCGGGAGGGUGCCCAGGGUUGUGACCAUAAUGGGGUGGCUUCUCUCCCUUAGUUGGUUUGCCAAGUGGGCUGGCUGGCUUGUGCUCCGGGAGCGGCUUCUCUCCCUUAGGUGGUUUGCCAAAUGGGCUUGCUGGCUUGUGCUCUGGGAGCGGCUUCUCUCCCUCAAGAAGUUUACGGGUUUUGUCAGAUGGCUUGUGUUCUGGUGGUGGCUUCUCUCCUUGGGGUGGUUUGCCAAAUGGACUUGGUGGCUUGUGUUCGGGGAGUGGCUCCUCUCCCUUGGGAGGUUUAGUUGGUGGCUGGUGUUCCAUAGGUGGUUUCUCAACCGGGGGCUUGUUCUCCGUUGGUGGUUUAUGAACUGGGGGAUGCUUGGGGUAGUCAGCAAGAGACGGGGUGGUGAGAACCACCAGUCCCAGCAGCAACACUAGCAAGUAUGUGGAAGAGUACAUCUUUGAGUUCAGGCUGAGAUUUGUGCGAGACUUGAAGAAUUAGGUGGCCUUUUAUAGCUGGCUGCACCCAACACUCACAUGACACGUAUCAUGGUGACACAUGUGCUAUGGGUCCAUUUGGGUCCUACAGAAGCUGAAAACUUUUGACUAUUGAGGUGUGGUCACAACUUUUGUCCCUAUUGCUUUCUCCGCAACCGUUUUACAUGUUUCCUUUGGCAUAAUUUUCUAAGCUAAACAAGCAUAUAUCAUAUUUGGUUAAGAAAGAGUAAAGUGUAUAUGGCACACAUCAAGGAAGAGAAACAGAAAAAGUGGGAGACAAUCAAUUGUGAUAAACAGAUAUAUUAUAUUCAUGUAGUACUAGUGACUUUAUCAUUUACUUUUAUCCAAUAGAUCAUCACUCUUUCUUCUAAAUAUUUUGGAGGAUAAUGGUACAUGUUGCUUGUUUCCAAGUCAAAAUUGGUGGCAAAAAUCGGCAUGAUACGAAAGGAUUGGUGAAAAGAUUCACAUAGAUGGUGCUUUGUGCAAUGCAGUCUUGCUCUAAUUCAACAGAGUGGACCAUGGUGAUGUAUUUUAAAUUUUAAAUUUUAAAUUAAUGCAUGCUUCAAAGUUUUAACUAGAUGUCACUUCCAUGGAUUUUUGUUCAUUUAAUUGAGCACAGGAUAGGCUAUCAAACUUGAAGUAAUAUAAAAAUCCCUUCAUUACUGUAACUAAUGAAAGAUCAUUAUCUGCGCUUGGUAUUUUGCCAAGGUAUUUGCUGCUCUUUCUAGCCCUGUCUUACAGUUAAGGACAAUGUGAUCUAGUUAACCUUAGAAGCUAUUCCAUGUCAGAUACAAGAGAUCAAGCACAUUAUCUUUGGGCUCAGUUCAAAACUAUAAUAUAUGGGUGGGGUGGAGGCCCAUAUCAUUUGCAUAUCACCACUAUUGGUUUAGUUUGGAAGGUUUCUUCUGGAAGAUUGCUGCUUUCUGGAAUCAUUUCAAAGAAAUAUAUCUUUUUGUUCUCUUGGUGACGAGCAGCGGCAAUCAAGUCUGUUGACAAACAACCGAGUUGAAAAGUUUGAAAAUUGGUCACAGCCCACGUCCAUGGUUAAGGAAAAGGUCACUGGAAGUGAUCCCUUCUGGGCCUCUUGAUUUCCAUUCUGACAUCUAUAUGACCUGAUAAAUAGAAAGAAAAAAAAACAGAAGAAAAGCGGCACCCGGGUUCAUAGUAAGCAUCAAGACAGGAUACUGAAAGAAGGGAGAAAGGAGAUUGCAAGUCCAAUCCUGAUAAAAUGAUCAACAAAGAGUAUCAAAAUGGGGCCAACAUAAAGACCCAUUGAGGUUAGCAGAUGGCAUGGCAUUUUUCUCCUUAAGUUUUCCAUGAUUAGACUUGAAGUCAAAAUUUCACAUGUAAAUUUGUAUUUCUACAUUUCCCACUGACGACACCCAACUUCAACUUGAGUUAGAAUAACAUUGUGUGAACUUAUCUGGCCCUCAAAAUUUACUGUGAAGUGCUUUCUGCGUGUGAAGAUUCAGAAAAGCACCAAGGGAACAUGUAUGGUCUGCCUUUUUCUGAUGUUAUGUUUGUCUCUAAUUCUGUUCCAUGUCAUGGUAAAUGUUCACAUUGCUUGUAUGGAACACACCAGGAUCACUUUUUCGGGUUUAUUUUGAGGCUUCAUAUUGGGUUCAUAUUGGGUUCAAUGCUUUUAAUGUGUUCAUUAGACAAAUCUGAAUUAUCAUAUGCAUUUAGAUAAGAACAAUAAUGUGAAACCCUAGUUACACCUCCCCUGCAUAACCCCAACCCUGCUUACUCUAUUUCAGUUUACUCACACAAGUUUUACCGGUUCUUAUAAGUCAAGAAAAGGCAACUGAUGUUGGAUUGACUCUCUUCCAUGUAUAAAAAGCAACUUUUAUAUAUACAUAAAAUAACUUCUUCCCCUCACCAAUGUGGGAUAUCAUGGAUUUAUUCUGGAAACACAUCAAAGGAACAUCUUUUCUCUUGGGUGACCCUAAGUGGUGAGUCAGACCAUUUGCAUGCCAUUGAGUUGCACAGUUGGAUAAAUGCACCUACCUCCUGGGCUCCAGAGUUAAAAGGGUGGAUCCCUGGAUCGCAACCCUCUUGGCAUCUUGGUUUCCAUUCCAACAUCCACAUGACUUGACAAAACAAAAAACAGAAUAAAAUCAUCACUAUUUUCAUGCUAAGCACCAAUACAUGAUGGAAAUCAUUGCUUAAAGAUUUGGGGUCAUUUAGGUUUUGACUGCCUCCUAACACCUCACCUAAUCACAAGUUUUUAUGCUUACAAAUCAAAUAUCGUUCUUCAUUAUAUUAAAAUCAUUUUAAGAUUUCAGAUCCAUCUGCUAAUUAUGAUUAUGAUAACAUUAAUUCACCUGUGCUUCUCAUUUUCGACACACAAGGCAUCUAGGUUUGCAGGAUUUCCUUAUUAGAUGAGAUAAAUGAGUACGCAUGGUUAUGUAUGCAGCAUUCAUUAACCAUGGUAUGUGACAUUUAGAAUUAAGAUAGCAAGCAAACUUUCCCUGCAGCUUGAGUAAAUUGUGAUUUCUUAGCCUCUAUGAGUGGUUCCCAAAUCAAAUUAACAUAGUGAAAUAUACGUAGUCCAGUGAAAGGAAAUGUAAAUUAUAAACUAACAGCACUACACUACUGGUAACACUCGAUACUCUCUAUAUAAUGCAAUGAAAUAUACGUUAUACGUUGCUUGUUCCAAGUCAAAAUUUGUGGCCAAACGUUGGCCUUUUUUCAUUUUCCCUAAGAUUAAUGCUCACCUGGGAUAGGCACUACAUGAUUUAUCUGCUCUUUUACUGUAAAGUUGCUUUGUGUAUGAGUUACACCUCCCCUGCACACCCUCAACAUUUGUUGCUCUGUUUUCCUUGUGUCCAGACGAGGAUAUUAAGUGGGGGCUGACAAAACGACUGCUAGCCAAGGAUUUACAAGGUCCUGGUUUGACGCUUCCGCGAAAGUAUUUUUGAAAAUAUACACAUAGAGAUUGCGCGUUCGGUGCAAUGCAACAAUGUGAGCCAUUCUGAAGUUUUUAAUUUCAGAUUAAUGAAUGCUACAAAAUUCUAAGAAGGGCCGUUUCCAAAUAUUUGAGUUCAUUUAUCCGAACAUCGGAUAAGUAAUGAUCAUAGAUUAUUAUUAUUAUCUGACGUUCUUAUAAUGGUUGGCAUUAUAAGAGGGUAUAUGCUUCUUUCUCUAGCCCCUCCUUCAAGGGAGGGACAAUGUGAUCUGUAUCGUUAGAAGCUAUUCCAUGUCGUCAUCUUUUGGCUUAAGUCAAUACUAAAAUAUAUGGGCGGGGCCCCUGUCAUUUUAUAUUUCUUCUAGAAGGUUUGUUCUGGAAAUCUUUCACCGAAACAUAUCUUUUUCUUCUCUACGUGAUCCGUGGUUGGAAAGUUAGAAAAAUGGGUCCGUUCACAAGCCACCGAGUUGAAAAGUUGGAAAAAUGGCAACACCGCCAACCUCUUGUAUUCGAUAGUUAAAUAAAAGGUCACUGGAAGUGAGAUCCCUUUUGGCCUCUUGAUUUUCAUCCCAGCAUCUCUAUGUCCUGAUAAACUAAAAAACUAAAAAAAAAACAGUACGUGGGUUGGUGUUAAGCAUCAAGAGUCAAGACAUGAUAAUGGAGAGAAAGGAUAUUCAAAUUCCAGUUCUGACAACAUGAUUUUCUUUCCUGAACAACCAUGUUAUAUUUGAUCAAGAAAGAGUAGUGCAUGUGGCCAGGAUCAAGACAUACAUUAAUUUCCACAUGAUGAAGACAGUUUCUGAGAGUUUCUUCUAAAGCUCUUGCGCUAGUAGGCUUCAAGUCAAAAUUUCCCAUGUAAACACUGGAUUUUCUUUAAUUGCCACUAAGGAUACAGUUAAAAUUGACUUAAAAUCCUACGUGAUAUAUAUCUUUAACAAAAGUAUAUUGUAUAUAAUAUUUGAAAUAAUGUUGAUUCGUUGUGGAAAUAUGUUUGUAAGGAAAGUUGUUGACAAUUUAAUAUAGUAUAAGAAGAAAAAAGUUAUCAACUAGAGAUGAGUAUGUAAAGUGAGGCUCACGAUUCAACGCGUAAAUAUAAGAUAUUUUAAGGCUCAAUAGUUAUGAUAUCUAUUUUAUUUUUUGUAUCCCAUAUAUUCAAAGAUACAGUAAAAUGAUUUUAUAUAUAUGAACAUAGCCGAUAGUAUCAUGUUAAAACCUUAUAUGACUCUUUGUGCCAAUUGAUUUUUAUCUUUAUUUUGUGUAUUAGUAAUUAGUAUUAAAGUUUUUACUAACAUAAUAAUUGAUAUAAAAGCUUUUUCCAAAAGAGUCAAACAGAGCAAAACACUUAUUAUAAAAAGAAUUUUGAUUGAAGGUGGAGUCAAUUAUUCUUUAUUCAACAUGUGAUGCAUACAGCGGGUACUUCAUAACUAAAGUAUAUAAGUGCAACAUCUCUUAUACAUUCUCAUUCAAUCUCGAAAGUGGAAAAUUUUAAAAGAUUAAAUGGUUCAAAUUUUCCGUGCAUAAAGGGGAUCAUGUCACAUAACCAAACCAUGGCAUACCAAAGCCAUGAUAUGGACUAAGAAUUUUGUUAAAAUAAGUUUCUUAUUAGGGCACAUUAUGUGACUAUUUAUGACAUAUCAAAGGAGUCAAGUGCAUCAAUAAAGACAUAGAAAAUUCAUGCAUCACAUGUACCACUAAGAGAAAAUUGACUUGAUAGAGUUUAGUCCAAAUAGGAGAUUGUUAAAAGGUGCAUCAAAUUCUUGAUUGAUAUAUAUUUUUUUUAUUAGAAAGGUUAUUAUAUAGAUAUUUCAAUAGACUAUUAAUCCUUUGUAAAAAUAGUUAUAUAAUGAGGAUGGUGAUUAAAAAUAUCUCUAUCAAUAUUUUGGAUUAUAAAAAGAAAAAAAAUAUGAGAAAAUGAUAAACAUAUAAAACUUGUACAAGUAGAUAGAGAUGUGAUGAAAGACACUUGAUGAAUGGAGGCCUUGUAUUUCAAGAUGUAAAUAUAUGGAGCAAAACUCUUAAUUAUAUGAUCAAAUGAUUCUCUCAUAUUCAUGAACAUAAGCAGGAUUGGGGAACCAUGAUAGAAUCUUAUAUGCCUCUCCAUGUAGAUUGAUCGAUGUUUAUCUUCAUAUUUUACACCAAUGAAUGACAUUGAAACUCUGAUUGAUAAAAGGGAAAAAGCAUGGCCUCCACCACAAGAAAAACAAGUAACCUCGGUCUAAAUCACUAGUCUACACCCCGAAGAGAGAACUAGCCAAACCUACUAAAAGAGAAACUUACCAAUUUAGAAAGAAAUCUUCCAUGAUAAAGGGCCCCUAAAAGUCCAAUUCAGUCAGGUUGUGAACAAAAACACCUUCAUGUCAAAACAGGAAUAGGUACCACCAAAAUGUAAAGGGAAAGAUGUAAACCAAGUCGAACUUUGGUAAACAAUGGUAAAGAUAGCAUGAUAGCUAAAAGCACUAAAGCUGUGCUUGGUAUGCAAAAAUGAAAAGUGGAAAUCAGCGUCUUAUUCUUUUUCUCCUUUAUUCACAUAUUAGGAUAACUAAUAUCUAAUGUUUUUUUUAUGUCUCAAAUUCUAUUCCAUGUUAUGGUAAACUUUCAUCUUGUUUAAGUGGAAGAGUAGGAUCACUUUUGUCUGGUUUGGGCUCAAGACGAUAAGCCUAUAGAGACUUCAUAUUGGGUUGAAUUGAUGCCCUUGAUCCGAUCAGUUCGUUAGAAAAAUCUGAAUUAUUAUAAGCAUUUAGAUAAAAUAAAUAAAUAAAUGUGAAACAGAGACUAUUCUCUGCACAACCUUGACCCUAGUUACUCAGUUUCACUGCUCACGGGACUAACCUCUCCAUUCAGUCGAAAUGAAUUGUAAUUUCUUUACUGGUAGCAGUAGUACUUUUCAUAGCAAAGAUAAUAGUAAAUAUGAAAUAUAAAUAUAUAGAAGGAAAUCUGGAUUGUAGAUAGCACCAUAAGUAACACUCAAUAUUUACUACAUAAUAAAAGAGAUAGUGUUACAAAGGUAGAGAAACCUACAAUGAGUACUCAUCACCAUUCUCAAACAGAAACAUAGCAGUGACUUAUACAUAGAACCUAUAGGCUCGCAGGGAAAGAGUAACAUGAUAAGUGCACAGCGGGUAGCAGCUCUUAUUUUACGUAUUACUCAAAAUCUCAAACUAACCAAAGUCACUCAGUUGGGAUGGGUAGGAGAUGGUGGUUUGUGGGGUGGCUUCUGGGUAGGAGCUGGUGGCUUCUUUGUUGGAGUUGAAGGAGGCGUAAUCUUCUGAGGUGGCUUGUAUGAGUCUUUGGCACUCUCUGCAGGAGGGUGCCCAGGGUUGUGACCGGAAGGAGGUGGCUUCUGUCCCUUUGGUGGUUUGCCUAAUGGGCUUGGUGGCUUGUGCUCCGGGAGUUGUUUCUCUCCCUCGAGUAGGUUUCGAGUUUUGUCAGAUGGCUUGUGUUCUGGUGGUGGCUUCUCUCCCUGGGGUGGUUUGCCGAAUGGGCUUGGUGGCUUGUGUUCGGGGAGUGGCUUCUCUCCCUUGGCAGGUUCAGUUGGUGGCUGGUGCUCCGUAGGUGGUUUCUUCACCGCCGGCUUCUCUCCCUGGAGAAGGUUACGAGUUUUGUCAGAUGGCUUCUGUUCUGGUGGCGGCUUCUCUCCCUGGGGUGGUUUGCCAAAUGGGCUUGGUGGCUUGUGUUCGGGAACUGGCUUCUCUCCCUUGGCAGGUUCAGUUAGUGGCUGGUGUUCCGUAGGUGGUUUCUUCACCGGCGGCUUGUGCUCCGGAAGCGGCUUCUCUACCUGGAGAAGCUUACGAGUUUUGUCAGAUGGCUUGUGUUGUGGUGGUGGCUUCUCUCCCUGGGGUGGUUUGCCAAAUGGACUUGGUGGCUUGUGUUCGGGGAGUGGCUUCUCUCCAUUGGGAGGUUUAGUUGGUGGUUGGUGUUCCGUAGGUGGUUUCUGAAGUGGGGGAUGCUUGGGGUAGUCAGCAAGAGACGAGGUAGUGAGAACCACCAGUCCCAGCAGCAAUACUAGCAAGGAUGUGGAAGACAUCUUUGAGUUCAGGCUGAGAUUUGUGCAAGGCUAGAAGAAUUAGGUGGCCUUUUAUAGCGGGCUGGACCCAACAACCAAAUGACACGUAUCAUGAUACACAUAUGUGUUAUAAGAUCCUUGUGGGUCCUACAGAAGUUGAAAACUUUGACAAUUGAGGUGUGAUUACAACUUUUGUCCCUAUUGCUUUCUCGUCAGCCGUUUUGCAAGAUUUUUGACAGGAGGACGGUAGUUUAAAAUAAUAAUUUCUAAAGUACUUUUGUGAAAAAAAAUAAUUCCAAACGUGGAUUUUAUCAAGUAAAAAAAACAAAAAAAAGUUAUUUUCUUUUAAAAUCUUUUCUUCAUGAUUCAUAUACCAAAAAAAGAAUUGUUUUCUGUAGGUAAAAUUUUUAAAAUUCAUUUUUAAAAAAAAAAAAUUACACACUAAAAUUAUCUCUUCAAGAAAAUAUUUUUUAAAUUUUAAAUAAUUAUUAAUUUAUAAUUAAUUUUUUAUUAAUUAUUUAUUAAAUUUAUAUGUGAAAAAUGCAUUUAUAAAAAACAAAUUUUUUAUUAAUUUAUUAAAUAAUUAUUUACAAAAUAAAUAAUUUUGCUUUAUUUUAAUUUUAAAAUUAAUUUUAUUAUAUAAAUUUUAAAAUUAAAAAUAUUAAUAUUUAAUUUAAAAUUUAACUAUAAAAGGAAUAAAAUAUAGAAAAAUAAAUUAAUUUAUUAUUCAAUAAAUUAAUUUUCAAUAAAAUUUUCAGCAUUAAGAGAUAAAUUUUUAAGUAUUAAUCAAUUUAAAAAAUAAUAAUAAUCAUUUGUAUACUAAGAUAUUUUAUUUAGUAAUUAUGAAUGAUAAACAACUAAAGUAAUUUGAAAAAAUAAUAAAAUAUUUAAAAAUAAUAAUUUAAUACACUUAAAAUUAGAAAUGAUUAACUAUUUUUUAUUAAGAAAAAAUUGAAGAAAUAUUUUGUUAUUUAAAAUUUUUUAUUUGUUUUCAAUUUUAAAUGUUAUAGGUUUCAAGAAAAUUGAUCAAAUAAAAAUUAAGAAGUCAUUUUUUCAAAAACUAUAUAUCUAAAUAAAAGCCUUGAAAUUCAAAUACACAAUAUCAUAAAUAUAAACACCAAGUCAAUCCUUAAUUAUCAAAUGUUUUUAAUAUUAAAGAAUCAAAAUCACCUACUAUCAUGAUAAUAAGAAAACCAAUAAUAUUGUUCAUAUAAAUACUAAAAAGCUAACAAAUAUCCCAAACAAUUAAUAAAGUAUCAAACAUGAUAAAAAGUCAAUUAUUAUCAUGAAUGCAAAAAAUCAAUAAUUUUGUUUAUAUGAACCAUCAACAAAGAAAAAAAAAAUCAAUAUCUAAAUAUUAAACAUAAUUUAUAUUUUUAUAAAUAUUAUUGUUGAUAAAUAUCUUAAUAAUUAUAAUUUUUUAUAUAUUAAAUUUAGUAAAUAAAAUUAAUUAAUUUUAUAAUAUAAGAUAUAUAUAAUAAUUAAGAGACUAUUUGUCCCAAACAAUUUAUUUAUUUUUUUUUUAGGAAAUUGUCUCUUCAAGAGACGACUUCUCCCAACAUUUUUAAAAAAAAAAAAAAAAACAUCUAUUCAAAAGACGAUUUCUCCUCAUUUUUUAAAAAUGAAUUUUAGAAAUCAUAUUUUCAAAAAUGAAUUUUAGAAAUCAUAUUUUCAAAAGACGAUUUUUUUUUAUAUAAAUUAUUUUUUAAAAUGACGAUUUUAAAAGGAAAUAACGAUCUCUCUCCUACUUGGCAAAAACUAUGGUAAAUUUGGAAUUAUUUCUUCCACAACCAUAGUUUAAGAAUUAUUUUUUUAUACUUUCGUAGACUUAUCAAAAAUCCCUAUUUUGCAUGUCUCAUUUGGCAUGACUUUCUUACCUAAACAAGCAUAUAUAUAUAUAUAUAUAUAUAUAUCACUUUUGUCUGGGUUGAGUCAAUGCCCUUAACUAAUUUGUUCAUUUGAAUAGUCUAAAUUAUUAUAAGCUUUUAGUUAAGAAAAAUGUGAAACAUAAAUUACACCUCUCGGCACAACUUCGACACUGGUUACUCUGUUUCAGUUUAUUCACACAAGAUUAUUGGUUCUAGGGUUUAUUUGGUUUUGGUUUGAUUCUAAUUGCUAAACUUUCUCAAGGAAGAUGUUAUAUAGGGAGUGAGAAACCUUCACUCCUGGCUACCUCCAAGAGAAGAGCAAGUGGUCUGAAUCAAAGAUAUACUGCUCACUUUUUCUUCUUCUAAGGACAGCUAUGACCUUGCUUUAAAAUGUUCGAAUAGCCUAAUGCAACCUCCCAUUUCUCAAGUCAGCUGAUGAUGUAAGUCACCUUGGCUUUCCACAUUCAUACGGUGAGGACGUUUGUGGGUGUAAUUCUCUUAACAGUUUUCAUUUUAUAUGGAAAAAUUCAUAAUUAAGGGUAAUUACUGAUUCCAUUUGACAGUGACCAAGUUUAAAAUAUUAACUCAUGUAUUAAAUGCACAUUAAAAAAUCAUGGAAUAAAUAUAUUUACUAAUAUAUAGUUCUUUUGUCAUGUUCUGUCACAGAAGCAUCGAACUUUCCCUAGAAAUUUUUGCAUGGUAUUCUGCUUAUGAUUUUGAAAACUCUAGGCACCUAAGGCCACUGAUUGCAUGGUUGGAUGAGGAGCUGCAUGAGAUUAUGUAUCCUGUUGCUCCUUAACUACAAAUAUCAGUUUUAAGUAGCAUCUCCAUGUGACAUUUUCCUGAUGCAAUUUCGCUGUCCACCAACAAAUGUCUCCAUGCAGCUAGAUGAAUUGUAAUUUCUUUGUUGUUAUCAACAGCUUUAAUUAAUCUUGAUAUAUAUAUAACUUAGUAGAAGUAAUUAAUCUAGAUUGUAGUUGCACUAAGAUAAUAGGCAAUAUUAUAACAGUGCCACAAUGCUCAUCGCCAAAUAGAAAGGUAGAAAAACUACAAUGAGUAACUCACACAACAUUCUCAAACAGGACAUAGCGGCGACUGAUACAUAGAACACUAUUGGCACUCAGGAAAUGAUAAGAUCAGUGCCCAGCAGGCAGCACGUCUUAUUUUACAUACUACUUAAAACUAACCAAAGUCAUUCAGUUGGGAUGGGUGGGAGAUGGUGGUUUGUGCGGUGGCUUCUUUCCUGGAACUGGUGGUUUUUUUGUUGGAGUUGAAGGAGGCUUAAUCGUCUGAGGUGGCUUGUAUGAGUCUUCAGCACUCUCUGCAAGAGGGUGCCCAGGGUUGUGACCAUAAUGAGGUGGCUUCUCUCCCUUAGGUGGUUUGCCAAGUGGGCUGGCUGGCUUGUGCUCCGGGAGCGGCUUCUCUCCCUUAGGUGGUUUGCCAAAUGGGCUUGCUGGCUUGUGCUCUGGGAGCGGCUUCUCUCCCCCAAGAAGUUUGCGGGUUUUGUCAGAUGGCUUGUGUUCUGGUGGUGGCUUCUCUCCUUGGGGUGGUUUGCCAAAUGGACUUGGUGGCUUGUGUUCGGGGAGUGGCUCCUCUCCCUUGGGAGGUUUAGUUGGUGGCUGGUGUUCCGUAG
rnacentral:lncRNA from 1 species